CAAACUCUACCGCCUUUUUGUUAAUAUCGUACACAAGUUAGUAUACCUUUUUAAAUAGUUAUGAGUGAUCAAAAAUGUGAAAAUGCACACUAGGAAAGUUCCCAGUAAAGACUGGAGGGGUCACAAUUGUCCCACUUAAAAUUUAGACUCCUUAGGCUCUUAUCACCUUUGUGACAGAACUUUCCUAGACAUGUACAAGCCCACACGAUUACUUCCACUCACACCACUAUUCUCUACUUUGCACUGUAGAAUUAUUGGAUUGCUCCUACCAUUUCAAGUAAAUAGUGUUGUAUAUGUGAAUAGUAACGAAUACAUGAAUAGUGUCCGACUCCAAAAAAAUGCAAGCAAUGGCUUUAAUACCACUUUUUGACAAAUUCAGUGGGUCUGUUAGAUAUGCAGCUAAAGUAAAAUUAGGGACACUAGAAUUUACCUAGUUCGAAUUUUAGCCUAUGUCCACAAGCGAAGAUAGAAGAAAAUAUCUUACUAGUGAAAAGGUGUUACAAGUAUUCUAGUGUUUUGUCUCACAACCCAAAACCCUAAUACACUCAAACUCUCAAAAACACUAAAACUAGAGCUCAAAGCUCUCAACACUCUCAGCUUACACCUCUUGGCACUCUCACUUGAAUUGGAAAUGGGAUGAAUGAAGAGGACAAAUGAAGCCUCUAUUUAUAGGCCUGACAAUGUCCAAAAAAUCAACAAUGUAGACAUUAAAAUAAUAUAAAUUUUCUCUCAACUUUCCACUUAAGUGCCAAAGUUAAAAGUUGUAUUCCUCCCACUUGCUCAUAUUUCACACUUACUCAACAACUUUAUGCAAGAGUCAAAAGUUGCAUGCUAGCUACAUGCAAUUGUUUGCCACAAAAAAUUGCUUGUCACAUACAUGCAUAUGUUCAACAUAGUGUUUCGAUUUCUAUCAUCAUUAUACUAUUAUAGAGAAUUAAAAAUUAGUAAUUAAAUUGCUUAAGAGCAACGGGAGAGUUUUUGACAGUAUAUACACAAAAUUUAGGAAGCUUAUAUUUACUGUGCUAUUGAAAUAAAUUCUAAUGAUUUUAUAUGAGUCAAGAUUUUUUGAAUUUACAAGACUAAAAAGGAAUUUCCUUAUUCUUGAUAUUUUGUACAAUUUCCAAUCAAGCAAAAUGAACGUUGGUGAUGAAGCUUGAAUUGACACUAUAAAGAUGAUUGACUUGAUAUCGGUUCGACCGAGAUUGGUAGUCUUAUUAUCUUGAUUCUCUUCUUACUUCUUGUGUUAUCAAUUCAUUAUUAGUUUGCAGUAUGCUUUAUUUAUUUAUUUAUAACCAACUUAUUCUAGCUUUUCCUUUUCUUUUGAAGGGUUUCGUCCCCCGACUAGACAUCAUCAUCACGUCAUUAUGUUGAAAGACUAAAGAGGACUAAACUGCUCAAAAUUGAAACUAUUUGGGAAAAACGAAUUUUACUAAACUUAAGGACUUUAAUGAUAUUUUAUAAAAAACACUACACACAACUCACAACUCACACUUCUUAUUUCUCUCUUAUUCCUCACACUUCUUAUUUCUCUCUUUUUCCUCACACUUCACUUGAGGCAUAACCAAAUGAUAUAAGAGGGUAUUUAUAGUACAUGAGAAUAAAUAUGAACCAUUCAAAUAAAAAAUUACAAAAAAAAACCAUUAAUUUUUACCUACCACACUUACUACUAAUAAUUUCACCCACCCCACUUAUCAUUAAUAAUUUAGACCUCACCAACCAUACUUGCUCAUGGAACCUUCCAUGGAUUUGGCUUACUAAUUUGGGCUUAAUGAAAGAUGGUGUUAGGCUUAUUUUAACACAUCAUGUUCGUCGUCAUCAUCAUCAUUAUUAUUUUAUUUAAUAAAUUUAUGUUGCUUGUUGAGGUUUACUUUAAAAAAAAAAAAAAGGCACAACAAAGAAAGGGGCGCGAUUCCUCAAUUUGAGAGGGGAAAAUGAAAUAUUUUGCACGAAAAAGGAAAAAAUUAUCUAUGUAAAUACGUUUGCAUGGCUAGCUUAAUUUCAACUUCAAUUUAUUUUGAAGUUUUUACUUCAUAGUUUCUCCUCGGUAACUAUGAUAAGGCUCAUUGCAUCCCUUUGAUCUGCUGUGUAAGUUCUUUAAUCUAAAUAAAUUUCCUCUUUAUUGAAGUUCAUUUAAAAAAAAAAAAAAAAGAGGUGCAUGGCCAGUUACUUUCAUCGCAAGCUUGAAUUCGAGUGGAAAAUGUCGGAUGAUUGGUUAUUUUCCCGAAUAGUGUUUCAAUGGAUAAGAACCAACGGACUCUGUGGCAAAGAUUAAAUCACGAGUUUCUUAUUGUUAUAAUCUCCUUUUGUCAACUCCAUUUCGUAUUUGUAAUUUAUACAUAUUCCUCGUCCGUCUUUUCCGAUAAUUGCAAACUCUAUACCGUGAACACAUGCAUCAAUCAUUUCAUCCAAAAUAUCAAAAUGCAUUUAAUUUUUUCUAUCACACCUACUGAAAAGAUUGAUCACAAGUGUCUUCUUCGUUUCAUCCAUAAUAUCAGCAUGGGGUUCAGCUACCGUGCAACUGUUAUACGGUACCUACUAUUUUGUCUUCUUGUGAUGUUACCGUCAGAUUUAAUGUAGGAGCAGAACCAACGGUAGGAUGCUAUAGUUUGGUAAUUAACGCUACACUUCCUGUUGUAUACUGAAAUUCUAAAAAAAUCAAAGUUUUACAAUUCUGACACAUAAAUCCAGAUUGUUUCAAAUUUGUGAAUAAUUUAAACAAUUAAAAAAUAGAUAAGCUGUCUCAAGUUAAAAAAUUCUUAUAAAACUAAACAUCAAUAUCUAAUUCUAUUUCUUUUUAAAUUUAAGGAGUGAGAUAAGUAAUGACUUCACAUUAAAAUUUAAUUAAUAAAUUAACUUAAAAAAUAAAACUAGCAUGACAUUACUAAAAUAAAAUAUUAAAUAAAUAAUUAUAAAAAUUAUGUAUUUUCUUUUCUUUUUUUACACUUUGAUCGCCACUUUAAACUAUAUGCAGACUAUACUUUAAAUAAAAAAAACUAAAAUACAAUUUAAUUUCAAAAUUAUUAGUUAUUCAAAAAUAAUAAAACUUUUUUUUGAGAAAAAAAUAAAAAAAAAUAAAACUUAAACUUUAUUUAUAGAUAUAAAUCAACAUGACAUCAAUCACUUAUAGCUAAUAGAUUUGAUUUAUUAUUUUAAUUUAUUCAAUUGCCAUGGCCUCACAAUUGCCAUCCGAAUCUUCAAAUUAAAUUUCUACAUUUUGUCUUAGUUGUGAUGUGAAAAAUAAUUGAGAUAAUUGGUUAGUUAAUGAUAUGAAGGUGGAGAAAAAAAGAAUAGAAUAUCUGAAUAUAUAAGAGAAGAAAAGAGAAAAAUAACAUUAUCAUACAUUUAUAAAUAAAUUACAAACAAAGAAAAAAGUAGGGGUCAAUAGAUAAAAGACGCAGUGGUGGUACCGACCAAUAGUUGCACCAUAGUUUUGCCCAUCAACUUGAAUAGGUUGUGCAUUAUUUAUUGUGUAGGGCCGAUACGGAUGUGCAAGACUAUUUCUAGCUUAAAAUCAACGUGCAGGGGAGACAAAAUAGGUGUACAAUCGGUGGGUGAAGCGAAGAAAUAAGGAUCACAUUAAAAUGUUAAUAUCAGUCCCAAUCAACAUUAAACUCAUGGUUGUCAUAUUGUGAUAUUGAAGUUCAUGGACCCAAUUUAUACUCAAAUUAAAAUUAGCUCAAGAGUGGAGGGUAACAUAGUUAUUGUCAGCCAACUUGGGAUAUUUUCCUCAAUAAUCCUACUUACGGGUGGGCAUAAACCCACAACCCAUGGGUUUACCCAAAUCUAAACCAAAUUAAAUGGUUUGGGUUGGGUAAAUCAUGAAAAUGGGUUAGAUGUGGAUUUUAUAUAGAAAAUCAUUUCAUUAUGGGUUGGGUAUGGUUUACUCAUGAGUUAUGGACAAAACCCCAACACUCAAAUUUUUCAAAUGAAAUAAAUGAAAACAAAAUAAAUGAACACAAAUAAGUAAAAGGCCACUAUUAAAUUUUUUGCGGCGUAAUCAAUUGUCAACAGUUAGAAAAUGAAAAUAACAGUAAAAAUAAAUUUAAACUAAAUAAAUAUUGUUGUAAAUAACAUAAAUUUUUUUCUUAUUUACAAAAAUAAUUCCUCCCACAUGGAAGGCUCAUCAUAGAAAGAGUAGGAGACUCUACUAGUGAUCAAUAAUAACUCAACUUGGACACCUACCCAGUCCAAGUUGGUCAUAUUAGGCCCUGUACAAAACUUUGCUUACCAUAUAAUGAAAUUAGAACAUAAAGCAUACACACUAUAUAAUAUCAGAAUGUAAAUAAAAUUAAGGGGGAUUGCCACUUUCCCCCCUACAGUAAUUAACAUAUACCAUUUACCCCCUUUCUAUUUUUAAAUGGUCAAAAAUCCCCAUGACAACAUAAGUUUACAAUAUUACCCUUAUUUUUAACUACUCUUUUAUUUACAUUUAUUAUAAAUUAAAUAAAUUACAUGAAUAGAAACAAAAUAAAAAAAAUUAAGUAUUAAAACAAGAAAUAUAUGUUUUGAUAUGAGCAAAAAAAUUAAUAAUAAAAUUUUUUCUUGUAAUUAUUUAUUUUGUGAGUAUUUUCUUAUAAUAAACAUUUUGUAAUAUUUUAAAAUUAAAUGUAAAAAGUAUAGGUAAAAUAUUUUAUUAUUUAUCUUAUAAUAAAUUUUUAUUUGUCAUUCAAGUUUUCUUAUAAUAAUUUUUUUAUCAUUUUACUAAUAAUUUUCUUAUAUAUUUAUUAUAAGAAAAUUUUCACAAAAUAAAUAAGUAUAAAAAAAUUUUAUUAUUAAUAGAUUGUUAAUGUCAUGUUUGUGAAAGUUUAUUAUUAAAGUGUACGUUCUUAUUUAUUGAGAAAUAAUAAUUUUUGUGAUUAAACUUUAUUUUGAUUUUCUAGUAUUCUUUAAUUUAAGGAUUAAGUUAUUGUAAAAUUUAUAAUUUUUAUCCACUAUAUUUUUUUAUAUUUUAAUAUCAAUUUAAUAAUUAAUAACAAUUAAUAAUUAUUAUAAUUUUGAUAUAAUUAAAUUUUAUUAAAAUAAAAAUUAUUUUGAUAAUAAAAUUCAAACCAAACCCAAAUGGUUUGGUUUGGGUUAGGUUAAAAAUAUUUGUGUUGGUUUGGGUUGGAUCCAAAUUUUUAUGGUAUGGUUUGAGUUGACUUAAAAUCCAACUCAAACCAACUCAUGCCCACCCCUAAUCCUAAUAAUGAGCAAGCUAGCAUGUGUAGAAGCUGAAAACUUUAGCUGCAGGGAUGCGUGUGUAUGGAAAACAAUUUAGAUAAAUUUUACUGUAUUAUACAAUUUGUUGAUGUAAUGAAAGACUCUAUGCCAUUUUUAAUAAGUUUAUUCAUCAUCUGUGAAGGUAUCCAAAUCAAUAAGACUUAUAAACACACCCAAAAAAGAUAAGUCGUAAUAAAAUUGUAAUAGACAUAUAGGAAUUUAAAGGUGUUGUGCAUGAUUAGACUACUUAUAGUAAAAGUUAGGAUAGAGAGAUUAGUUUCUAUUCAUGUGAUUUAUUUAAUUUAUAAUAAAUAUAAAUAAAAGAGUAGUUGAAAAUAAGGAUAAUAUUAUAAACUUAUACUAUUAGGGGGGUUUUUGGCCAUUAUAAAAAUAGAAGGGAGAAAAAUGAUAUAUGUUGAUUACUGUAGGGGGGAAAGUGAAAAUUUCCCUAAAAUUAAGCAUAUAAGUAGACAACAUAACGGAAAACCACUAAAACGAUAAAUAAAAAUAAAUAUUGCAUAAUUAAAUAAAUAACAAGUGGUAAAAUUUAUUAUUAGAUUGUUAAUGUCAUGUUUGUGAAAGUUUAUUAUUAAAGUGUACGUUCUUAUUUAUUGAGAAAUAAUAAUUUUUGUGAUUAAACUUUAUUUUGAUUUUCUAGUAUUCUUUAAUUUAAGGAUUAAGUUAUUGUAAAAUUUAUAAUUUUUAUCCACUAUAUUUUUUUAUAUUUUAAUAUCAAUUUAAUAAUUAAUAACAAUUAAUAAUUAUUAUAAUUUUGAUAUAAUUAAAUUUUAUUAAAAUAAAAAUUAUUUUGAUAAUAAAAUUCAAACCAAACCCAAAUGGUUUGGUUUGGGUUAGGUUAAAAAUAUUUGUGUUGGUUUGGGUUGGAUCUAAAAUUUUAUAGUUUGGUUUGAGUUAACUUAAAAUCCAACUCAAACCAACUCAUGCCCACCCCUAAUCCCAAUAAUGAGCAAGCUAGCAGGUGCAGAAGCUGAAAACUUUAGCUGCAGGGAUGCGUGUGUAUGGAAAACAAUUAAGAUAAAUUUUACUGUAUUAUACAAUUUGUUGAUGUAAUGAAAGACUCUAUGCCAUUUUUAAUAAGUUUAUUCAUCAUCUAUGAAGGUAUCCAAAUCAAUAAGACUUACAAACACACCCAAAAAAGAUAAGUCGUAAUAAAAUUAUAAUAGACAUAUAGGAAUUUAAAGGUGUUGUGCAUGAUUAGACUACUUAUAGUAAAAGUUAGGAUAGAGAGAGUCAUAUAUAUACUCACUUUGUUAAAAUGAAAUUAUUACUAUCAAACAAAAAAAUAUUUUCAUACUUUUAAAUUUUUAUUAUGAUUUAGUAAAAUAUUUUCGUAUUAAAAAAAAUUCUAAUUUCUUAUAGAGGUCAUGACUCGUAUUACAUGAUAAGGUAGUGUCAUCUCACUCGCACAUAAAUGCCGCUCUAAUAUUACAUUGAAGCUCAUGAAUUUAAUUUAUAAUAAAACACCAACUCAAUAAUUACGAGUCAUUUUAAGCUAAUAAUAUUAGCUUACAAAUAUUCUUAGCCAAUGUGUGAUUUUUUCCUUUGCGUAGGACGCGCCAAACCUGGCAAAUGGCAGGUCAUUAUUGAACGGAGAGGGAGAAAGGGACUCUUGAACUUAGAAAAUGGCAAGUCCUCUAUUGUUAGGCCCACCACCUGUGCAUGCCCCACAAAAUUCUUUUACCUACUGACGACUAUUAGUGCGGAAACAAAUCAUUUUUAUGUAAGUGGCUAGUUAUUUUUCAUUACCAGCUUUAAUUAAUGUCGAAAACGUCAAAACGUCAGAUGAUAUAUUGCCGAUUGGAUAAGUAACCACUAACUCUGUGGCGAAGAUUAAGUCACGAGUUACUUAUUUUUAUUAUCUCUGUUUGUCAAUUUUUUUAUUUUAUUUUGUACAUAUUUCCUCGGUUAUCUUUUUUGCAUAUUCUGUGUAUUUACAAAUUGUGAUGUCUAUGGUUUUGUUAUUUCGCACGUUCAAUUGCUGAUGCAUACAUAUAUUCGAGUGUGGACCAUCAUACAAACUAAUAAUUCUCCCAAGUCGCUCUCAUCCAAAUGAAUUGGAGUAUCGGAUACAAAUAAUUGUAAUAAGAUACACAUGAUGAAUACUUUGUAUAAGAUACAAUAAUUUGAUAGUUGAAUUUACACACUGAGUUGAGUUGUGCUCAUCUUCUCAUAAUUUUUGUGUUAUGUACAUAUUUAUAAUUUGUACCUUCAAGUUUUAAUUACUUUUAUGGUACAUUUAUUAAUUGCUAAUCAUAGUAGAUUUGGAUAAAAAUGAAUUAGAAUAGGAAUGAUAAAUAAGAAUAAAAAUAAAUUAUUUACUUCAGUUAUAGGAAUCAGAAAUGAAAUAAGUAUAUUCUCAUUUAUGUGUUUAACUUAUUAAAAUACCCUUAGUUUAUCAUUGCCAUUAUUUUUAUUAUUUAUUAUAAUAAUGUUCAUUAUUAUUAUAAAAAAUUAUUGCUAAUAAUAAUAACCAUAAUAAUUAUAAUAAUCAUAACAAUAAUAUAAUUUUCUCUCUCUCCUUUGGUUUUUCGCUAUUUUUUUUCUGUCUUUUGGCAUUUUUUUGGCUUUUUCUCCUCUUCUUGUCGUUUGUUCUUAUUCUGUUUCUUCUUUUUCUCUUUUUCUUCGUUACUUCUUCUUCUUCUCAUUUUUUAAUUUCUGUUUUCAUUUUUUAUUUUUCUCUUCUUUAUUUCUUCCUCUUCUCUGUCUAUUUCAACUUCAAAUGAACAAAUGAAAAACGCCGUCAGAGCUGCAUGACGACCGAGAAAGCGAUUAAGGUGGUACUGCUCGAUCAGAUUGGCGACUGCUGUUCUGAUUUGUGCUGAAGCAAUUUUGAUUGCCGGAAGAAAAUAAAUUAUAAGUUUCGGGUUGCCGUGACUUUUAAUUAUUUUUUGUAUUUUAUAUUUUUAAUAUUUAAAUGGAAGAUAAAGUUAUAAUAAUGAAAUUUGGAUGGGUACUUUAGGAAAUUUCGGGAAUGAAAGUCUGAUUUAAGAAUUAGAUUCCAUCCAAAUCAUAUUCUCAAUUUGAUGCGGGCCCAUCCAAUUGAUUUCCGUUUCUCUUCUUAUUUUAGUAAGUAAAUAUAGGUUUAAUUUCAAUUCUCCAAUUAAAAAAAUAAUUACAUCAUUAUAUUUUUAUCCAAUAAUUAUAAAUUAAAUCUUUUUUAAAAAAUGGGCAAAAUAUUCCGAACUAUAAUCAAAUCUCUUAAAUCUGGCAUUAUUGCCUUUUCGCAAGAAGCCACGGUUCUUUCAAUGUCGACGUACGAACUUUCAUCUUGCCAAAAUAUUACAGCAUGAUUAUUGUCGUGAAUUAUUAUUUAUUGCACCAUGGCUUUUGCCUUAUAAGUAAGAAUCGUCAUCUUAUGCGACUUUUGAAUAAAUUGUUGUGUGAAUAAAAAAAAACAAAUCAAAACAAAAAAGAUAAAUAACUGUUAGCCAUUUCUGGAUUGUAAUUAUCUUCGCAUGUCAAUGUAUGAACGUCAAAAAGAAUUUCGAGUAAUACUAGGAUAGUUAGAGAAAAUGACAAUGUACAAAUUCAUUGUCUCAUUCUAGGUAUAGUUACUAGACUACCUAGUUCAAUAUGCGAGGUGAAUUUCAUCCCAUUGUAAUUGCAUAUUCUAGAGGUAGUUAGGUUUAAAAUAUUACGGUUCCACGUCCAUGUAAUUCAAAACUUUGCAGUGGGCCACUUUAUGAAAGAUUAAAAAAGAAAAAGAAAUAAAAGAAAGGAUUUUUCCAAUUUACUUCUUAUAAGAGAUUUGGAUAUGUACAAAAAUUUGUUUCUUAUUAAUCGAUCAGAUAUGAUUCUUACCAUAUUUGCAUCGCAAGUAAUUCAAUAUUUCAAUUAACGGACAAUGAGUAGGAUUUCUUAUUGGAUACUUACCAUCCCCGCCCAGGAUGACAGCAAUUUCAAAACCUUGAUCAAGAUUUGUGAUCCCAUGGCGAUAGUAUUUGGCCCAUAAUUUUUAGUAUUGAAUGUAGGGAAGUUGGAAUUCAAUAUCGAAAUUUAUCUAUUUGAUAAUCAGGAUGAGAAAUCUAAGGAUAUUUAAUCAAAUGUUUUUCAAGCAGUUUUAUUUGAUUGAUCACUUGAGUUCAAGUUUUAAAGAAGCAAGAACUGAAUUAAAAAAUUGAUUGGUACUUUGUCCACCUUUUGCUUUUUUAUUAAAUAUUUUUUUAUGAAAUUUCAGACACUGCAAAAAUCCUAAUUAUGAUCGCAUUAAUUAUGAUCGCAUUUCAACAGAUAACUUUUCCAAUUUUUAGUUAUACGUUAGUUUCUAUUCAAUUUGAUAUUUGUCAAUUAGAUAUUUGGGAAAACAAUUGCACUGGAGAAUGAGUCAUUUUAUUUUGUAUAUAUUUGGGUGUUAAAUGUUUACAUUGGUUAUAAUUUUCAAAAAAUAAAUGUGACUAGAUUAACAAGUGUUUCACAAAAUAUUUCGGAACACAUUUUCUUAAGAAAAAAAAUUUUAAGUUCUCAAAAUUAUUAUUCACUUUAGUUGUUUGCCUUAUGAAACAAUUUUUUUUCCCCUAAAGGCAGACACGAUUAAUUACUUGAUUUUUUUUCAAUAUAUUACAUUAGAUAGUAUAAUAAAAAUACUAAUAAAUAGAUACAUUAAAAAUUGUUUAAUGAAUUCCAACCAACUAUUUUUAUAAUAAAAAUACGAAAAUGGUUUGAAAGAAGUAAAACCGAACAAAACCUAGUUUUAGAACCAAACUAAACCGAAAUAUUUCAUUUCGGUUUGGUUUGGUUCAGAAAUUCGAUUCGGUUCAAUCCAAUACAAUUUCUGAAUUUUACAAUUUUCACCUGUAUUAACUAGUAACUAUACUAUAGUAACACUAGAUAUAAAUAAAUAAAUACAAAGUUCUCAAGUCAAAACAAAAUAAUAAAAGUCCUAAUACGGAAUACGGAAUAGUCACAAACAAUUUACAAACACACAUAAUUUUAAAAUCUAUUACAAAUUAUAAAUCCAUAAUAACUAAUAAACAAAACCUAACAAGUCCGCUAUGUUGCAUCAAACACACAUGCAACAACUGCAUCUAUCAUCCAUAUUAACUACAUCAAAAUUCAAAGUGAGACAAGCACAAUAAUUAAACUAAAUAAAAUAAAGUGAUAUUUCUGAAAGUGUAUGUCAACUUUUAUUACCUAAAAUUUAACUUGUUUUCAUAAGGACAAUUGAAGUAUACCAACACAUCAUAAUUUAUUUUCAAUAAUUGUUAAUUUAAUUUAAUUAAGAAUAAAUUUAUAGGUAGCUGGAUUUCAUGCUAUUUUAUAGUUUUUGUAAUUCGUCAAACAAUUUGCAUUAUAGUCUUUAUAGAUAAAGGAGCUACCAAUACGAUGGGUGCGCCAAUUAUCAUGCAUGAAAUUCAGUUUGCCAUUUUGCAUUAUUGGAGUGCCCGGGGGCAAGUGGUGCGCAAUAUUGACAAGUCUUUUGUACAAUUCGAUUCGUAAUCACUUAACCAUGAAAAUGUAGAGAGGCAAACUGACAAUCUCAAACCGGACUAAUAGAGUUUUUGGACAAAAAGUCAUUGAGUGUUUAGUUGUCAAUUAAAAAAGUACUUUUAAAUCAUUAAACAGUUUGGUUGUGUAAAAUUAAAAGUAUUUUUGUAUAAUUAAAUUACCAAAAAGGAUAUAUAUUCAUAAUUAUUUAACAUGUAACAAAAUGCAUCCAAGCUAUCAAUUAAUAAGAAAAAAUCAGUUCAAUCAUUUCUUUAAUUUUCAAAAUUAAAAAUUUCACAAUUGAUAUAUUCUCCUAAACAAAUAAUAUUAUCCAAAUUAAAAUGAUAAUCAAUAAUAUAACUGAAAUGUUAACGGAACAUGAGAAGUGUCGUAUUACCUAACAUCCUCCUCACCAAAAACGUUGGUUAUGACUAUGAUAACUCUCUCAAGUGUUGGUUAUAUAUUAGAGAUUGCAAAAUUAAAGUGCUGGUUAUUUAAAAAAAAAUAAAAAGAGAUAAAGUGAAGUGGCGGCAGCAAUAUAUUUAUAUGGCGGCAACAAUUUUCAUUGGAUAAGUUUUAUACAAAGGGUAUUAUGUAAUUAAUGAAAUAUGUCAAGGAUAUUUUUUAUAUUAUAUAUUUUUUGGAAAAGCUCUCUAACCUCUACUCUCAAAAACUCAAAUUUUGGACUUUUGCUAAUAGAGAUAAAUUAGUUUAUUUAAGCUAAAAAAACUCUACUAAAAAAAUAACCAAACACCAUAAAAAAAUUUAAAAAGUGCUUAUGAAAUUAAAUAAGCACUUAUGACUUUUAAAUAAAUCAUACCAAACAGGCACUAAAUCUAUCAUUAAAAUUCAGCAUAAAAAACACCACGCAUGAUGAGAAUUUAAGGGGCAAAAUACACAAAUGCAUGCACAUACAUCAAAAUGAAUUAAGGUAUGGUACCAUCUAAGCUAAUUAAAAAACAAAUUAAAUUCUUUAUAAAAAAAAAACAAAUUAAAUUUUUAAAAAGAAAAGUCUAUAAAACUGUUUUGUGCCCCAUAUCGGCAUAUCCUCGAAUUGUGCAAAAUAAAAAUUUCUUAUUCGGCAACUUAAUCUUAGACCAAUACAAAGGCUACAACCAAUAGCAUUAGCCUACCGUCACCGGAUACCCCAGAUGAAUGAGGUGACCAGCGGGGGCUGGCGAGGAUUAGGCAGACGAGCGGCGGCUGUGAGUGAUGGGUGCCGGCGAAGAUGGCCGUGAGAGAGUGAGACCGUGAGUGAUGAGAGUGAGUCCGAGACCGUGACCGUCGGCACCGGGCCGUUGGCGUCACCUGAGAGGCUGCGAGAGAGAGAGAUUGCUGUUUGCUGACUGGCUGUGCAGUGCGCCGUUGUCUGCCGUGUGCAUGAGACUUGAGAGAGAGAUUUUACCGAUUGUUAGAUUCAUCUAAGAAUUGAUUAAAUUGACUUUUACAUUUUUCUUUUAUAUUUUAAAUUAGUUUUUUUAAGUUAAAUUAAAGCGAAGCAAUCGAUUUGUCAAAACCGAACUGCACACAAACCAAUCGGUUUGCUAGUUUUCGAACUAUUCGAAUUGUGCCCUUUGAACCAAACCGAACCAAACUCAAAUUUUUUUAUUUGAUUUGGCUUGGUUCGGUAAAAACUGAACCAUUUACCCACCCCAAACUAUAAAGAGGUUACAACAUAAUAUUCAUGUGAUUACAAAUUAUUAAUUUGACUUAAUUAUCCUCAGUGCAAGUGAUAUAGAGAUUAGAGGUAAAGUAUGCACUAUAUUAAUCUUAUAUAAUUCAGAAUAUGCUAAGUUAUCUUAAAAGUCCAAAUGUUUGUAUUUUCUUUAAUGUUUUUCUCUCUAUGUAAAUUCUAUAAAUAUUAUUCAAUAAUUUAGUAACAACUCUAAAGAAUAAAUCAUUGUCCCAAGUAACUUAAAAAAAUAUUUUAUUUCAUCUUUAACCUUUAAUAUAACAUAGCUUAUAUUUUUUACAAUAUACAUAUCAUUAUUAGUAUGUAAAGGUAAAUUUCUUAAAAUAGGAUUUAGAAAAAUUACAACUUUUUAUUAUAAUUUAUAAUUGACUCAAAUUGGGAUUAUAGUUUUUUAAGACUAUAUGAAAAUUAUUUCUAUGUAAAAUAUCACUAUAGUGAGAUUUUAGUUUACUAAUAUAUCUCUCGGAUCUAAAAGCCUACCCAAUGCUUAUCAAUAAUUGCCUUUAUGUAUUAAAAUUAAAAUUCAAUCUAGAAAUGUGAAACUAAAGAAAUGAAUAAAUAAAUGAGUAGAGGUAUUGGCACCCCUCUAAUAUCCUUUAAAAACCCGUAUUAUAAGUACACCCCAUUAAACAAUGUUAGAACUUAGAAAAUUUAUAUUUAUUAUUAACACCCACUUUAAUUCCAAAACUGCCCUUCUUCUAAAUUUGAUUUUCUGUCCAACACCCAACAAUAAACAUCGGCAAUAUUUUUGCUGCCUAUCUCAUAUCAUGCUUUUGGUCCCUCAUUCAUGCAAUUUCCUGUCAUCUCUUGAGUUCUUCUUCUUUUGCAAUUUUGGUACUUGAUAAAUUAUUUUGGUCCCACUCCUUGAUUUAUGCUAAGCCAUUGGACAGUCCUAAGGGUUUUUAAUAAAAGAUUGUUGCAUGUAUAACACUUUAUUUUGGUUUUCUAGAUGCGUGAGACUCAAAACGAUUCAUUGAUCUUUGGAAUGGGACUGAUGAUGAAUGCCAGGAAAUCAUAACCAAUUGAAAAUUAUACUUAUGCGGAGUAUGGCAGCGUUUGAAUUUUAGAGAGAAAAAUUUAGUUGAUACAUUUGUCCUUAAAUAUAAUUGUAGAAAAUAGGGGUUUAUAAGUUCAAUAACGCGGUGCCAAUAGCUCCACUCUAAAUAAAUAUACUCUCACACAAGAAGAGAGUCAAACCCUUAAUAACAACGAGCAUGGAGCUGCCGACCAACUGAACAAUCGGUUGAUUUUUUUUUCCUAUUUUAAAAACUAUUCUGGUUGUUCCAGCAGUCAUUUCAAUAAUUUGGUCUAAUCGACCACAAACAAAACAUGCUUUAUAUCAUUUCAUAAGUGAAAUUAUUGAUGCAUAUGUUUAGAGUCCGGACCAUCAUACGUGUUUAAAAAUUUGAAGUUGGAAUCCGUCAUAUUCAAACUAAUAAUUCUCGGAAGUCGCUUUCCAAAUCAAUAUUCCGAUACCACAUAAUGCAACAAUUUCUUGUUAUUUAUUAGUUCCAUAUCCUGAGCCUUAUUUUAUUUUAUUUUUUUUAACACUCUCUAGUCAAAUUUUUUUUUUCAGGUUUCUAAUCCAGUUAGAUUUUUAAUUUUUUAAUUACUCAUUUACAUCCCUGACACAAAAGCUAUAACAGAAAAUCACAACUUUUGGGUUAUUUUACUUGAUUCUUAAAGCUAGAAAAUUUUCACACUUAUGUACUUCAUCAUAUUUUUAAUUACCCCUGAGGCUAUUGAAAAUUUAGUAUUGAUUGACAUAUAAAUAUAUUAAAAAUGAAUUGAAAAGAAAUGACAAGGAUAAUAUUUAAAUGUUAAAAUUUUCAAAGAUUGAUUAAUAAAAAAAUAGUUGGUGAAAAUUGGAUUUUGUCAUUUUCAUUCAGCGGAAUGGCUACCACUUUAUAUACAAGCAUUGCAACAUAGAUCCUCUUCUUAUGCUUAUAAACUAGCUAUGACUUUUAUAGAAAUAGUAAUUAACACUACUAUAAAUUGGUCUUUAAUGACAGUUUUAAAAGACAUAAGAUGACGGUUAGGCAGUGACAUUAAAGGGGGUAUACUUUUUAUGACGGUUCAAAAACCAUCAUUAAAUGUCCACUUAUAAUGACGGUUAUUUUAAAAAACCGUCAUUAUAUGCCAUAGAUACAUAACAUUUAAUGACGGUUUUCGACAAAAAACCAUCAUUAAAUGUGUAUUUAUAAUGACGGUUAUUUUACUAAACAGUUAUUAUUUAUAAUUUAUACUAGAGAUUUAAUGACCGUUUGUUUGCAAAACCAUCAUUAAAAAACAUAACAUUUAAUGACGGUUUUAGGAAAAAAACCGUCAUUACAUGUACUUUUUAAUGACGGUUUAUAGGAAAAAACCUUCAUUAAAUUGUUUUUCAUUUUUUUACGACGGUUUUUUUAAAUACUCGUCAUUAAAUCAAUAUUUUUAAUGACAGUUUUAUAUAAAACAAUCAUCUUUUGCUAUUUUUAUGAUUGUUUAUGAAUUUAUAAUGACGGUUUUUUUAGAACCGUCAUCUUUGAUGUUAUCUAAAUAAAAACAAUUACAAGCCUACUUUAAUUGUAAUUUUCUAUUUAACAAAUAUAUUUUUACAAUUACUUUUUUACAAACUAUAUCAUAUACAAAAUAUUGCUUUACAAAAAUCUUAGAUGUAUAAUCCUUCAUACAUCCUCAACAAAAUGUUAUACAUUGAAAUUCUUACAAAUACUCUUCCGAUAUAACAAAAUCGACUACUAACUAAGAAAAUUCUCAUACUCUUUUGUAGAGAACUUUGACAAUCCUUCAUCAUCAACAAAAUACUAGCUCUUCCACAUGUAAUCUAGCUACCACAUCUAAAUUCUCAUCAAGUCUUCAUAUGCAAUAUUUUCAAAAAGAUUAUGUAGCUGCUAGUGACGUACGACAUUAUUUACAAAGAAAGAAAAAAUAAAUAUAUCAAGCUCAUUUUUUACAAGUUGUAGUUUAAUCACGAUAAGUUGUAGUAUCUAGUACUAUUAGAGACUAACCUUGAAUUAUCAAUUAAUUAAUUUUCAUAUGUAGUAGCAAGUUGCCAUGUAUACCUAACCCACUCGCAUCUCACCUCGUCAAUCUCCCUUUGAGUGUAACUUUGUAUCUUAACAAACUAUAAAGUGAAAAAUAUAUAAAUUAUUUAGUGGGGAAAAAUAAAUAAAUAUUUGAUAACAAAUUGCCAAUACCUUUUCUAGAAUAGAGACAUUAGUAUUAGCCAUAAUAUCCCACGUAUAUUUCACCACAUAAUAUCUGCAAUGCUCAACAUUUUUGGGUUGACGAGGACACUAUAAAAGAGAAAGUAAUAGAUUUAAAUUACACAAUGGACAAAUUCAUGCAAUAAUAGAUUAUAAUUCUCAUAUACAAACUAUUAUGAAUUUGAAUUUAAGACUAAUGUUCCUUACUUUGAUUGGUUUCCAUAUGCAAUGCUUCCAAUUAAUUUUUCCAUUUGUCGUGCCAAACAUUCUCAAUGAACUUAAUUUCAAAAUUGCAAAGCAUAUAUUAGAAAAUAAUAUAAAGAAAAAACAAGCUAAAAAGUAAAUUUUUUUAACAUACCUAUUAAUAAGCUCUUUCAAGUUUUGACGCGGAACAUGACCAAUUGAAUCAAAAAAAUAACAUUGGCCUUCAUAUGAAUCAAUAACAGCCAACAUCCAAUGUGCUCUACGUGCAAAAUACUUAUCAUUGUAAAAUUCCAAAUAUCAUAGCAAUCUUAUUCACUUUGAAUGUAUAACUUACUAUUCAUUAUAUGGAAAAAUGAUAAGUUACGUUGGAUUGACCGAUUCCAUUAUAUCUCCAAGCUUUUUGGCAUUUUCCUCACUGUCAUGGGCACUCUCAUUUGCAAAAAAUUCUGGAUCAACAAACUUGAACCUUUUUUUCCAAAUUGCAUCUCUUUAUAUUCUCAAAUAGCAGCCUGUACAAGACAUAAAACAAAAAUAAUAUACACAGGGGUGGCUUUAGGUAUAGGCGAAUAAGCCCGUCGCCUAAGGUCUUAUAUUUUAAGAAGGCCUUAUUUUUUGAGUAUUUCCUUAAUAAUUUUCUAAUUAAUAAAGUAUUUUUAAUACGUAUUUCAAGAAAUCAAAAAGUUUAUUAGAUAUCUCUCUAUUAUUAAUUAUUCUAUAAUGAAGAAUUAUUUUUUAUAAAAAAUCUAUAUUUGGGAACCUUAAUUUUAAAGAAAUAUAAUUAAUAAUAUUCUUUAACCUUCAUUCCUUUUCAAUUAUUCAAUGUCAACAUAUUUGACUUUUAAUAUUUCUUUUAAUUUCUACUAAAAACCUCAUAAUCUCAAGAAUUAGUAAAUGAAAAAAAUUUCUUGUUCUCUUCUCUACAAAUAAAAUUAUUAUAUUCAUUGGUUCAUUUAAAAUAAUUAGUUUCUUAAAAUAUAAAGUCCAUUUUUAUUUUUGAACAUCAACUCAUCAUUUUAAAAUUUUUAUAUUCUAUCAUUCUAAAUAUUCUAUUUGAAAAUAAAAUUGUUUUUAUUUAUUUGUUUGUUUUUUUUAACGGUUUUAAUGGAAUAAAAAAAUCAAUCUUCUUGACUAUUUUUUAGGUUUUAUUUUUUAAACUUUUUUUUAUUAUUGUUGAAAUUCAAGAAUUAAAGAUGGAAUAAAUUUUGAUCCUUUUUACAUGUCUUUGAGUAUUAAAAUUACAAAAUAAUAGAGGUCUCAUAAAAAAAAAUUUCCUAAGGCCCCUCAAACUCUAAAGCCGGCCCUGAAUAUACACUCUUACAUCUAUAUAUAGCAAUAUUAUAAAUUUUAUAUAAGACAUCACCUCCUAUACACUUUUAUGACACUAACUGAUAUUUGUUCCAUUCUACAAAAUUGUAGAAUAUCAUCCCUAGCAAGAAACAUCAUUUUAGUUGUAGAAGCAAACAUAUUUAGAUCAAAAUUGAUUAUAAUGGAUCUGGAUGGGUGCAUCACAUUCUUAUCAAAUGAAAAAAACACUUUCCACAAUUAGAGGCAUACUUGAACUUGCUAUGUCUUGAGAAACAAACUUUGAUACCUAAUAUUAAAAGGAAAAAAUUAAUUAAACACAAAAUAAUAAUCUACCUAUUUGAAUAUAUGAUGUAAUGAAAUAAUUUACCUCGUUGUUACUUGUAAUAACAAUUUUUUUAGGCCAAGCCACUAUAGAUGCAAUAGCAUGGCUUACAAGUAUAAGCUCAUCAUGAACCGGUCGAGGUAAGAUAGCAUUUUUUUUGGUAUGCAACAUCAAUAGACACACGUACAUCAGUAGAUGCAAAUGGUAUGCCAUACACGGUUGCAUUUGGUUCAUUAUCCAUAAACAUUGUUCCUUGAGCCACUAUGUUAUGUGUUAACAUAUAUGUUUCCAUAAUGUUGAUUUUGAUGAUAACAAACAAGAUUAAGAAUGAUUAAUCUUUUAAGCUCAAAUUAUUUUCUUUUUAAAUAAAUCAUUAUUUUCACAUUAUAAAUGUUUCAUAUUUAAUGGAAAAAUGAUUUUAUGAAAUUAGUUGUUUUUCAAGUUUAUGGUUUAAUUGAAAGAAUUUUGAAAACUUUAAAAUCAACAAAUAUUGCUUGAAAUUUUGGAGAAGAACUUAUUUGAAAAGUGUCAUAGCAUUUUGAGAUAUAUCAUAAUUUUAGACGGUUUUGGGAUUAACAAAGCAUUACUUAGAAAUUCUAAAAUUGGACUUAUUUGCAAAGUUUCAUAACUUUUUGGGCCGUAAUAUAGUUUUAUAAAGUUUUGGGGUCAAAUUGAAAUUUCAGAAAAUAGUGCACUGUACAGGUUACUGUAGCAAGCGGCUUACCGGAUGUGAAAAACCGGCAAGCCGGAUGUUGGGUAGAAUGUAUCCAAAUUGAAAGCGGCUUACCGAAUAUGGUUAAAUGGCAAUCCGGUUGUUGGGCAGUAAGCUUCUGGAGCUUAAACGGCUAACCGGAUUUCACAAGCGGCAUACCGGAUGUUCAGAAAUUCAAAAUUGUGGCUGUAACGGUAACAUUAAGCGGCUAACCGGAUUUCACAAGCGGCAUACCGGAUGUUCAGAAAUUCAAAAUUGUGGCUGUAACGGUAACAUUAAGCGGCUAACCGGAUUUCACAAGCGGCAUACCGGAUGUUCAGAAAUUCAAAAUUGUGGCUGUAACGGUAACAUUAAGCGGCUAACCGGAUUUCACAAGCGGCAUACCGGAUGUUCAGAAAUUCAAAAUUGUGGCUGUAACGGUAACAUUAAGCGGCUAACCGGAUUUCACAAGCGGCAUACCGGAUGUUCAGAAAUUCAAAAUUGUGGCUGUAACGGUAACAUUAAGCGGCUAACCGGAUUUCACAAGCGGCAUACCGGAUGUUCAGAAAUUCAAAAUUGUGGCUGUAACGGUAACAUUAAGCGGCUAACCGGAUGUCCAUAAACGGUAAACCGGUUAUGACCAAAAUGUGCAUAACGGCUAGUUUUUGAGCUCAAACUAUAUAAACUCAAAACCAAAUCAUUUUUGGUAAUCCAAGCAAGCAUAAACAAGUGCACACAACAUAUAUUGAGCUUCAAUUUCGUAAAUCAUCAUUUAUUAAAUCAUCUUUAUUCUUCAAUUUGUAUAUCCACUCUUAAAGAGAGUUUCAUUGUUGUAAUUUUCAUUUCUCAUCAAAUUAUGAGUGUACAAGUGUGAGAAACACUUGUGGUGAAGAGAUUGGAGAGAUAAUCUCUUAUUGUAAAGGUUCAUUGACACCUUGAAGUCAAUUUUAAACGAUUGAAGCCUUAGAAAGGCUCGGAUAGUGAAAUCCUCAAGCCCGGUGUGCUUGGAGGCGUGGGCGUAGGCGGAGAUUGCCGAAUCACGUAAACAUCCUUGAGUUUGCUUUCUCUUCCCUUGCUCAUUUAUUAUUGUGCUUUCAUUGAAUUUAUUGUUUUCGAAUUUAUUAAGGCAUUAGAUUGGUUUGUUGUGUGGUUUGCUUAAAUUUUUAAAAUCUCAAUUCACCCCCCUUUUGGGUUGCCUAAUUAGUAUUUCAUUUGGUAUCAGAGCGAGGUGCUCUUAUUUAGACUUAAUCGUCUAAAGCUAAAGAUCAAUGGCAACUCAAAAUGAUUCCAUAUUUAGGGAAGGACAAUCCACAAUUAGACCACCAUUCUUUGACUGUAAUGACUACCCAUAUUGGAAAACUAGGAUGAGAAUUUAUUUACAAGCUUUAGAUUAUGAAAUUUGGGAAAUUGUUUGUGAUGGUCCAUUUAUGCCUUUGACUAAAAACGAAGUUGGGGAAGAUAUUCCAAAACCUUCAUGGGAAUGGAAUGAAUUGGAAAAGAGAAAAGCUUCUCUAAAUUCCAAAGCCAUGAAUGCCUUGUUUUGUGCACUUGAUAAGAAAGAGUUUUAUAAAGUGUCUAGUUGUGAAAGUGCUAAUGAAAUUUGGCACAAACUUGAAGUUGUUUAUGAAGGCACGAAUCAAGUGAAAGAGUCUAAAAUUAGUAGGUACACUCGGCAAUAUGAAUUGUUCCAAAUGGAACAAAAUGAGAGUGUGUAUUAUUUGUAUACUAGAUUUACGGACAUAGUGAAUACUCUAGGAGCCCUAGGAAAAUUAAGAAAAUCAUUAGGUCGUUACCUAAGGAAUGGAGACCUAAAAGGACUGCCAUUGAGGAAGCUAAAGAUUUGAAUAUCUUACCUAUUGAUGAUUUAAUUGGUUCUCUUAUUUCUUAUGAGGAAGACAUGGCAGCCGAAAGAGGCAAUGAGGAGAAGAAGAAAAGCAUUGCUCUCAAAGCCUCGAAAUAUGAGAGUGAUGAGGAAAGCGAGCUGGAUGAAGAGGAGAUGGAUAUGCUGGUUAGGAGGUUCAGAAAAAUUUUUAAGAAAUCCGCUGAGUGAAGAAAAUUUAGAGACUUCAAGAACCGAAAGGAGAAGAAAGAAGUAAUCAAAUGUUAUGAGUGCAAGAAGCCUGGCCAUAUAAGAACGGAAUGCCCUCUUCUCAACAAGCUCAAGAAGAAAGCAAUGGUAGCCACAUGGGAUGAUAUCGAUGAGGAAACAAGUGAUGAACUUGAUGAGGUAAAUGAUCUUUUUACUUAUGAUGAAUUAUAUGAUGCUUUUAAAGAAUUGCAUGAUAAUUGGAUAAAAAUUGGUAAAAAGAAUGCAUGUCUUAAAAAGAAAAUGGUAAAGCUCACAAAUGAAAAUGAAUCUCUAAGUGCAAAGAUUACAUGUCUAAAAUUAGAGAAUAAAACAUUGCAUGAUAGAGUUGCAUUAUCAAAUGAGAAACCUAGCACUUCACAUGAGCAUCUAGAAUCAUAUGUAGAUCACUUGAAAAAUGAAAAGGAUGCUUUACAAAAAUGCAAUGAUUCAUUAAACGAAAAGAUUAAAGGACUAGAGUUAGAUAAUAAAAUGUUGCAUGAUAGAAUUGCAUCAUUUAAAGGUAAACAAAGUAUUUCAUAUGAGCAUGAAAAAUCACAUGUUGAUGAGUUGAUGAAAGAAAAUGAAAUGCUAAAGAAAAAGUGUAAUGAGCUCAAUGAAAUUGUGUUAAAAUUCACAAAUGGUCAAAAGAACUUAGAAAAAUUACUAAGCACUAAAAAAUGUGUGUUUGAUAAAGGAGGACUUGGGUAUAAGCCUUAUUUGAAACAAAAAUAUUAUAAAAAUUAUUUUGUUAAGGCUACCUCCACAAGUGAUCAUAAGAUUGUUUGUCAUUAUUGUAAUGGAAAUGGUCAUAUGAGUUUUAGAUGUCCAGUUAAGAGAAAUGUAUAUUAUGGAGUCAAAUGUAUUUGGGUUUCAAAAUGAACUAAAUCUAACGUUCAAGGACCCAAGAGUAUUUGGGUACCAAAGCACACAGCUUGAAUUUUUUUUGUAGGUACCACAAUCAAAGAAUGGUGGAGAAGCUCCUUGAUGAAAGUUUGUGAGGAUAAUCACUUGAGUAUGAUCUAGGAGAAAAAGAUGAGGCAAGAUGAUUUAAUUGUUUUGGUAACAAUUAUUGCCAUAUUAAUUUUGUUGAAUGAAUCAUGAUAAAUGAAUUUGCGAAAGUGAGGCAAGAUGAUUUAAUUGUGAAAGUUUGUGAGGAUAAUCACUUGAGUAUGAUCUAGGAGAAAAAGAUGAGGCAAGAUGAUUUAAUUGUUUUGGUAACAAUUAUUGCCAUAUUAAUUUUGUUGAAUGAAUCAUGAUAAAUGAAUUUGCGAAAGUAUGCUUGUAUGUUUACAUGAUGGAAUUAUCAUUGUAUUUAACAUUGAGUGCUUUAUCAUGAUGCAUGGUUUUAUAUUUAUGAUGAUAGCUUGUCAACUCAUCAUGAUUGAUUUGUUUGAUUUUGAUGAUUAUAUAAUGCCUAAGCUUGAUAAAUGAGUGAUAUGCUUGAAUUUUUAAUCUUUGAAUGCUUAUAUGUUUCAUAAUUGUGUAAAAUAUAUACAUGAUGAAUGAAUUAUAUGUGUGAAUUAAUCUUUGAAUGCUUAUAUGUUUCAUAAAGCUUGAUAAAUGAGUGAUAUGCUUGAAUUAUUAAUCUUUGAAUGCUUAUAUGUUUCAUAAUUGUGUAAAAUAUAUACAUGAUGAAUGAAUUAUAUGUGUGAAUUCUUGUGCCAUUAAUUGUGUUAUAUCAUCAUUCAUUUAUAAAAUUGACAUAAUUGUUUGAUACGAUUUCAUAUGUUUGGUCUUGUAUACAUUUAUGUCUUAUGCAUUAAAUGGCUUAUUGAAAAAUUUUGAAUCUCAAAAUGAUUUUAAAAUUAAUCAAUUAUUAAGCUAAAAAUAAAUUGGUGUGUGUAAUACAAGUCUAAAAGUUUACUAAACUUCAAAAAUAUUCUCCAUAUUUUUAACCGAUAAACCUCUUCUAAUCAACCGGAAAACCAUUCUUCUUAUUGAUUAUUCUCUAAGUCAUAUUCUGGAAAAACUGGAUUUGCUAAGCUUCCUCUCUGCCUCAAAACCGGACAGCCGAUUCUUCAAAUCCAGAAAACCAGUUACGGUUUGUAUGGUUCUGCCUCACAACCGGCUAACCGGUUCUUCAAUCCGGAAAGCCGAAUUCGUGAAGCCAUGUUCUGACUCAAAACCAGCCAGCCUGUUAUUCGAACCGGUAAGCCGAAUGCAUGUUUGACCCAUUUUGGAAGCUAUCCGGAAAACCGGAUAACGUAUCCGGCAAGCCGUUUUCGGCUUUUAUGAUUCUGGUCACUAACUGGCUAACCGGUUAGUGAAAUCCAACAACCCGGAUUCAGGCAUUCAUAUUUUGUUCAUCCUCUUCUCCUUCAUUCAGUCAAUCGGUUACUCUCUCACUGAAAACCGCUUCCUCUCUCACGCAAUAUCUCUCUAAAAUCCAUCAAUCUCAUCCUUUUUCACUUCAAAUCCUUUAUACUUGUAUUUGAACACACCAACAUUUACUAUUUUAUUUUUCUUUUAUUUUGCAUUUGGAUUAUAUGGAUGUUUGCUAUGAUUUUGGAUUAUAUGGCUGUUUUGAAUUAUAUGGAUUUGAUAUAGUUAUAUGUUAUGUUCUUUACUUACGUUUUGGAUAAUUUUGAACUAAUGUGCUUGAUUUGAGGUUUUGAUGAUUGAUAGGGGGAGACAAAUAUGAUAUGUUUUUGGAUAAAAUUAAUUUGGUUAAAAUUUUAAAUUGGCCAUAUAUUUAGGGGGAGCAUAUAAUAUGAUUUUGGAUAAUAUGCAUUUUAAACUUUUUUAUUGUCCAAAGGGGGAGACAAAGUAAUAUAUCAUUUCGAUGUUGUCAAAAGGAAGAGAAUAAUAUGCAUUUUAAGUAUUGUUUUUAUUAUGGUGAUGAUUUUGGAAUAUGAUGAUGAUUUUGAUGAUUUUGAGAUAAUGAUGAUUUGAUUAUAUAGUUGUUUUAUAUGAUAAUUUUAUAUUAUGAGUUGUUGAUUUGGUAAUUAAUGGAAUAAUGGUUCAUGAUAUUUUGGUGUGAUGUUUUGUGUAUGGAGUCGGCUUGUAUCAUGAUUUAUAAUAAUUUGUGAGUAAUAUUACUAAACUUGUAUUUGAGGUAAUGCUUGUUGUUAGGGGGAGAAUGUGUUGAAAUUUCUACUCGGACAAACAUGAGUAAUAAAUUUGAUACUCUUAUUCUUUUCCGUUAAGUUUUCUUUUUGAUGAUGAAGGGGGAGAAAAAUCCAUGUAUUUAAAUCUGUUAAUUUAGCUCAUUGGCAAAUUGUAAGAGAAGAUUAUAUUUAGGGGAAGCAAUUUGUGGAAUCAUUCUUUAAAUACAUGAAAUGUUUGUCAUCAUCAAAAAGGGGGAGAUUGUUAACAUAUAUGUUUCCAUAAUGUUGAUUUUGAUGAUAACAAACAAGAUUAAGAAUGAUUAAUCUUUUAAGCUCAAAUUAUUUUCUUUUUAAAUAAAUUAUUAUUUUCACAUUAUAAAUGUUUCAUAUUUAAUGGAAAAAUGAUUUUAUGAAAUUAGUUGUUUUUCAAGUUUAUGGUUUAAUUGAAAGAAUUUUGAAAACUUUAAAAUCAACAAAUAUUGCUUGAAAUUUUGGAGGACUUAUUUGAAAAGUGUCAUAGCAUUUUGGGAUAUAUCAUAAUUUUAGAAAGUUUUGGGAUUAACAAAGCAUUACCUAGAAAUUCUAAAAUUGGAUUUAUUUGUAAAGUUUAAUAACUUUUUGGGCCGUAUUAUAAUUUGAUAAAGUUUUGGGGUCAAACUAUAAUUUCAAAAAAUAGUGCACUGUACAGGUUACUGUAGCAAGCGGCUUACCGGAUGUGAAAAACCGGCAAGCCGGAUGUUGGGUAGAAUGUAUCCAAAUUGAAAGCGGCUUACCGAAUAUGGUUAAACGGCAAUCCGGUUGUUGGGCAGUAAGCUUCUGGAGCUUAAACGGCUAACCGGAUUUCACAAGCGGCAUACCGGAUGUUCAGAAAUUUAAAAUUGUGGUUGUAACGGUAACAUUAAGCGGCUACCCGGAUUUCACAAGCGGCAUACCGGAUGUUCAGAAAUUCAAAAUUGUGGCUGUAACGGUAACAUUAAGCGGCUAACCGGAUGUCCAUAAACGGUAAACCGGUUAUGACCAAAAUGUGCAUAACGGCUAGUUUUUGAGCUCAAACUAUAUAAACUCAAAGUCAAUUCAUUUUUGGUAACCUAAGCAAGCAUAAACAAGUGCACACAACAUAUAUUGAGCUUCAAUUUCGUAACUCAUCAUUUAUUAAAUCAUCUUUGUUCUUCAAUUUGUAUAUCCACUCUUAAAGAGAGAUUCAUUGUUGUAUUUUUCAUUUCUCAUCAAAUUGUGAGUGUACAAGUGUGAGAAACACUUGGGGUGAAGAGAUUGGGGAGAUAAUCUCUUGUUGUAAAGGUUCAUUGACACCUUGAAGUCAAUUGUAAACGUUUGAAGCCUUGGAAAGGCUCGGAUAGUGAAAUCCUCAAGCCCGGUGUGCUUGGAGGCGUGGACGUAGGCGGGGAUUGCCGAACCACGUAAAAAUCCUUGAGUUUGCUUUCUCUUCCCUUGCUCAUUUAUUAUUGUGCUUUCAUUGAAUUUAUUGUUUUCGAAUUUAUUAAGGCAUUAGAUUGGUUUGUUGUGUGGUUUGCUUAGCUUAAUUUUUAAAAUCUCAAUUCACCCCCCCUCUUGGGUUGCCUAGUUAGUAUUUCAUUAUGGUCAUCGCCUAAUGCCAACUUACAAAAAGUCCCCUGUAAUAAAAUGUAAUAAACCACCAAAUAAAUUACUGAAUAACUUAAUCUUUCAUAAAUAGCUGCAAAAAAUUGACAACACUGUAGUAAAAUAAAGCUAUUUUAAUAUAACUAUUGUUACUUAUAUGUUGUCAUAAAAAAGUAAGGAUUUUGCUUUUGUUUUGCACGAAAAAUAACAUAACUUUUAGUACAAAACAACAGCCAAAAUAGCAAUAAAAUGGUGUUGUUUUUUGUUGCUAUUUUGUAGAAAACAACAUAACUCAAAGUAUAAAACAACAACAAAAAUAACAGUAAAAUAAAGCUAUAUUUACUAUUGUUUUGCAAAAAGAAAAGCAGCAUGAUUUUUACUAAAAAAAAGCAGUAAAAUAAAGUUGUUGUUGUUUUACAGCAAAACAACAUGAUUUUUACUACAAAAUAGUAGUAAGAACAACAAUAAAAUAAAGCUAUUUUUACUACUACAAACCAACAGUAAGAGUAGGAGUAAUAUAAAGCUAUUUUUGCUGCUGUUUUACAAAAAGUAGCUUGAUUUUCACUACAAAACAACAACAAAAAUAACAAUAACAUAAAGCUAUCUUCCACCGAUAUUUCGUAGAAAAACAACAUUAUUUUUUUGACAAAACAACAACAGAAAUGACAAUUAAAUAAACUAUUUUUCUAUUGUAUCUCCUGUAAAGUUAACAUGAAUUUCACUGUAAAAUAAGAUGUUUACUGCAAAAUAGUAAAAAACCAGAAAAAAUAAUAAACAGUAAGAUGUACCUUUGAUAACCGUACAAUUGGCAUUGGUUGGUCCUUUGUGACAGGCCUACUCUGAUCUUGCCUUUCACCUAGAUCUGAACAACUAUCUCGGUCAGAUUGUAGUCGAUUUGGUGGAAAUUGAGAGUCAUUGACUUCCUUCAUGAAUUCUUUUUAAAAUCUAUCAUCCUCUGCGUGACAAUCUUAUCAACUUUCUCUUCGACAAUAUUCUCUAUAUCAAUUGCUAUGGAUUUACGUUUCGCCCUUCCAAAAUAUGAUGUUAUCGUCACUCCAUCACUAGUAGCUUGUACUCGACCUAGAUGUUCUGGUUUCUCCAAAGCCAUAGUGAGAAUAUCCUCACCCGAUUGAAAUGAAAUUUCUCCAUCAGCAACUUGUUUCUUUAAAUCAGUCUACAAAGACAAAAAAUUCAUGAACUUAUAAUAUAUUUACCAUAAUCUUAUGAGUCAAAUACUAUGUAAAAAAUUAUAAACUUGCUAUUUUCUCAGCCUUUUCUUUAACAUCCCCACUUCUAAAUUCACCAUUCUUUGUUUUUUGAGCUUUAACCCAAAAGUCUUCUCGUGGUACGGGGUCAUAAACACUAGUUGGUCGUUGUUUGUUCAUGAAAGACUGGUUCGAGGCAAUUUGUAGAGUAGCUUGGUUGUCAGAAAACAACAUGCUCGGUCAAGUAUGUUUGAUUUCCAAGUCUAUCAAGAUAUUCUUCAACCAAGUAACUUCCCAACAUGUAACAGCCAUAAAGCGAUACUUUGCCACAGCAGUUGAUCGAGCCCUUAUUGUUUGCUUCUUUCUUUUCUAAGAAAUGGGUGAUUGUCCGAGAAAUAUACAAUGACCUAUUGUUGACCUUUUUGUGUCUUUACACCAAGCCCAAUCAGCAUCAACAAAUUCCUUCAAUUGGAGUGUGCUUGUAGAGGAUAGGAGGAUACAGUGUCUUGGUGUGUGCUUUAAAUUUUUGAAAACUCUAUAUGCUACCUCAAAGUGUGAUAUACGUGAUUUGUCCAUAAGUUGACUUAAAAAAUUGACGGCAUACACCAAAUCUGGUCUAGUAAUGCUUAGGAAUAUCGAUCUUCCCACAAGACACCUAUAUGAUGAAGGAUCAUUCAAAUGGUCUCCAUCAGAUUGUAUAAGAACUAAGUUUUGUUCCAUUGGGAACUUGGCUGGUUUAGAGUAUCUCCAAUGCAUAUUUUAUUUGAGAAAGACAAAUCCUUUUCGAAGACCUUGCCACUUCUAUACCUAAGAAGUAUUUGAGUUAUCCAAGAUUUUUAAGCUUGAAUUGCCUGGACAAAAACUAUUUUACAUCUUCAAUAUGUUAUAGAUUGUUGCCUACCAAUAUCACACCAUCGAUAUAUACAAGAAUUGCCGUGAAACUACCAAUAUAGGAUUGGACAAACAAUGAGUAAUCUGCUUUCGAUUGGUGAAAACCAGCAGCUUUAACUUUAUAAACCAUUGCUUGGAAGCUUGUUUCAAGCCAUAUAAGGAUCUGGUAGAGAAAUGACUCCCUUCUAUCAAGUUUCUUUCUACUAAACCAAGACCUAUCUCUAAUCCAAGAUCAAUCAAUGGACAUACAAAUAGGAACAUAUCCAAUCUUUGAAAGAAUAAGAACAAAAAAAGAACGAACAACCCAAGAAAACAUAGGUUAUAGUGUUUCAACACUUAAGCACAAUGCCUACUUUCCCUUGAGGAAGAUCAUCAAGUGUACACAAAAGAAAACAAGAUCAACCUCUCUAUUCUUUACAAAUUUUGAUCCCUACUUGAUUAGCUCUCCCAGAACACUCAAGAAUCAGCUUAUAUAAAUUGAUUCUAGGCUUGUUACAUUAACUGGCAUUUUCCCUCUAAAACCAACAGCUUUUAAUAACUUCAACAUGCAUGCUUCACGUGCUUACUAAAGAAUCUUCUAAACGACAUUUAAUUAUGCCCUUUGAGGCAGUAUAUUUUAAUAGAGAAUCAUGCAGUAUACACAUGAUUUACUUAAGCACUUUGGAUGACAAAGCCACCAACAUCGGUUUGUGCUCUACAGCUUUAGAGAUGACAUAUCAUUCGAACUCAAAUCCUCAAAAUGAUAGGUUGCCCAUUUGAGUUUGAGCUCAUAUUACAUCAAUCUCCACCUUGAGCUCAAACUCCAGCUAUUCCAUUCUGCUAUCUUCCUUUAAUCUGUAGUCAUUGAAACUUACAAACCCCUGCCAAGUUCAUACAGAAAUUGAACUUAGCAAGUGGCAUUUCCUUAGAAAACAUUAGUUGGAUCUUGGUCUGUAGAAAUCUUCAGUAGCUUUAAUCUUCCCCCUGAGACUUCUGACCUUACAAAAUGCAGCUUCACAUCAAUAUACUUUGUUCUCUCAUUGUGAGUCUAAUUCUUACUGAAAUGAAUUGCACUUCGGUUAUCAUAGUACACAUCAACUGAUUCUUGUUUUCCUCCUAAUUUACUGACCAUUCCUUUUAACCAAAUGGCCUCCUUGAAAGCUUCCACUACAGUUGUGUACUUAGCCUCUGUUGUUGAUAGUGCCACCAUACUUUGCAAUAUGGUUUUUCGAUUCACAACACAGCCAUCCAAAGUGAAUAAGUAUCCUGUCAGUGAUCUUCUCUUAUCAAGAUCCCCAGUAAAAUCAGAAUCAACAUACCCUACCAAAUUACAGUCUUGAAUUUUUAAUCCAUCAUACACCAAACCAUACCCUACCAAAUUACAGUCCUGAAUUUUUGAUCCAUCAUACACCAAACCACACUUCAAGGUCCCUCUUUAAAUACCUCAUUAUCCAUUGAACUACCCUCCAGUGUUCAUAACCUGGAUUAGCCAUAACUCUGCUUACCACACUUAUUGCAUAUGAGACACUAGGCCUAGUAAGUAUCAUCGCAUAUAUAAGGUUCCCAACUAUAUUUGAGUAAAGGAGAUUGGUCAUUCUCAGCUGCUCUUCUUCAGUCUUUGGACAUUGAGCACUUAACAGUUUAAAACGACCAGCCAAAUGGAGUUUGAAUAGAUUUGGAUCCAUACAUGCCAAAAAUAAGUAACAUCUUCUUGAUAUAGCUUAGCUUUGAUAUUUAUUUAUGAUAAAAUCCAUUCCUAAAAUCCUCUUAGCAGCCCCUAGAUCCUUCAUUUCAAACUCAAUACUCAAAUGUUUCUUCAACAGUAAUAAGACUACCUAGAUUCCUCAUUCUUAGAAAACAAAGACAAGGUAUUCAACAAUUAUUAUUCCUUAAAUUUCAAGCAAACUUUAACCGAUUUUCAAGCAAAAAAUUUAGAUUUUUUUUCACAUUUGCUAAGAAAUAGAAAUUCACGACAAACCUAGCCAUUGUUUCUUGAAGUUUUGAGGAGAUUUUAUGGAAUGUUGGUAGGCAGUGGCAUGUUGCAGCGAUAGUGGGUAGCUAGCCUGGCCGACGAUUGUGGUGGCUGGAUGGCUAGCAGUGGAGUGGUGUCGUGGCAGUGACUCUUGAUAGAGUGAGAGAGGCUUGAUAGCGUGAGUUCGUGAGAGAGGCUUAAUUGUAUCAUAUGCACUUUAAUUUUCUAAUUAAGUGUAUUAUUAUUUUCCCUUCGAUAUAAAAUUAUUAAAGUUUUUGGAUUUAUUAUAUAUUUUAACUGAUAGAAUUUUUUACAUAACUCAAAUUUGACUGGGUUGUAGAAUUUGACAGUUUUAAUAAAUUAAUCGUGUUUUGAAUAAUUUAAAUUUUUCAUGACAUUCAAUCAAGACAAUUGGAAAGCAAUCAAAUAGCAGUGUAGUUGGAUUUUAUUUUCAAUAUGGGUCCGGUAUUAGCUAAAUUUGCAUUAAGCUAUAAAAGAAAAAAGAGAGAGGCUGAUUCUAUAAAUUGAGAAGGGGGCGAGAGAGAGAGAGAGAGAGCUGAAUCAGGUUACUCGAACUCGGAUCCAAUCAACAACCCGACCGGAUCGCAUUUCACGAUUUCAGCCACCUCACCCGUCGAGCAAGGUACCGAUCAGAAGCUUGGAAGUCGGCCAUCACUUCCCUACUAUCAUCACUGUCAAAAAAUGACCAGGGCGCUGGCGAUCAAGCUUCGUAGCCUACGACUUUUCUACCUUGCUUUGCCGCGAUUUCUGUUGCAUUUUGGAUGUACCACCGGUUGGGUUUUGUUCCUCAGUUCACCCUCAUCAUUUUCUGUCAAGUCCCAUCACUUGAAACGGCCUGAUUGCUACCGAUCAACCUUUAGAGGAAUCACGACUUUGGGAGCUUGAUCCGCCGCCAUUGCUGCGCAUGGGAGGUCACUAUUGGCACCAUUGAACUCAACUCGGCUAGAAGUGUCUAACCUAAGCUUCCCAAUCACUAUUGACUAAAUUCCGAUCACAGUUGAUCAACAGGGGCAUUUCGAUAAUUUUACAACCUCAGAGAUAUUUUUUGUAAUUUCUUAAGUUGUUGAUAAUUUAGUAAUUUCAGACUAAGGGCAGUUAGGUAAAUUGUGAUUAUAGGGGUAAUUCGAUAAUUUAAGUCUACAAGGGCAAUUCAAAAAUUUCAUACUUCAAGGGAAAUAAGUAAAUUCAAACCUUGGUGGAUAAUUUGGUAAUUUUAGGUUGAGGAUAGUUUAGUAAUUUGUCAUUUAAGGGAUAAUUUCGUAAUUUUAAGAGAUAGAGGUAUUUUAAUAAUUUCAUAUAAUCGAGGGUUGUAUGAGAGUAAUAAAUGAUCAUUUAAAGUUUAAUUGCAUAGCAUUGAUUUCAUUGCACAUUUACGUAUAGUAAUUAUGUCAUUUCUCGAAUUAGAAGGAUCUGCAAACGAGAAUCAACCGACAGUCAUGGACGAUAGCUGAGUUUGAGCGUCGUCACUGUGAGUGGAAUAUACAAAACCUAUUUCAUAUUUUAUUAUGAUAGUAAAGCAUGUUUGCGAAGUAAGUAUUUUAAAUACUUGAAUUCAAUGAUUUUCUCGAAAUGGAUUUUAUUUACAUGUUGAUAUGUUAUUAAAAAGUGUUUGGUUAAUGGCUUUCCAUAUCGAUUUUUGAAUAACAUAUGAUAGUAUUUUAAAGACAAGAGAAAUAGAUUCACAUAUGUUAAUGAAAAGAAAAGUAUGAUUAAAAGGAAUAUGAAUAUGAGUAUAAAGAAUUGUUUUUAAAAUCAUUAGAUAGUACCCUUCCCCUUCAGAUAUAGUGAUACAGAUGAUAUAGAUGAGAUAUAGACCUUUGGGGGCCUGUUUGAGUACACAAAGAUGCUUUGGGCCGUGUACUCAGGUGCCUUUGUCCUUUGGGGACUAGUUUAUGCAUGCAUAGAUAUGAUGAGAUAUAAGAUGACAUUUCCCUGUCUAUCAAUUGUAGCUCUGCAGCAUGAGGUUUCCCGAUGGACCGUCCAUCGAGGUUCAGGUAUGACGAGAUUAUUCCCCUAGGUACUUGUUUAAUGAUAGGUUUUAAGAUUCAGUAUUUGAGAUUGUAGUAUGAUAUGAUUUUCUUGAUUUUCAUGCGGUAUUAUAUAUUAUGUUUAUGUUAGUGUAUGACUUAUACUUAAAUAAAUUAUUUAAGUUUCUUGUGGUAAAUUUGGUAAAAUUACUUACUGAAAUGAUAUACUUAUUUUGAAGUAAUUUGUUUUCAAAAAUUACUAUCCACUCACUAAGUUCACUGAGUUUUAUACUCACCCCGUUUUUCUUAUAUUCCCCUACCUCCACAGGAGAUUUGUAAAUAUAGCAGUCGACCCAGCAAUAAUAGUUAUAUUGAUAUUAUGGUCAUGUGAUGGUGUUAGGAGUCAUAGAUGUUCUUAUUAGGAUAUUUCAGAUUGCAUAAUUUUGUUGUAAUUUGUGAUUAAGGAUAACCUAUUGUAUUUUGAUGUUAGAAUGUUUGGAUGAUAUUUGGCGUUUUUGAUUGAGGAAGUUGGUUGCGGAAAUUGGUUGAAUAUUGAACUAUUUUUGGGAUUGUUCAUUUUAUAAAUUUGCAAGUUGGGAAUGUUACGUUUAUAGGGAGGACUCUGAAAAUUUUUGCGGUAGAAUCCUUAAAUAUUAGAUUUAUUAUUAAUUUGGUUAGACGAGUUUAGAUAGACUUGUUCUAGGGGUUCGGGAGGGUCGUUUCAUUGACGACAUGAGAAAGACGAUGUGAUGGCAUAAGUCUGUGUAAUGGCUCCAAGAGCAAAGAGGUGUGAGAUGUGAGGUGUUAGAGCACUAGAGUAGUUAGUAUUGGAGCACUGGAUCAGAAGCAGUAGUGCCUCUUUUUUCUUUCAAAGUUGUAAUGUUAAUUAUUACAGACUUAACGUUGUUUUUUGUUGGGUCUCGUGAGUAUGAGAUAUGAGUUGUCAUGUGUGAAUGCAUGUGCGUGUUUUUUUUUUCUUUUAUGGUUAGUGUCAAUAUCAAAAUAUUAGAAUGGUUUUUAAGAAAAAACCUUAAAAGCUUGGUUUUUAUAGGCCUUGGGUUCAAGUUAUAUCUCGAAUAAUAUAAGAAUUACUUGGAUUUUUUUUUACCAAUGCCUUAGUGUCAAUCAUCUCUGAUGUCUAAUUUACAGACACCAUCAUAUCAAUACUUUGUGAUACUUGGAUGUUAAAUUGAUAACUCUAUGAAAUGAGAGUUAUCACGGCACUUUUAAGCGUAAAUCAAAGUUACUUAGAUAGUAAAUAAUAGGUUUCUUAUUGCAUUUUAGCUAAAUUUUGCAUAAGUGUCAAUUUUAGUUUAAUUUCAAUAAAUUGUAUUAUUUUAGAAUAAUUUGUGUGCUUAAAAUUGUUUAUAUAAUUGUAGGUAAGCGGGAGCUCAAAUUUCAAAGAAGGAAUACUGUUGCAAUAAGAGUACAAAGAUAAAGAAAGAACAUGGCUACAAAAAGGAUUGAUGAAAGACUGAAACAAUGCAGAUGUUGUAACCAUUGCUGUAGCAAUCUUAAAGCAUUGAUAGAGAAAAUUUCACACGAGAUCUUUACAAAAUCGCGAUCUGAAGUUUCCAAAUCUGGAAUAUACGCGCCCAAAACUUCCAGCUGACCUAGUUUGCAACUAUAAACGAAGCAUGCAUGAAAAGCAAGGGAGAGAGCCGUCAACCAAGGACAUAAACCAACUUGAGAUAAGUGGAGAACGAAAUCAACAAGUGAAAUUAAGGGCUGCAAUAGAGGAAAACUUGCAGAAUUCAAUCAGGAAUUUAGUCAUUUUUAUUGUUCUCUUGUUUUCUUGUUCAUUACUUAAUCAUGGGAACGUAUUUGAUGGUUGAAACUCUUUUGUUUAUUUUAUUUCGUAAACCAUGAAUUAAAUUUAUUUAUAGUUGAGUGAUAAAUAAUCUUGAUGGUUCAUUGACUGAUUUUAUGUAUUGCUGCAUGUUUGCUAUAACAUUUUGUUUUGAUAGUACUUAUUUUAAUUCAUUAUUUCAGUUGACCACUCAUUUAAUGAUACUAGCUAAGAGAGAGCAGCAAAAGGGCCUACCUUAGUAGAACAUAUUAAAGCAAUACUUGGUUUUAGAUUAAGUUUCCUGAGUUGAGUUUACAUGAUUCCAAAAUGGCCAUGCUUGAUCUAAAAUUAGUGAUGAAUUAAAUAUACAGAUUCACCUUGUAGGGUAAAUAGAACCUAAACGUGUAAUGCUAUAUCUUAUGUUGGCAUAACAAUUGGUCACUGUUAGGUUACAUAAGGAUAUAAGACAUCCAACAAGUGACAACUGAGAAUACAUAAGGAUUCUGUCCAGUGUUGUAGCAGAUGCUGCAGCAACUAAACCUACAAUUAGAAGAAAUAGUCAAAACCAUAUAGAGAGUUUAAUCACUCAACUACUCCAUUCCCAUUAGUUUUAUCCUUGUGUGUAACGUGAGAAUUUACUUGAUUGAAUUUCUAUUUAUUGUAUUUUAUUUUAGUUAAAUUGGAUUAGUAGUUUUAUUAUUUGGUUUAUUUUCAAUCAAAGCAAAAUGGCACUGUUGAGUUUGCUGUAGCAAGUCUAAUAAUAUCAAUCCUUAUGGAGACGAUCUCGAACACUUAUCAUUAUAUUACUUGUUGUGUACACUUGCACAUUGACAUCAAUAGCAUUUGGAUUUAUACCAACAUAAACACAUCAGAUGGUCCAAAUUUAUGUAAAUACUAAUACUUUUUGACGAAGUGUCACGAGUUAAGUAUCGAUAAAGACUAUUUUUCUAGUAGUGCUUUUCUCAAAUCAUGGGGAGAACAUCUUGACCAUCUAUUACUAAAAGAUAUUCAUACAUAUAGUCUUUUUUUUUUUAAAUGAUAGGUUGAUAUGUUUUAUGGCUCGUCUUCAUAUAGAAGGUUGAAUCACACAUGAAUGCAAGUUCGACACCAAAAAUUAAUUUGAAUAAAUAAACGAAAUAAAAAUAUCGUUAUCAUGCAUGAGUUUGGGAUAAAUGUUAAGAAAUUGACAAUUUGAAUAAAGAAAAUAAGAAAAAAGAGACUCAAUCAUGCAUGAGCUUUGCUUGGAGCUACUUGAAAGACCUUGCACCUAAGCUACUCUAGCUCUCUAUAAAUUCUAACUCUUCUUCACCGAAUGCAACGCGCAUCAAACAGAUAUAUAGCUUUGAAAACAAAAAAAUGAAGAUUUCAUUAGCAACAACACUCUCUUUCCUUAUCCUUGCCUUGGGCUCAAACUCUUUGUUGGUCUUGGGCACCUCAUCAGUUCCUGAACCUCUCCUUGAUGUCAACGGCAACAAGGUCGAAUCCACCCUUCAGUACUACAUAGUCUCAGCCAUCUGGGGAGCUGGCGGUGGUGGAGUUAGCCUACACGGUGGCAGAAACGGAUAUUGUCCGCUGGACGUUAUCCAAUUACCUUCUGAUAUGCAAAAUGGAAUCAAAUUAACACUGUCACCGUAUAACAAUUCUACAAUUGUCCGAGAAUCCACUGAUCUCAACUUGAGAUUCUCAGUGUUGCUAUCUGGACGUGACUGUUGUAACGAACAACCAUUGUGGAAAGUUGAUAAUUAUGACGCUGCAUCAGGCAAAUGGUUUAUAACAACCGGGGGACUUGAUGGCCACCCUGGAGCUGAAACUUUGCUAAAUUGGUUUAAGCUUGAGAAAAUUGGAAAUUUUCCAGGUACAUACAAAAUCGUUCAUUGUCCAUCCGUUUGCGAGUCUUGUGUCAAACUCUGCAACAACGUUGGCCGUUCGUUUGAGGAUGGCGUUCGACGUCUGGUUCUGGUUCGUGAUGAUGAGCCGGCAUUUCCUGUUGUGUUAAUUCCCGCUACAGAAAGAUCAACGUCUGUGUAAUCAAUGUACCCUAACCAGCUAGCGGUAUUAUUGUUCUAAAUAACGGACCAGGCUAGCUGCUCUUUAAUCUCUAGGAUUAAAAUUAUGAAUAAGAUAGCCUGUGAUCCUUUCGGGGUUAAUAAAUUCUACUGUUGGUGUAUACCUUAAAAUGUAAUUUCUUGUUGAACAUGAAAAUCGAAAUCAAGUGUUCUUUGUUUUGAUUCACUGCUUCUUUUUUCUUUUCUUCUUUUUGGCAAUUCUGUUUCUUGCCAUUACUGGUGAUCAUUAAUUAGAGGUUAAAGCCACGUCUUGAUACUGAUCAUCGCAAACUUGAAUAAGAGUGGAAAAUGCAAAAAGUCGGGUGAUUGAUUAUUUUGCCGACUAAUGUUUUAAUGGAUAAGCACCGACAAACUCUGUGGCAAAGAUUAGAUCACGAGUUUCUUAUUGUUAUAUAUGCGUGUGUGUAUGUAUGUAUGUAUGCAUUUUAUGUUAAUAAAUUUAUCUUGUUUCUUGAGGUUUACUUUAAAAAAAAACUGCGCACAAAAGUAUUAAUAAUUUGAAAGGGCGCGAUUCCUCAAAUUAUGAGGGAAAACAAAUUAUUAAUUAGCACAAAAAUAAAAAAUUGUGUAUGUGUGUGUAUACGUAUAUGUACAUGCGUUUACACGGCUAAGCUUUCAACUUCAAUUUAUUUUGAAUUUUUUGCUUUAUAGUUUCUUCAAUCUUCAAUUUAAUCUCAAUUAUUGAUUAAGAAAAAUUGAUCAUCAAUGAAUAUAAAAAUUAUUUCACUCAGCUUUUACCAAUCAACCAUUGUUUUUAAAAUUGUUAAGAAGAUAAAAAAAAUUUCAUCAAUCCAACUUUUUUUCCUUAUUUUUGGAAUAAAAUAGAAUAAGUUGAGGAUUACAAUUGUUUGAGACAUAUUUUAAAGAUCAUCAUUGUAUGAAGAGGGUAAUCCAAAAUUUGCCCCUCAAACAAUUACUGAAAUUUAGCAUUUGAUCUCAUAAAUGAAUAAAAGUAAAAUUUACCUUGUUCAUGUCAUUGCUUAAGAGAUUUAAAAUAACUUCAAUUUUUUUUUUUUUGACUUUGUGCUCUCACCCUCAUAGUUAUGUGCAUAUUUAAGAUUUCCUUGGAUGAAAAGCAAUGGUUCUUGUGGCUAUAAUAUUUUGGGAUGGAAGGGCGUAAAAUAAGGAUAGAUAACUUUCUCUUUAAUUCCUAGGGUCUAUGUUAGUUUUAGUCUUUGUAUUUUCAAAAAAUCAUCCAAAACUUCUUGGUUGUUAGUCUCUCAUAGUUGGAUUUACUUUAAUUAGAUAAAAUGGUAGUUUUGUUAUAAUAAAACUUAAAAUUCAAAUAAGUUUUACGUGAUACAUUUUGAAACAUAUAGAAAUAAUAAGCGUAAUUUAACAGGCUAAGGGUACUUGACAUUCUAUUUGGGUAACCACUCGAAUUCGAGUCUUGGGGAGGUAAGAACUAGUGCAUAUCAUGUAGCAAUCUUUAUUUUUACCAUAUGUUAUAUUAUAAUAGCCAAAAUUGAAUAGGAUAGUUUUACAAUGUGAAGGUGAGAGAGUGAGAGAAAGAAAUGUUAGGACAAUAAUAUCUUGGUGAAAACUAUCACUUACAAUUUAGGAACAUUCAUGUUGUAUUGCCAAGAAUCAAUAAUAAAAAUAUGCGAAAGCAUAUCUGAAUCAAUAAUGCAAUGAUUAUUCUCUAAAGUCAUAGUUAGCCUUCCAAAUCAAAACACUCUUUUUGAUGAUAGGAUGUCAAAAUGAGUAGAACGAGAGUGUGACUUGGGGAGCAUAACCACUUAUAUAGACAACUUUUCCUGUUGUCUUUAGGUAUUUCUAUUUUAGUCCAUCAUAUAAAAAACCUACCCUUACGUAUCUACAUAUUAAAGGCCCACACGGAUCAUAUGCAUUUAAGCUCAUAUUACAGAAAACCUUAAUAGAUCACUUUUAAUUGAGCUUAACUUUAUAUCACAGUUUGCAACACAUAAUUAUUUAUAUAUAAUCCCAACGUUGGAUUAAGGAUCCAACAAUACUGGGGCUUUAUAUAUAACCUUAUAAUUAUACUUUGCAAAAGUAACCAUAGAGCUUAAUGUUACUGUCAUUAUCAAAAUGUAUUUACAACUAAUUCAGUCCAUCAAUCAUACCAACAUAUGAUCAAAGCGGCCUUCAUUACAACUAUAGUAACUGGACCCAUCAAUGAUCACUAUGCCAAUACAACUGAAUGACAUGGAUCAUGAUGUAGAUGUAUAGCAUGAAAAUUCCGUGCAAUGUAAUCUUAACAUGCAUAUUUCCAACUGGUCCACCUUAACAUGAGUGAGAUCAAACCAUAAUAAAAUCAAAGUGUGAAUAAACUAAAACUUUGUUUCUGCAGUAAAUAACCAAAAAAACAUAAACUGAAAUAACAGAAAAUUAUGUGUAACCUUAUAAUUAUACUUUCCAAAAGUAACCAUAGCGCUUAAUGUUAUUGUCAUUAUCAAAAUGUAUCUACAACUAAUUCAGUCCAUUAAUCAUACUAACAUAGGAUCAAAGCGGGCUUCAUUACAACUAUCGUAACUCGGCCCAUCAAUGAUCACUCUACUAAUACAACUGAAUGACAUGGAUCAUGAUGUAGAUGUGUAGCAUGAAAAUUUUGUGCAAUGUAAUCUUAACAUGCAUAUUUCCAACUGGUCCACCCUAACCUGAGUGAGAUCAAACCAUAAUAAAAUCAGAGUGUGUAUAAACCAAAACUUUAUUUCUGCAGUAAAUAAAAAAAAAACAUAAACUGAAAUAACUGAAAAUUAUCUAUAUUAUAAGAGUAUCUAAAAUCACAAGCUCCCACCAAAACUGAAUUAAUAUCCUUUAAUGACAAGAGACCCAUACGAGCAAUGUGCUCGUGAAACAUUUUGGGUGGUAAUCUUUUAGUAAGCGGAUUUGAAAUAAUGGAGUUUGUGUCGAUUUGCUCUGUAGACAAUUAUUUACUCUGAACUCUUUAAGCUAACAAAUAGGAACUUAAUGUUUAUAUACUUCGACUUCGUUGAGCCCACAUUGUUAUUAGAAUACAACACUGCUGACUUAUUGUCACAAAAUAACUUGAGUGGUCUAUCAACACCAACUAAUAUACACAGCCCUAUGACAAAAUUCUACAGCUAUAAUUCGUGAUUUGAUGCCUCAUAACAUGCUAUGAACUCAGUUGCCAUUGUAAAAAUGCUAUAAGAGACUGUUUGGCUCUCUUCUAAGAUAGAUGUAACAUAAAGUGAAAUUCCUACUAUCUUAGUAUCCAGCAAAAUCGAAGUUAGUAUACCUAAUGACCUUAAGUUUAUCCAACCUUUGAUAUAUGAGCAUGUAGUCUUCUAUUUUCUGUAAGUACUGCACGAUCGAUUUGAUUGCUUUCCAAUGGUUUACUCCUAGAUUUCUUAAAUAUCUACUUAACAUUCCAGUAACGUAUGCAGUAUUGGGUCGCAUACAAACUUGAGUAUACAUCAGACUUCUUACUGCUAACAUAUAAGGAAUCUUCUGUAUUUCUUUCUCCUCAAAAUCGUUCUUAAGGCACUAAUUGAGACUAAACUUGUCUAACUUAGCCACAGGGAUAUCACUUGCUUUGCAAUCUUGCAUGCUAUAUAUCUUGAGAAUUGUUUCGAUAUAGCUCUUUUAUGAGAAUUUAAGAGUACUUGUGAGUGAUCUCAGUGUAUCUAUAUAACAAAUACAAAAGAGGCAUAUCCAAAAUCGUUCAUCUCAAAAUUCUUAGUUAGAAAUCUCUUAGUAUCGUGCAAUAAGCCUAUAUCAUUGUUGGCAAGCAAAAUGUUAUCGGCAUAUAAAACUAGAAAUAUGUAUAUACCCCUAUAGAACUUAUGGUAUAUGCAAUCUUUAGCCAAAUUCAUCUAAAAUUGAAUGAUAUAAUCACUUGAUAAAACUUGAAAUUCCAUUGUUGAGAUGCUUGCUUGAGCCUAUAAAUGGAUUUCUUAAGUUUGGAAACCAUAUUCUUUAAGUCUCCUCACACAAAGUUUCCUAUCUACCCCAUAUAGGCCGUCUUAUUAAUGUCACCAUUGAGAAACCUUGUCUUCAUAUCUAUCUGAUAUAACUCAAGAUUGAAAUGCGCCGUUAAUGUUGUUAUGAUGCUCACAAAGUCUUUCGAAUUAACUAUAGAGAAAGUGUCUUUAUAGCCAAUGCCUUAUUUAUGUGUAAAACUCAUUACAAUAAGAACUGCCUUAUGCCUCUUUACAUUAUCUUUCGAAUCCCUCUUGGUCUUAAAUAUCCAUUUACAACCAAUGGGUUUCGCAUCUUCUAGCAAUGGGACAAGAUCCCAUAGGUCAUUGUCUUUCAUGGAUUUUAUCUCCCCAUUCAUGGCGUUUAUCCAAUUCUGAACUUUCCAUGACUUGACGGAAAUUUGCCGGAUUAUCUUCCAUCACUCCAUUGUCUACCUCACGUUCCUAAAGAAAUAUAUUGUAGUCAUCUGGCACUGUACUUCUCUUUUCUCUAAUGGAUCUCCUUAAUGGCAUAGGUUGUCAAGGUCGUAGAGUUUGUUCUUUUAAAAUAAUUUCUUGUAUAAGGGGUUCUUCAACAUUUUCUUGAUUUGUUGUGCCUUGAACAAAGUUAAGAAUGAAACCUUGAUUGUGCCAAUAAUGCCUAUGCGAAUAUCAACAUAUUCCUCUUCAAUGACAAAGUUCUUAACUAUAUCUUUCUUUACAAACUCAACAUCCUCAAAGAACCACAACUUGAAAAUUAAGUCAUGGGAUCAUAAAACUUGUACCUCCGGACCUUUCAAAGUAUCUAAUAAAAUAGCAACUCAUUGUCCCUGAGUCCAGUUUAUUUUGAUUUGGCCUGUAAAGCCUUGCCUUAGCUGGGUAUGCACUGUCGUCUUAAGUGCUUCUUCUUAGAGUGAUUCUGGUAAGGUAAAAUAACCAACCAUACCCCUCAUCAUGUCCUUAGGCAUACUGUUUUGUCUUUCAGUAGCACCAUUCAUAUUAGGUGAACCUAGGAUAAUGUAUUGUGGGACGAUACCACAUUCCCCUAGGAAUUUAGCAAACCGUCCUGGAUGUUGUUGACAUGAACCAUCAUAUCUGCUAUAAUAUUACCACCAUAAUCGGAUCUAACGUUUUUUAUUCUUUUGCAAAGUUAGUUCUCAACUUUAGCCUUAAAGUUUUUAAAGAUAUACAAGAACUGUGACUUUUCAUGGAGGAGAUAUAUGUAGCCCUAUCGAGAAAAAUUGUCUAUGAAUGUCAUAAAAUAUUGUUGACCAUUCCAAGUAAUAGUAGAGAAUGGCCCACAAAUAUCCAUAUGUAUAAGUUCAAAGACAUCCAAAGUCCUAUUGGCUUCAAAUCUCCUUUUGUUAGUUUUUUUUCUCUUGACAUUAAUAUAAAAUAUCAAAAUUUGUGAAAUCUAAAGGUUCGAGAAUUUCUUCUAACAAAAGUCUCUCUACUCUCCAUAUAGAGUAUGACCUAAUCUUUUGUGCAAAAACACAAUCGAAUUCUUAUUAAUUCAUUUUCUCUUUAAAUCUCGUGUACUUAAUUGCAGGCAUUAAAUGAAGCAAUUAUAUCAAUCAAAUAAAGAUUAUUGUAGGUCGAUAAAGAACUGAAACCAACAACUUUUGAAUCAUGAAACAAAUGAAAUUUUCCAUUCCCAAACGAACAAGAAAAACCAAAUUUGUCCAAAACAGAAAUGGAUAUCAAAUUCCAUUGAAAACCAACAAAAUCUUUCCAUUGAGGGUUUUCACAAAAGUUAAAGAAAAGAUCCUACAAGAAGGCAUAAUUAUCGAGGUCGAAAAUGCAAAAAACAUCAAUGCUCAUUUCUACACACUCAUUGAAUUCGGGACACCAAGAUUAUGAUGGAAUAUGAUUCAUAAACUAAAAACAAUGUAUAAAAUGCGCUGGUCAAAUGAUAGAUUAUGUUAGGCUUCUGUGUAGACACAUGUUCGAUGUCUUAAAAGUGGAAUAAUUUCAAAAGAUUCCUGUGAAUAUGGUUCUUUGUCGAUGGGCCAAAAAAGGCCAAGGAUCACAAUAUAUGUACCCUUGUGAUGCCACUAGUUGACAUAGAAGUUUUAAAUCUUGCCAGAUUUAGUGCAUUUUCAACAGCUUGCAACAAAAUAUGCUACAAUAUAGCAGAAAAUAUCGAAUCUAUGAAGAGGUAUUGGUUGAGAUUAAUCAGUUAACGUUAACUUUUGAACUACUUCCUAAACCAGAUGGGCUCCCAAAUAAAAUGGUUCGGGUAUGACCAAAUUCAUGUAAUCUAGCAGUUAUGUAAUUUAAAUUUUUUAAGUUGGCUCUUGCAUACUAGCAUGCACGCAAAUGACUUUUCAAUGUCGAUGGUGUGUUUUGUUCUAUUCACUUGGACAAGUUCCUAAAAUUCUAGUGGUUUUAGUGGUGUCAAUCCUACAUUAUUCACUUCUUCUUGUAACCAAGUUUUUAAUUCUUUUUCUAUUAGUGGCCUUGUUAGCCAUUUUAAUCUCCAACAAAUAUAUACAAACCUAGCUAAUUAGUAUUAAUAUUAGACGAGGAGAUAUGAACACAUAUCACUAUCAAAGGUCAUCUCUAUCAAGCUUGUAUGAACAUGUAAUCAAUUUCGAUUUCAAUCAAGUAUCAAUAUAUAAUCAUCAUUCUCAGUUGUGGUUCGACAUCUACGUGCAUGCUCUCUUGUUAACCUUCUAGAGAAUAUUGCCGCUUUGCUGCUGAGAUAGCUUUUUCACUUGAGAGCAUAUAGGGUUCACCAUUGCAACAUAGUUCGCGAGCUAAUCAUUGGCUAGUUCCAAUAAUUUAUUUGGAUUUUGAUUCAAUAGGGAAUCAAAAAGUUAAAUGGUUACCUUAACUCGUGCGUCUCCCGAAGUGUACUAUUUAAUUUCAAAUAAAAAAAAUUACUUUAUGACAAUUAACAAGUUUACAAAAUAUCAAGCUCAACCAUUAAACAAGUUUAAUAAUGUCGUACCAAAGCCGACGACUUGUUUAGAAGGAAUUCUGAGCUGUCCAUAUUUAUUGAUUGGAAAGUUAAGGAACUUUAUGUUUUCCAUAUUUGUUGGCAUUUGGGACUGCAUAAUCAAAUCUAGGGAAUAAUGAAGACAGAAACAUGAGCAAAUUAUCACUAAAGAAACCAAAACAAAAUGCAAAAAGUACUGAAGAUAAUCACAGAGUAUCUAGUUGGUAAAUACCAAUUGAUUGGCCCAUUUUUCUCCCAUGAUUGCUGAAUGAGGAUCAAGUGAUACGCUUUCAUGGAAAUCACCUAAACGUGAUCAAAUUGAUUGAAAUAUAUAUUAUAAGACAAACAUAUAUUGUAACAUGACCAACUUUUGGAACCUAAUACGUCUUAAGAACGAACUGUCCCAGGUGAAAGUCUCAAUAAAGAAUGUCGAUUUACAGGUUCGCCGUGACUAAAAGCCAUUACUUCACUGAAGAAAAUAUGCAAUGAUUGAUAGUGACUUCAUAAAAACCAGUUACACAUAAUUUAUUACAUAAUUCCACACUUACCUUUCGUGAGCAUCUCUGUCAAAAGCGUAUUGUAUAAGCUUCAAUUAAUUUAGCCUAGCAGGAUCGUUAAAUUGAAAUGGACCAGCUUUGUACAUGAGAUAUGCUUCCUGCGACACUAGAUCGUCUAGUGAAAGUUGAUACUGGCCUGGCCGACGAUUCUUGCCUCACAUUUGUAGUAAACCGACACUAGUAUAUGUUUAAGCCCUUUGCCCCCACAUUAAUUAGUUUGUUUAUAUCCUAUAUAAAUUAAAGUCUGUAUGUAAGUUCAUUCAUAGUGAAUUAUCAUGCAUAUAAUAUUUACAAAAUGAGAUUUAAAAACUCUACCUUAUCUCGAAGACUGAGUAGUGAAAUGGGGACAAAACCUCCAACUAAGUAAGGGGAUCUGUAUGAAUUUCACUUACUGCUUCACUUGUCCCAGCCCAGGCCAUCUGAUUAUCGAAGUUCAAACCCUCGUCAAUAGAGUCCUUACCAUUGACUAUAAUCAAUCUCUUUUUCUCAUCAGUAGUUGGCUAGCUUUUUCCAACUACACAUGCAGGUUUCUUGACUUUUCAAGCUCGAAGAUGGCGGCAAGGGAUCAGAUGGUUGUUUUGAUGGUACACUAACCAAGCACUUUAAUCUCAAUUCCUCCGAAGACUUCUCAACUAUCAUAUAAAGGACUAUAAUAUUAAAGAUAUUUCAUGCAACUAUAAAUUAACUAACAAAGUCAAAACUCUGAAAUAAAUAAGUACAAUUUAUUUACCAGGUCCAAUUAAUUUCUCUACAGUAAACUGUUCAAGCAAAAGAGAUGCAACAAACUAUGCAACAAGAGAGGUGGCAGCAAGUUGUUCCAACAAAAACAAAGGAUCAACUAUUACAUAAGUAAAGAUACUCUUUUUCAAUAAAUUAAAAUACAAUUUUGCAUCAGAAGCUAAAUUAGGUUCUAAGUAUAAAUUUAUUGCAAAACAAGUACUGCUACUUCAUCAUUUCUUAAUAACCCCAGACUUUAAUAAAAAAUUAACCCUAGAGUGCAAAAGUACAAAUGAACACCACUUUGGAUGCCCUUACUGCAACAUAAACAUAACAAAAAUUUUCGACCUCACACAUUAUAGUAGUCACAACAUAGAAUGUAAGUAAAUAGACACAUUACAAUAGUCACAACAUAGCAUAAAAAUCAAGCCCCAUACAACUUCAAGUCAUGCUAUCGUAUAAAGGACCAUGAUAUUAAAUUGCUUUUGUGCAACUAUUUAUUAACUAACGAACUCAAAACUCUAAAAAUAAAUAAGUGCAAUUUGUUUACCAAAUCAAAUUAAUUCCUCUAUAGCAAACUGCUCCAGCAAAAGAGAUACAGCAAACUCUACAACAAAAGAGGUGGUAAAAAGAUGCUCCAGCAAAAACAUAGAAUCAACUAUUACAUAAUGAAAGAUACCCUUUUUCAAUAAAUUAAAACACAAUUUUGCAUCAGAAGCUAAAUUUGGUUCUAAUUACAUUCUAAGUAUAAAUUUGUUGCUAAAAAAAGUACUGCUACUUCACUCAUUUCCUAAUAACCCUAAACGUCAAUGAAAAAAUAACCCUAAAUAUGAAAAUUUACCACAAUAGGAAAAUUAUUUGGCUCUUGUUCCUGCUACUAGUAGUACUACUGCUGCUAAAUAAUUAUCCCUUUUCUCUAAUCCUUCAUCUCCAAAAUCUACUUCACUCUUGCUACUGCUACUGUUGCUUCUGCUACAGCUAACCCUAACAACCUAACAUUCUUUGCUCUCUUUCAGUAAACUAGCUAAUCCAUUUUUUAAUUAGGUUUUCUCGUUAGAUUAUUUAUAGAAUUAAUUGAUUUAACUUAGAUUUGUGCAAAAUAAACAGCAUGCAAAUGAAGACAUAAUAGAAAUCAUACCAAGGGCUUUGAAAAAAUGAAGGUGAGGAAGACAGUAAGAUGAGGACAUAAAAUGAUUGUGAGGAACACGAUAGCGAUGCCACAAAAUGCACCUUCACUCAGUCAAUUUCAUAAUGCAAUCGGUAACCAAGACGUUAAAAAGACGAUGGCAAUAUGACAAUGGACGAGAUUUCGGUAUGAUGAUGGUAAAAAGGAAAUCAACAUAAGAGAUUAAGAGAAGUUAGAAUCGAGGGUUUUAGCCUUACUCUACUCUUUGUAUAUUUGUGAGUUGUAUAUUGAUACUUAGAAAAACAAAUUAGAGAUUAGAGAAGUGCAACUCAGUACCAAAACGGUGCGUUUCAAGUUUUUAAAUUUUAUUUUAUAAUAAAAAUUUUAAAUAUUUUAUAUUUUAUAUUUAUGUACAAAACACAAUCGUUCCAACUCAGCUAAAAUGAUGACGUGUCUUCAUUCAUAUAAUAUUGUAUUUUAAAUAAUACCAAAAAUUUUGAUAAAAAAACACCAAAAUCAAGUCAACGUAAAAAUUCUAUCAUGAGUUAUUGACGUUUAAAUUUAUAUCACAAAGACAUCAUAUAUUCUUGACAUAAUCUUUUUCUAUCACGAGUCCAUCACGAAUCAGUCAUGAAUAUAUGAUAGACAAAAAUCUACCACAACUAUAUCAUGCUUUUAUGACCUAUGCCUUUCUUCUCAGAAUCCGUCACAAAGUGUCUGUCAUCGAUUGUCAGUUUUUUUGUAGUGUCCUAAAAUUCACAGUGAGAGGAGAAAAAAGUAACAACACAAUUCAUAUCUUUUGUUAACUUACUAAAUGACAAAACAUUAUAUGCCAACUUAGGCACAUAUAAAAAUUUCAAAAUCAUAUGCGAUAAGCAAACUAUGCCCUCUCCAAAAUACAGGUGACAUUUUUUCAUUCGUAACCCAUUUAUUGAUCAUAUUGUUGCACUUGUCAAGAUCCUCAACAACAUCCAUAGACCUAGUCAUAUGGUCAAAGGCCCUUGUAUCUACAAUCCAAUAACCUACCUGCUGUGACUUUGACAAGAAUGUUUGUUUAUUUUUCCUGUUUGUGCCAUAGCUAUAGUAGGAAUCUUUCAGUUUUGACUCUCGGAUCCUGUUGACACCUUAGUUUGCUAUCUUGUAAAAUAAAUAAGUUCAUUCAAUACUUGGCUCCCUAAAAUUAAUGACUGACGAUUUUUUGUGCCACUCUGGUCUUGCUUCAGAAGAAUUUAAAUUUUCUUUUUCUGGAUUAUUUUCUACAUAUACCGAUAUAGUCUCUGACUUUUCUUUCACAGUGCUAUUAUCAUCAUCUUUCCUUUGUAGUUGAUCUUCUACAAAGAUAACAUCCCUGCUGAUGACAAUCUUGUGGGCAGUGGGAUCCCACAGACGAUACCCCUUCAAUCCAUUAGCAUACCCCAAGAAGAUACGUCUCCUGUAUUUUGGAUCCAGCUUUGUUCUUUUUGUGGCAUUGUACAUCACGUAUACAGGACAUUCAAAUGUGUACAAACGAGAGUAAUUACCUAACUUUUUAGUCCACAUAUCCAUCGGUGUCUUCAGCCUAAUUGUUGUAGAUGGCGACCAAUUCACCACAUAACAAGCGUUUUUGGCUGCUUCUAUGCAAAAUGAGUUUGGUAGACCAGAAGUCCUCAAUAUGACACUUAUCUUUUCUGUAAGUGUUCUGUUCGUCCACUAUGCCACUCCAUUUUGUUGAGGAGUGCAUGGCACUGUGAACUGUCUCCGAAUAUUCUUUUGUUUACAUAAUGCAAGAAAUUCUCCAUUUAUAUAUUAUCUACCAUUAUCUUUCCUCAAACACUUAAUCCUUUUUCUAGAUUCAAGUUCAAACCGCGCUAUAUAUUCUUUGUGCACUGGAAAUGGAUCUGACUUUUCUUUAAUUAGAUACACCCAAUAUCUCCUGGAACAGUCAUCAAUGAAAGUCACCAUGUACUUUGCACCUCCCAGGGAUUUAUUUAGUAAUUCUCAAACAUCAUAAUGAAUCAAGUCUAAAAUGCAUUUACUUCUAGUGCCAAAUCUGCUAAACUACAAUUUAUAUUGCUUACUUGUAACACGGUGCUCACAAAACAGUAAGUUUAUCGAUUUGAGCCACGGAAGCAACUUCUAUCUAGAGAGAAUCUCCAAACCUUAUUCCAAUAUGUAGCUAAGUUUGAGACACCACCUCAUCGCUGACUCUUCUCCAUUUCAUGCGACACACAUAUCAACUUCCUACAAUGUUUUUCCUUUAAGCAUGAAUAGAUUGGCAUUGAUAUUUUCUAUCUUCAUCAAUAUAAGCACACCUCUAACAAUCGUCAUGAUCUUAUUUUCCACCUGAGUUUUAUAGCCAAGAAUAUUUAUUUGUCCUUAAGGCAAUAGAUUUUCUUCAGGCCUUUGACAUGUCGUACCUCUUGAAUAGUGUAAACUAUACAGUUAAACAUUUUUAUUUUGACAGUAUUAACACCAACGAUCUCUAAGGUAUGAUCAUCACCUAUAUAUAUAGAUCUUACUGAGAUAGAUUCAUAUUUAUGGAACUAUUCUCUCUGAGAGGUCAUGUGCCAAGUAGCUGCUAAGUCUAUAAGCUAGACGUUAGAUAACUAUUUUCUUCUUUCUGCAACCAUAGUUGCCUCACUGUAUAAAACGCCACCAUCAUCUAAGGUACUCACUACACACCCCUAAGCAUUUGAUGACUCAAGAUCUUUACCCUCUCUUCUCUUUUGGUUACUUCAAUACUCUUUCUUGACAUGCCUUAUUUCACCACAUUUGUAGUACCUGAUCUUCUUUUUACUUCUUGAUUUUGAUCCAUCAUAAUUAUGACUUCCACGGGGACUACAUAUUGCUGAUCUCCCUCUUACUAUCAUUAGCGCUUUCACUUGCUGUGAACUUGCUUGUCUGUCUUUCUUGUUCUUGUGCCUACUCCCGUCUUCUAAUACAGAGGCUACAACAUCAUAGAAGACUAAGUACUCCGUAAGGUUAUUGUUAAUCAGGUUGAUGAAGAGUUGAUCAUAUGAGUCAGGUAGACUUUGAAGUAGAAGCUCCGCACGUUUAAUUUCCUCUAUUUUAUACCCCAACGUCGUAAAUUUUGAAAAUAAAGUUUUUAGAGUAUUGAUAUUAUCGGUCACCGUUGUUGUUUCUGCCAUUCGAAGAGUAUAGAGUUAAGUUGAUCCAUACGAGUUAUGUAUACUUUGAAAUAGAAGCUCCGCAUGUUCAAUUUCCUCUAUUUCAUACCCCAACAUCAUAAAUUUUAAAAAUAGAGUUUAUAGAGUGUUGAUAUGGUCGGUCACCGUUGUGGUUUCUGCUAUUCAAAGAGUAUAGAGUUUCCUCUUCAAGAAAAUUUUGUUGUAUAGUUAUUUGGCCUUAUACAGUUUUGUGAGAGUAUCCCAAAUACCCUUUACUAUAUUUUCUUCCGCCACAUUAGAUAGUACCUUAUCUGAAAAUGCUAGGUGUAACUUAGUAAUUGCAUUGUCGUCCAUCUCAUUCCACUUGUCAUCAGUGAUUUAUGCAGGUCUUUCCCCAAUUGUUUCUAAACAAUUAUUUUUCCUCACGAUUGCCCGCAUCUUCAUUUUUCACAACAAGAAAUUGCUCCUAAUAAACUUCUCAAUUUCAAAAUUUGCCGUCAUUUUGUUAAUACCGUACACAAGUUAGUGUACCUUCUUGAAUAAUUAUGAGUGAUCACACGUGUGAAAAUGCACACUAGGAAAAUUCCUGUGAAAGACUGAAGGGGUCACAAUGGUCCCAUUUAAAAUCCAGACUCCUUAGGCUCUUAUCGUCUUUGGGACAAAACUUUCUUAGACAUGUACAAGCCCACACGAUUACUUCAACUCACGCCACCAUUCAUUGCUUUGCACUGCAGAAUUCUUGAAUCGCUCUUACUGUUUCAUGUAAAUAGUGUUGUAUAUAUGAAUAGUAUCAUUUACGUAAACAGUACCUGACUCAAAAAAAUGCAAUCAAUGGCUCUAAACCACUUGUUGGGACAUCUAGCUAAAGUAAAAUUGAAAAAUAAUGAUGACAUAGGGCCACUAAAAUUUACUUGGGAUGAAUGAAGAGGGCAAAUGAAGCCUCUAUUUAUAGGUCAAGCAAUGCCCAAAAAAUCAAUAAUGGUGGGCAUUAAAAUAAUAUAAAAUUUCUCCUAAUUUUCCAUUUUAGUGUCAAAGUCAAAAGUUAUAUUCCUUCUACUUACUCAUGUUUCCCACUUACUGUGCUAUUGAAAUAAAUCAUAAUGAUUUUAUAUGCAUCAAGAUCUUUUGAAUUUACAAGACUAAAAAAGAAUCUCCUUGUUCUUGAUAUUUUGUGCAAUUUCUAAUCAAGGAGUGUGAACGAUGGUGAUGAAAACUGAAUUGACACUAUAAAGAUGAUUGACUUGAUAUUGGUUCGACUAAGAUUAGUAGUCUUUAUUAUCUUGAUUCUCUUUCUUCUUGUGUUAUCAAUUCAUUAUUAGUUUGCAGUAUGUUUUUUUCUAUUUAUAACCAGCUUGUUCUAGCUUUUCCUUUUCUUUCGAGGGGUUUUGUCCCUCGACUAGACAUCAUCAUCAUCAUCAUCAUGUUGAAAGACCAAAGAGGACAAAAUUGCUCAAAAUUGAAACUAUUUGGGCACCAAAAGAAUUUUAUUAAACUCAAUGACUUUAUUGAUAUUUUGUAAGAAACACUACGCAACUCACGGCUCACACUUCUUAUUUCUCUCUUAUUCCUCACUCUUUACUUGAUGCAUAACCAAAUGAUACAAAAUGGUAUUUAUAGUAUAUAAGAAUAAAUCUAAAUCAUUCAAAUAAAAAAUUACAAAAAAUUUAUAACCAUUGAUUUUUACCUACCACUAAUAAUUUCACUUACCACUCUUAUAAUUAAUAAUUUAAACCUCACAAACCAUACUUACUCAUGGAACCUUAUGGAUUGGGCUUAUUAAUUUGGGCUUAAUGACAGGUGGUGUUGGACUUAUUUUAACACAUUGUUGUUGUUGUUGUUGUUGUUAUUAUUAUUAUUAUUUUCUUUAAUAAAUUUCUGUUGCUUGUUGAGGUUUACUUUAAAAAAACAAAAAAAGGCACAACCAAAAAAAAGCCGCGAUUCCUCAAUUUGAGAGGGGAAAACAAAAUAUUUAGAACGAAAAGGAAAAAAUUAUAUAUAUAUACAUACGUUUGCAUUAUGGCUAGCUUAAUUUCAACUUCAAUUUAUUUUGAAGUUUUUGCUCUACAGUUUCUCGUCGGUAACUAUGAUAAGGCUCAUUGCAUCCCUUCUGAUCUGCUGCGUAAGUUCUUUAAUCUAAAUAAAUUUCCUCUUUAUUGAAGUUCAUUUAAAAAAAAAAAGAAAAAAAAGAUGCAUGCCCAGUUACUUUAAUCGCAAGCUUGAAUUCGAGUGGAAAAAUGCGAAAUGUGGGAUGAUUGAUUAUUUCCCUGAAUAGUGUUUCAAUGGAUAAGGACCAACGGACUCUGUGGCAAAGAUUAAAUCACGAGUUUCUUAUUGUUAUAAUCUUCUUUUGUCAACUCCAUUUCGUAUUUGUAAUUUGUACAUAUUCCUCGUCUGUCUUUUCGGAUAAUUUGCAAAUAUCAGAACUCUAAUUGCAAACUCUAUACCGUGAACACACGCAUCAAUCAUUUCAUCCAAAAUAUCAAAAUGCAUUAAAUGUUUUCUAUCACACCUAAUUAAAAGAUUGAUCACAAGUGUCUUCUUCGUUUCAUCCAUAAUAUCAAAUUGGCAUACGUUUUGCAUUUUAACACCUUCACCAAUGAUAAAAAUAGCCUUACGCAACAUUUAUUGUGUAAAUUCAAUUCUCUAAUUUUUAUUAUUAAAUCUCAUUUCAACAUUUGAGUCUCUUCUAUUUAAAAAAAAAAAAAGAAAUUAUGAAUUUUCAUUCUCUCUAUUGUAACCAUUGCUCGUAAAUUAUUCAUCUAAAAAUUAGAGAAAAAACUUAUUUAAUUUUUAAAAUAAAAAAAUUAUUUAACUUUUGAGUGGGAGUUUAAUUAAAAAUUAUCUUAUUAUAUAUAAAUUAUCCUAUUAUAUAAUUUUAAUAAAAAUUAAAAUUAUAAAAUAAUUAAAAGAAUUUUAAAAGGUAUUUAGAGGGUUGUAAAUAGUUCCACUCUAAUAAAUAUUGUAUUUGUCUUAUCAGCAGCCUCCGGAAUCUUCUUUUGUCAGCACCCUCUGGAAUCACGAUCUUUCAAAGAAUAACGUGAAUAAAAAGCCUCAUUCAUCUGGAAUCACGAUCUUUCAAAGAAAGAAUAACGUGAAUUAAAAGCCUAAUGAAGAGUUUUAAUCAUAUUAAGGUUUAACAUAUACCUAGAUUUUGUAAUGUUUUUACUCACUUUCUAACUAAAUUAGCACUAAAAAAAUGUGAAAAAGUUGUUUGGAUGGGUUCAGACCCCUCAAAACUAAUGUUUGUUUUUGCUUCUUCAAAUUAAUGAAAGUUUAAUUCCCUUUCAAAAAAAAAAAACGUGAAUUAAAAGCCUCAUUCAUCUGGAGUCAAAGCGAUAUGAUUCAGGGGUGGGGCCGGCGUCAAAAAAUAAAUUAAAAAAAUUAACUUCUCUGAUUGGCAGGCGCUUCAUUAGCAGAAAGAUUAUAUAUAUAUGAACCUGAAAAUUAAAUAGAAAAAAAAAGGCUUCAUAAAUGCUUUCGGUUACAACUCUUUGUAAGUUGCCUUGGCAAUUGACAUCAUGUUUGGAUGUCAAGAUUAAGUAUUAAGUUGAACUAAUUUUAAAAUUAAAUAUUUAUUUUAUAUUUGAUAAAUUUACUUGAAUUGGAUUAAAGGAGACUAAAUUUGAAUUUAAUUCUAAAAUUAUCGGAUUAAUAAUCCAAAUUUAUAUAUUUGUUUAGUUGAGAUAAAAUUAAAGAAAAAUUAUAUGUUAAUAUUAAUUUAUCAAUUUUUUUUUAUGAUUUACUUAAGAUUUUUAUUUAUUAUCUAUGAUCUAAUUAAAUUGACAAUUUUACUUCUAAUUACUCUUGAGAUUAAAUUUUCAUUACUUGUAUAUUUAAUAAUUUAUAAAUUAACCAUUUAAUAACUUAUUGCAUUAUUGAUUGUAUAAAAUUUAAUAAUCACUAAUAUCCUAUUAAAAAUAAUCAUGAAAAUUAAAAAUACCAUAAUUAAUUGAUUUUAUAUAAUUUUUUUAAAUAUUUGAUAAAAAUUAAUUAACUAUUUAAAUUGUUUUAUUUCUUUUUCAUUUGUUUAUUAUAUUAUGACUACCUAAUAACUUAUUUACAAUAUACUUAAUUUUCUAAUUAAUUACUUUUUAAAUUCGUUAACUUAUUGUUAUAAAAUUUCAUGAAUAAUUGAUGUUCAUAUUCAAAUAUCAACUUAAAUGUUAUUUAAUACCAUUUAAAUAUAAUUUAACAUAGUUCAAUCUAGUACUACACCAAACAUAAGACAAUAUAAUAUAAUCCGACUUAAUCCAAGUAAUCUAAUUCAGUCUUAUCCUAAUAAUUGAUCCAAUCCAAUUUUACAUGGUAAAUGUGGCCUAAAGUCAUAAAAAUUGAUAUUUGAAAAUUUCGAUGAAAGUGAAGUAUUCGUUCGCUUUUCUUUAUUUUAUUUUUUCUUUUGGACAAGAAUAUUCUCUCUCUCUCUCUCUCUCUCUUUUAGUCUCUUUUAAUGAAAUAAGUGGUCAAUAUUGAAUUUUAAAUUUUAAUGUUAACAAUUAAGCCAGCAUGUUUCACUUUAUUUAUAAUUAAGCUGCCUUUUUUCACUAAAUUUGGAAUACUAAAAAAGACUAGGUGAGAAAUACCUCCGAUAUAUUUAUAAAUGCACACAUUCCAUAAUAUUAUUGACUUAUUGUGUAACUGACAUAAUACCUCCGAUAUAUUUUAAAAUUCCUCUUAUUUGAUAAUAGGAUGUCAUUUGCAAUGUUUGAUGUAUUAAAUUACUUCCAAUACAUUGCUAUAAAAAACUAUUGAAUACAUUUUCCAAGAGGUUGGCACUUCAGAUUUUUUAAAGUCGACAAAAUAAAAGAAAAAAUAUGAGACAUGUUAGAAUCAUGCAAUAUGUCGUUUCAAUUUAUGCAAAUUAAAAAAAGUUUUUAUCCCUAGUACUAUAAUUUUUUUAGAGUUGCCAAGCUUCCAUACUUUUAUCUUUGAAAAAGUUAGAAUCAUAAUUUAAUUUCUGUCAUUUAGUCUAACUUGCACUAUCGAAAACUUCCGGGUCAGAUUUUACAACCUAAAAUCUUGGACACGCAGUAACUCUUCACUCCACUAUAAAUGCAUUGUUUCUGAGGAAAACAGAUAAGGAAAUUCAAGAAAAUAUGGCUAAUGAAGCGAGAGACGAAAACUUUGCAUAUGCCUUUGAAGUGACGAUGGGUUCAGUGCUCCACAUGACCAUGAAAGCAGUAAUUAAUCUGGGACUUUUCGAGAUCAUAGCCAAAGCUGGUCCUGGAGCAAAGCUCUCAGCUUCAGAGAUUGCCGCUCAGUUGCCCGCCACGAAGAACAAAGACGCACCCACGAUGCUGGACCGGAUACUCGGGCUUCUGGCUAGCUAUGGUAUUGUUGAAUGCUCACUCGAUGAUGUCGAUGGUUCUCACAGGCUAUACGGUUUGAAUGAUGUUUCCAAAUACUUUGUGCCUAAUCAAGAUGGUGUCUCAUUAGGCCCUGUAUUGGCCUUAAUUCAGGACAAGGCCUUUCUCGACAGCUGGUUUGUCCACUCUAUCAUUUUAAUCCUCUGAAUUUUUCUUUUUUUAAGUUAGGGUAAAAAUACAUGGGGUUAUAAUACAAUUUCUCUUUCUACGCCUUCAGAUCCAAUCAUGCAUUUCUUCCAAGUCUUAAAUCAUAAUCGACUUCAUACUCAACUUAUUUCUAAAUUCAGGUAAUCGAAAAAGAAAAACAAAUGUGUUCAUAUAAGUGAGCGAUAAAAUGUAGAAUGUUCACUCUCAAACUUAUAAAUCAUUAUUAAAUAUACUUCUAGCCAUAUCAAUUCAAGAACGGGUAAACUAUUGUUAGUGGUGUUUUAAUUACUUGCAGCUACAGAGGAUAUGAGGAAAUAUGUUUUCUUUCAGAGGUAUUUUUGUCUUUUAAUUAUAGAGGACAUGAGGGUAACAUAUAUGAAAAAGACUUUAACGGACUCGGAAUAACCUUCAUCACAUGCUUCCUCACGUGGUUACUUAAACUGAUAUGUAAAACGCGCUUCACCCACGUCGUUUCGACUAAAUCGUUUUCAGUUAAGAACCAGCUGAGCAGCACGUGAGCUAAUGAAGCUUUUACAGCUCCAAAACGCGGUCGUUUCUGGAAACCAAACUUGAUUCAUUCAACUCACAAUAUAGAUAUAUCCCUUUACUAUUUUUGUUUUUAUCAAUCACUAAUCAUUGUAUCUAAAAAAGUUAAGCCAAACUCAAAAUGAUGAUUGAUUAACUGGUCAUGUAGGUCCCAACUGAAAGAAACUAUUAUUGAAGGAGGAGUUCCAUUUGACCGAGUCCACGGAACGAACGCUUUCGAGUACCAAGGAUUGGACCCCAGGUUCAAUGAAGUUUUCAGCACAGCAAUGUACAACCAUACCACUUUGGUCCUUCAAAAGAUCCUUGAGGCUUACAAGGGUUUCGAGCACAUAAAGCAAUUGGUUGAUGUUGGCGGUUCCCUUGGCAAUACCCUUAAAGCAAUUACUUCCAAGUAUCCCCACAUUAAGGGCAUCAAUUUCGACUUGCCUCACGUUAUACAGCAUUCCCCUGAGUAUCCUGGUAUGAACUAUCAAUUAUCUUUAUAAUAAUGUUAGGGACUUGGUCAAGUGGCUUUUAAGUAGCUUUCUUUAAUUAAUCAUCCCAAAAUAAAUCCUGGAGAAAGUAGGAAGUUAAUUAGAAAAUUGAUUCCAAUCUCUUUUUUUUUUUUAAUGGCAUUGUUAUGAAGAAAUAUACAUUAUCAUUUGGAAAAAAAAUGGCAAAAGCACAAAAUGUUGCAAAAAGAAAAAACUGAAAAAAAAACAUAAAAACAGACUCGAUUUACCAUAUUUGCAAUUUAGUGAAAAAAUCAGGGUUGAUUUAUUGUUGUUUUUGUCAGAAUUUUAUCUAAAUUUUUUUCCCGAAUAUCAGUGCUCUUAUGAAUUCUCUGCCCAUACCGCUAGAUCCUAACAGAGGAAACUAAAUUGUAUGUAGUACAGGUGUUAAGCAUGUAGGGGGUGACAUGUUUCAAAGUGUUCCAAAUGGCGACGCCAUCUUGAUCAAGGUAAGUUUCAUUUGAAUUUAAUUUGCAGGUAUUAGGUGUUCGAUCCCUGAACAAAUUUCAUAAUAUUUCAAAUUUUGUAGUGGAUACUGCACGAUUGGAGCGAUGAACAUUGCUUGAAGUUAUUGAAGAAUUGCCACAAAAGUAUCCCCGAAGGAGGGAAGGUAAUUGUUGUGGAGUCAGUACUUCCAGAACUGCCUGAGAAUGGCACUCAUUCAAAAAUAAAUUCCCUAGCUGAUGUGCUGGUGAUGACUCAAUAUCCGGGAGGAAAGGAGCGAACAAAGCAUGAAUUCACGACAUUGGCUACUGAAGCUGGAUUCAGUGGCAUCAGAUUUGUAUGCUUUUUUCACAAUUUAUGGGUUAUGGAGUUCUACAAGUAGCGUGCGUGCGUGCCCGCCCAUGAAUUCUGAAGCAACCUUUUAUGAUUAUCUUUCUGUUAAGAAUAAAUGCUGAGUCAGCAGUUGAAGUCAGUUGGGGUUUUCAGUAUAAUAAUGAAUCAGCAGCCAAGUUGAUAUUUCCCUCCAGACUUAAGAGUUGAAUCAAGUUGUUAUAGUUAGCUGGAAAUGUGCACACGAGUUUGUUGCAGUAGAUGUUUCCACACACAGCUAUAAUUAUCAAUGUUCUCUCAAUUCAUUAGUAAGACUUGCAAAUAAGAAUCCAGCUAACAAAUUUUCUCUUUGAAUCAAUAAAGUUUUCCAUUCAUUUUCUUAUCAAACAAACAGAAUCUACAGAGCUCCUUUUCUUUAAUUCUUUCGACAUGUACGUGCGCACGGUCAAGAUAUACUUUUUAAUUGUGCUUCUAUAUGUUAACUACUAAUAAUUAUAUUUAUUCAAAUAAAAACCCAGAUGAAAAAAGAAUUUUAAUCUUAGAUAAAUAAAGCAUUAGACUUGCACAUGAAUAUCAAUUUUUUUAUUUUUUUAUUAAUUUUUUAAAAUGAUGGCAUCAAAAUUUACUUGCUAUAUUUAAUAAUUAAUAUUAUGUCAUUUAUGCAUUUAUAUGGCAAUUCAAAUUUCAUCACUUGUAUAUUUUAAUCAUUACUCGUCACAGCUCCCUCACAAAAUUAGAUUAGUACUGACAUUGCGGUACACGUGCAUCAAUUUUUAUUUAUUUUUGAAAGAUGGGCAUCAAACACUAACGCAUAAUUGACAAAAAAAAAAAAAUGUACAUUGUUACAUUGUGUCAUUAUAUUAAGUUGUUAUUUUGUUUUGCUGUCAAUAAUCUAUUUACGUUUCAAUUAUAGUACAGUAAGUGCUGGACUUAGGUGGCGUUUGUUUUUUAACUUAAUGACUUAAAGUGACUUAACUUAAUUAAUUAAGUUAAUUAGAGGUGUUUGUUUUUAUAAUUUAAUGAGACUUUUUAGAUAAUUUUGACUUAAUAAAAUAAGCUAAUUUUUUUGGUUUUUUACUUAAUGGAGAAAUCUGAAUUAAGUCAAUUACUUGCUAACGUAAAAAAUAUAUCUGUUUUAUAAUUUAUUUUUCAUGUCUAUCCUAAAACUCACCUAUAGAUAUUUACCCCACAUAAAAAUAUCCUUGUUUUUUCUUUCUUAUAUUAUAUACGAUAUGUUAAUUUUGAAAUUUAUGGUAUUUUAUAUAUUAAAAUUCCAAAAUAACUAUGUAUUCACUUGAAUAUAGUUUUACUUAUAAAUGUUAAAAUAUUAUGGUAUUUAAUAUAUUAUUUAUUUGACAUUCAAAUUUAAUAAGAAUACAAAUGUAAAAGUACAUAUUUUCAGCUUUUUAAGUUGAAAAAAAUAAACAACUUAAUACUUAUUUUCUGAGAUUCAGACGAAAAAAUAAAUAUAUUAUUCAAAUUCAGACAUUCAGACCUAUUCAGAAUUCAAACUAAUUCACGUCUAUUCAGAUUUCAGACAAAAAAACAAACGCCACCUUAGUCUAGGAGUUGUUAGGAGUUGUUGGCCACUUACACUUUUUCGUGCUGAGAGUUGCUUGGCUUUAGGAAUAGAGCGCUGCUAUAUUAGGGAUGGCAAUGGGGCGGGGUGGGGGUGGGGAUGCCUACCCCAUUCCUCACCCCAUUAAAAAUUUUUGCCUCCAUUCCCCACCCCAUUCCCCAAUAAAUUUAGUGGGUUGGGGAUGGGGAAUCCCCACGUGGGGAAUGAUUCCCCCAUCCCCACCCCAUUCCCCAUUUACAUAUUUUAUAGUAGAUAUAAAAAUAUGAUUUCAGUAAAUUAAAAAUUAGAGACUUAAGAUAAAAUCAUCACAAUAUUAUAAAGUAUUUAAUUUUAAAAAAAAAUCUCUAAAAAUUUGAAACAAUAUCUUAAAAUGAUAUUAAAAGUGAAAAAUAUUUAAAGAAAGCAGCACCUUAAAAGAGAAAAGAAAAUAUAUUAAUGUUUUAAAGUUGAAAAAUAUUGUAGAAUUUUCUUUUAUUGAUAUUANNNNNNNNNNNNNNNNNNNNNNNNNNNNNNNNNNNNNNNNNNNNNNNNNNNNNNNNNNNNNNNNNNNNNNNNNNNNNNNNNNNNNNNNNNNNNNNNNNNNNNNNNNNNNNNNNNNNNNNNNNNNNNNNNNNNNNNNNNNNNNNNNNNNNNNNNNNNNNNNNNNNNNNNNNNNNNNNNNNNNNNNNNNNNNNNNNNNNNNNNNNNNNNNNNNNNNNNNNNNNNNNNNNNNNNNNNNNNNNNNNNNNNNNNNNNNNNNNNNNNNNNNNNNNNNNNNNNNNNNNNNNNNNNNNNNNNNNNNNNNNNNNNNNNNNNNNNNNNNNNNNNNNNNNNNNNNNNNNNNNNNNNNNNNNNNNNNNNNNNNNNNNNNNNNNNNNNNNNNNNNNNNNNNNNNNNNNNNNNNNNNNNNNNNNNNNNNNNNNNNNNNNNNNNNNNNNNNNNNNNNNNNNNNNNNNNNNNNNNNNNNNNNNNNNNNNNNNNNNNNNNNNNNNNNNNNNNNNNNNNNNNNNNNNNNNNNNNNNNNNNNNNNNNNNNNNNNNNNNNNNNNNNNNNNNNNNNNNNNNNNNNNNNNNNNNNNNNNNNNNNNNNNNNNNNNNNNNNNNNNNNNNNNNNNNNNNNNNNNNNNNNNNNNNNNNNNNNNNNNNNNNNNNNNNNNNNNNNNNNNNNNNNNNNNNNNNNNNNNNNNNNNNNNNNNNNNNNNNNNNNNNNNNNNNNNNNNNNNNNNNNNNNNNNNNNNNNNNNNNNNNNNNNNNNNNNNNNNNNNNNNNNNNNNNNNNNNNNNNNNNNNNNNNNNNNNNNNNNNNNNNNNNNNNNNNNNNNNNNNNNNNNNNNNNNNNNNNNNNNNNNNNNNNNNNNNNNNNNNNNNNNNNNNNNNNNNNNNNNNNNNNNNNNNNNNNNNNNNNNNNNNNNNNNNNNNNNNNNNNNNNNNNNNNNNNNNNNNNNNNNNNNNNNNNNNNNNNNNNNNNNNNNNNNNNNNNNNNNNNNNNNNNNNNNNNNNNNNNNNNNNNNNNNNNNNNNNNNNNNNNNNNNNNNNNNNNNNNNNNNNNNNNNNNNNNNNNNNNNNNNNNNNNNNNNNNNNNNNNNNNNNNNNNNNNNNNNNNNNNNNNNNNNNNNNNNNNNNNNNNNNNNNNNNNNNNNNNNNNNNNNNNNNNNNNNNNNNNNNNNNNNNNNNNNNNNNNNNNNNNNNNNNNNNNNNNNNNNNNNNNNNNNNNNNNNNNNNNNNNNNNNNNNNNNNNNNNNNNNNNNNNNNNNNNNNNNNNNNNNNNNNNNNNNNNNNNNNNNNNNNNNNNNNNNNNNNNNNNNNNNNNNNNNNNNNNNNNNNNNNNNNNNNNNNNNNNNNNNNNNNNNNNNNNNNNNNNNNNNNNNNNNNNNNNNNNNNNNNNNNNNNNNNNNNNNNNNNNNNNNNNNNNNNNNNNNNNNNNNNNNNNNNNNNNNNNNNNNNNNNNNNNNNNNNNNNNNNNNNNNNNNNNNNNNNNNNNNNNNNNNNNNNNNNNNNNNNNNNNNNNNNNNNNNNNNNNNNNNNNNNNNNNNNNNNNNNNNNNNNNNNNNNNNNNNNNNNNNNNNNNNNNNNNNNNNNNNNNNNNNNNNNNNNNNNNNNNNNNNNNNNNNNNNNNNNNNNNNNNNNNNNNNNNNNNNNNNNNNNNNNNNNNNNNNNNNNNNNNNNNNNNNNNNNNNNNNNNNNNNNNNNNNNNNNNNNNNNNNNNNNNNNNNNNNNNNNNNNNNNNNNNNNNNNNNNNNNNNNNNNNNNNNNNNNNNNNNNNNNNNNNNNNNNNNNNNNNNNNNNNNNNNNNNNNNNNNNNNNNNNNNNNNNNNNNNNNNNNNNNNNNNNNNNNNNNNNNNNNNNNNNNNNNNNNNNNNNNNNNNNNNNNNNNNNNNNNNNNNNNNNNNNNNNNNNNNNNNNNNNNNNNNNNNNNNNNNNNNNNNNNNNNNNNNNNNNNNNNNNNNNNNNNNNNNNNNNNNNNNNNNNNNNNNNNNNNNNNNNNNNNNNNNNNNNNNNNNNNNNNNNNNNNNNNNNNNNNNNNNNNNNNNNNNNNNNNNNNNNNNNNNNNNNNNNNNNNNNNNNNNNNNNNNNNNNNNNNNNNNNNNNNNNNNNNNNNNNNNNNNNNNNNNNNNNNNNNNNNNNNNNNNNNNNNNNNNNNNNNNNNNNNNNNNNNNNNNNNNNNNNNNNNNNNNNNNNNNNNNNNNNNNNNNNNNNNNNNNNNNNNNNNNNNNNNNNNNNNNNNNNNNNNNNNNNNNNNNNNNNNNNNNNNNNNNNNNNNNNNNNNNNNNNNNNNNNNNNNNNNNNNNNNNNNNNNNNNNNNNNNNNNNNNNNNNNNNNNNNNNNNNNNNNNNNNNNNNNNNNNNNNNNNNNNNNNNNNNNNNNNNNNNNNNNNNNNNNNNNNNNNNNNNNNNNNNNNNNNNNNNNNNNNNNNNNNNNNNNNNNNNNNNNNNNNNNNNNNNNNNNNNNNNNNNNNNNNNNNNNNNNNNNNNNNNNNNNNNNNNNNNNNNNNNNNNNNNNNNNNNNNNNNNNNNNNNNNNNNNNNNNNNNNNNNNNNNNNNNNNNNNNNNNNNNNNNNNNNNNNNNNNNNNNNNNNNNNNNNNNNNNNNNNNNNNNNNNNNNNNNNNNNNNNNNNNNNNNNNNNNNNNNNNNNNNNNNNNNNNNNNNNNNNNNNNNNNNNNNNNNNNNNNNNNNNNNNNNNNNNNNNNNNNNNNNNNNNNNNNNNNNNNNNNNNNNNNNNNNNNNNNNNNNNNNNNNNNNNNNNNNNNNNNNNNNNNNNNNNNNNNNNNNNNNNNNNNNNNNNNNNNNNNNNNNNNNNNNNNNNNNNNNNNNNNNNNNNNNNNNNNNNNNNNNNNNNNNNNNNNNNNNNNNNNNNNNNNNNNNNNNNNNNNNNNNNNNNNNNNNNNNNNNNNNNNNNNNNNNNNNNNNNNNNNNNNNNNNNNNNNNNNNNNNNNNNNNNNNNNNNNNNNNNNNNNNNNNNNNNNNNNNNNNNNNNNNNNNNNNNNNNNNNNNNNNNNNNNNNNNNNNNNNNNNNNNNNNNNNNNNNNNNNNNNNNNNNNNNNNNNNNNNNNNNNNNNNNNNNNNNNNNNNNNNNNNNNNNNNNNNNNNNNNNNNNNNNNNNNNNNNNNNNNNNNNNNNNNNNNNNNNNNNNNNNNNNNNNNNNNNNNNNNNNNNNNNNNNNNNNNNNNNNNNNNNNNNNNNNNNNNNNNNNNNNNNNNNNNNNNNNNNNNNNNNNNNNNNNNNNNNNNNNNNNNNNNNNNNNNNNNNNNNNNNNNNNNNNNNNNNNNNNNNNNNNNNNNNNNNNNNNNNNNNNNNNNNNNNNNNNNNNNNNNNNNNNNNNNNNNNNNNNNNNNNNNNNNNNNNNNNNNNNNNNNNNNNNNNNNNNNNNNNNNNNNNNNNNNNNNNNNNNNNNNNNNNNNNNNNNNNNNNNNNNNNNNNNNNNNNNNNNNNNNNNNNNNNNNNNNNNNNNNNNNNNNNNNNNNNNNNNNNNNNNNNNNNNNNNNNNNNNNNNNNNNNNNNNNNNNNNNNNNNNNNNNNNNNNNNNNNNNNNNNNNNNNNNNNNNNNNNNNNNNNNNNNNNNNNNNNNNNNNNNNNNNNNNNNNNNNNNNNNNNNNNNNNNNNNNNNNNNNNNNNNNNNNNNNNNNNNNNNNNNNNNNNNNNNNNNNNNNNNNNNNNNNNNNNNNNNNNNNNNNNNNNNNNNNNNNNNNNNNNNNNNNNNNNNNNNNNNNNNNNNNNNNNNNNNNNNNNNNNNNNNNNNNNNNNNNNNNNNNNNNNNNNNNNNNNNNNNNNNNNNNNNNNNNNNNNNNNNNNNNNNNNNNNNNNNNNNNNNNNNNNNNNNNNNNNNNNNNNNNNNNNNNNNNNNNNNNNNNNNNNNNNNNNNNNNNNNNNNNNNNNNNNNNNNNNNNNNNNNNNNNNNNNNNNNNNNNNNNNNNNNNNNNNNNNNNNNNNNNNNNNNNNNNNNNNNNNNNNNNNNNNNNNNNNNNNNNNNNNNNNNNNNNNNNNNNNNNNNNNNNNNNNNNNNNNNNNNNNNNNNNNNNNNNNNNNNNNNNNNNNNNNNNNNNNNNNNNNNNNNNNNNNNNNNNNNNNNNNNNNNNNNNNNNNNNNNNNNNNNNNNNNNNNNNNNNNNNNNNNNNNNNNNNNNNNNNNNNNNNNNNNNNNNNNNNNNNNNNNNNNNNNNNNNNNNNNNNNNNNNNNNNNNNNNNNNNNNNNNNNNNNNNNNNNNNNNNNNNNNNNNNNNNNNNNNNNNNNNNNNNNNNNNNNNNNNNNNNNNNNNNNNNNNNNNNNNNNNNNNNNNNNNNNNNNNNNNNNNNNNNNNNNNNNNNNNNNNNNNNNNNNNNNNNNNNNNNNNNNNNNNNNNNNNNNNNNNNNNNNNNNNNNNNNNNNNNNNNNNNNNNNNNNNNNNNNNNNNNNNNNNNNNNNNNNNNNNNNNNNNNNNNNNNNNNNNNNNNNNNNNNNNNNNNNNNNNNNNNNNNNNNNNNNNNNNNNNNNNNNNNNNNNNNNNNNNNNNNNNNNNNNNNNNNNNNNNNNNNNNNNNNNNNNNNNNNNNNNNNNNNNNNNNNNNNNNNNNNNNNNNNNNNNNNNNNNNNNNNNNNNNNNNNNNNNNNNNNNNNNNNNNNNNNNNNNNNNNNNNNNNNNNNNNNNNNNNNNNNNNNNNNNNNNNNNNNNNNNNNNNNNNNNNNNNNNNNNNNNNNNNNNNNNNNNNNNNNNNNNNNNNNNNNNNNNNNNNNNNNNNNNNNNNNNNNNNNNNNNNNNNNNNNNNNNNNNNNNNNNNNNNNNNNNNNNNNNNNNNNNNNNNNNNNNNNNNNNNNNNNNNNNNNNNNNNNNNNNNNNNNNNNNNNNNNNNNNNNNNNNNNNNNNNNNNNNNNNNNNNNNNNNNNNNNNNNNNNNNNNNNNNNNNNNNNNNNNNNNNNNNNNNNNNNNNNNNNNNNNNNNNNNNNNNNNNNNNNNNNNNNNNNNNNNNNNNNNNNNNNNNNNNNNNNNNNNNNNNNNNNNNNNNNNNNNNNNNNNNNNNNNNNNNNNNNNNNNNNNNNNNNNNNNNNNNNNNNNNNNNNNNNNNNNNNNNNNNNNNNNNNNNNNNNNNNNNNNNNNNNNNNNNNNNNNNNNNNNNNNNNNNNNNNNNNNNNNNNNNNNNNNNNNNNNNNNNNNNNNNNNNNNNNNNNNNNNNNNNNNNNNNNNNNNNNNNNNNNNNNNNNNNNNNNNNNNNNNNNNNNNNNNNNNNNNNNNNNNNNNNNNNNNNNNNNNNNNNNNNNNNNNNNNNNNNNNNNNNNNNNNNNNNNNNNNNNNNNNNNNNNNNNNNNNNNNNNNNNNNNNNNNNNNNNNNNNNNNNNNNNNNNNNNNNNNNNNNNNNNNNNNNNNNNNNNNNNNNNNNNNNNNNNNNNNNNNNNNNNNNNNNNNNNNNNNNNNNNNNNNNNNNNNNNNNNNNNNNNNNNNNNNNNNNNNNNNNNNNNNNNNNNNNNNNNNNNNNNNNNNNNNNNNNNNNNNNNNNNNNNNNNNNNNNNNNNNNNNNNNNNNNNNNNNNNNNNNNNNNNNNNNNNNNNNNNNNNNNNNNNNNNNNNNNNNNNNNNNNNNNNNNNNNNNNNNNNNNNNNNNNNNNNNNNNNNNNNNNNNNNNNNNNNNNNNNNNNNNNNNNNNNNNNNNNNNNNNNNNNNNNNNNNNNNNNNNNNNNNNNNNNNNNNNNNNNNNNNNNNNNNNNNNNNNNNNNNNNNNNNNNNNNNNNNNNNNNNNNNNNNNNNNNNNNNNNNNNNNNNNNNNNNNNNNNNNNNNNNNNNNNNNNNNNNNNNNNNNNNNNNNNNNNNNNNNNNNNNNNNNNNNNNNNNNNNNNNNNNNNNNNNNNNNNNNNNNNNNNNNNNNNNNNNNNNNNNNNNNNNNNNNNNNNNNNNNNNNNNNNNNNNNNNNNNNNNNNNNNNNNNNNNNNNNNNNNNNNNNNNNNNNNNNNNNNNNNNNNNNNNNNNNNNNNNNNNNNNNNNNNNNNNNNNNNNNNNNNNNNNNNNNNNNNNNNNNNNNNNNNNNNNNNNNNNNNNNNNNNNNNNNNNNNNNNNNNNNNNNNNNNNNNNNNNNNNNNNNNNNNNNNNNNNNNNNNNNNNNNNNNNNNNNNNNNNNNNNNNNNNNNNNNNNNNNNNNNNNNNNNNNNNNNNNNNNNNNNNNNNNNNNNNNNNNNNNNNNNNNNNNNNNNNNNNNNNNNNNNNNNNNNNNNNNNNNNNNNNNNNNNNNNNNNNNNNNNNNNNNNNNNNNNNNNNNNNNNNNNNNNNNNNNNNNNNNNNNNNNNNNNNNNNNNNNNNNNNNNNNNNNNNNNNNNNNNNNNNNNNNNNNNNNNNNNNNNNNNNNNNNNNNNNNNNNNNNNNNNNNNNNNNNNNNNNNNNNNNNNNNNNNNNNNNNNNNNNNNNNNNNNNNNNNNNNNNNNNNNNNNNNNNNAAAAAAAAUCUCUAAAAAUUUGAAACAAUAUCUUAAAAUGAUAUUAAAAGUGAAAAAUAUUUAAAGAAAGCAGCACCUUAAAAGAGAAAAGAAAAUAUAUUAAUGUUUUAAAGUUGAAAAAUAUUGUAGAAUUUUCUUUUAUUCAUAUUCUAUUUAUAUUACAUAAAAAUUAAAAAAAAUUAUUAAUUGACAUUAUAGUUGAUAAAAUACAAAUUAUUAAAUAAGAAUUAAAAACAUAUUUAUAUAUAAUGGGGAUUGGGGUGGGAGUGGGGUGGGGAGUACAAUACCAAACCCCACCCCGUUAACAAUUUGGGGAUUACUUUUCCCCCACUCCCCACCCCAUUCCCCAAAAAUUACUAAAAAAAUUCUUCAUUUGGGGUGGGGCUCCAUGGGACCCCAAACCCGUGGAGGAUUUUGCCAUCCCUAUGCUAUAUGCCCUGAAAGUUAACCCCGAAUUUGCUAAAACGGUGCGUUUUAAAACGGUCACUUUUGCUUUUUUAUUUCACGUGUUUGAGAAGACCGGAGCUGUUUCUAUGUACGUGUUUCUCUUCCUUUUUAAUUGCACGUGUUUGAGAAGACUGAAGCACGUGUUCCUCUUCGUUUCAACCCAACACUCAAGAAUAUCUACAGGCUCCUUGGAGCUGGAAUUGGAAUUGAAAUUACGAUCCAGUCCUUCGCCGUCAGAUUUAUUUACGUUUACGGCCGCCAUCCAUGACGGUAAACGCCGCCUGCUUCCAUCCCCAGCUCCACUGCCACUGCCGCCGACUCCAACCAUUUUUUUUCCACAAAUAAUUUUACAUAAAUUCAAACUUCCGAAUUUCGUUAACGAAAUUAACUCAUGAUUAAUAAUAUAUAAUAAUUGUCAAUUUCUACAACAUAUAAGUUCGUUAAGAACGUACCAGUUUUUCACAGAACUUGUCCGCAGAAUGCUCCCGAGUUACCAACUUACCAUCCUUUUUUUUUAUUUCUUAAAUUCUUAACUACAUUUAAAUAUUUAUUUAUCAUUAUGGAAGCAGUUGUAGUCCAACGAUUCUUCACCGCCAAACCAAAUCGUCCCGUUCGAUCAAUAUCCAAUUUACCGUAAAUGAAUGCAGCUAACCUGGCAAAACCCACGCGCUGACGCCCAAACGAACUCCUCGCGCGUAAAAUCAAACGAUUCCGUCACUUCAAAUCCUCGUGCGUGUAAUUGAACCCAAGCUUCUCAUUUGGAAGGGCUGUACACUCUCGCAGUCUCGCUUUAAUUUAUUUAUAUCAUCCUUUUUGGUUAAUUUAAGAAAAAAAUAGAAAAAGAAACAAAAUGGAUCACGCCAUUCACAGAACCAAAAUCAUCAAAAAUCAUCUCUUGCAACCAAACUCGGAUCAAAUUCUCUAGCAAAGGUUAAACGAGAGAGAUUUUGCGGGUGUGUGAGAGACUGAGAGAUAGAUUUUGGAGAGAGAGACCGUCAAAAGCAAAGGUUAAACGGUGCAUUUUUUAUUUGCUAAAACGGUGCGUUUCAAUUCGAGGUGCAAUUCGGGGUUUAAAAUCGGGGGAAAUAGCUUUUUCCUUAGGAAUAACCAUUGUGUUUUCACAAGUGGUUGCUGGGUCUCUCGAAGAAUCAUGAUUUAUUGGGCAAUGAUAUUCGGCCACCACGAGACCAUAACGAAGCCAGAAACGCAUGCUUCCUCUGCCGUUUCGAAGUUUUAAAUUUGAAAAUUAAAAAUAGAUUUUACCAUUGAAAAAUAUUAAAAUUAAAUCUAAAGAAUUUGAAAAAUCCAAAUUACGAUCCAGUCCUUCGCCGUCAGAUUUAUUUACGUUUUCGCCCGCCAUCCAUGACGGUAAACGCCGCCUGCUUCCAUCCCCAGCUCCACUGCCACUGCCGCCGACUCCAACCAUUUUUUUUCCACAAAUAAUUUUACAUAAAUUCAAACUUCCGAAUUUCGUUAACGAAAUUAACUCAUGAUUAAUAAUAUAUAAUAAUUGUCAAUUUCUACAACAUAUAAGUUCGUUAAGAACGUACCAGUUUUUCACAGAACUUGUCCGCAGAAUGCUCCCGAGUUACCAACUUACCAUCCUUUUUUUUUAUUUCUUAAAUUCUUAACUACAUUUAAAUAUUUAUUUAUCAUUAUGGAAGCAGUUGUAGUCCAACGAUUCUUCACCGCCAAACCAAAUCGUCCCGUUCGAUCAAUAUCCAAUUUACCGUAAAUGAAUGCAGCUAACCUGGCAAAACCCACGCGCUGACGCCCAAACGAACUCCUCGCGCGUAAAAUCAAACGAUUCCGUCACUUCAAAUCCUCGUGCGUGUAAUUGAACCCAAGCUUCUCAUUUGGAAGGGCUGUACACUCUCGCAGUCUCGCUUUAAUUUAUUUAUAUCAUCCUUUUUGGUUAAUUUAAGAAAAAAAUAGAAAAAGAAACAAAAUGGAUCACGCCAUUCACAGAACCAAAAUCAUCAAAAAUCAUCUCUUGCAACCAAACUCGGAUCAAAUUCUCUAGCAAAGGUUAAACGAGAGAGAUUUUGCGGGUGUGUGAGAGACUGAGAGAUAGAUUUUGGAGAGAGAGACCGUCAAAAGCAAAGGUUAAACGGUGCAUUUUUUAUUUGCUAAAACGGUGCGUUUCAAUUCGAGGUGCAAUUCGGGGUUUAAAAUCGGGGGAAAUAGCUUUUUCCUUAGGAAUAACCAUUGUGUUUUCACAAGUGGUUGCUGGGUCUCUCGAAGAAUCAUGAUUUAUUGGGCAAUGAUAUUCGGCCACCACGAGACCAUAACGAAGCCAGAAACGCAUGCUUCCUCUGCCGUUUCGAAGUUUUAAAUUUGAAAAUUAAAAAUAGAUUUUACCAUUGAAAAAUAUUAAAAUUAAAUCUAAAGAAUUUGAAAAAUCCAAAAUUCUUACCCGUCCCUCUCACUGUCCUUCUCACUCGCUUGCUCUGUCUCUCUCUCAUUCACCUUCCCUCUCACUCACCAGCUCUGUCUCUCUCAGUCACCCUCCCUCUCACUCACCCGAUCUGCCUCUCUCACUCACCCACUAGCGAGCUAUUUCUCUCAGGCUGUCACUCACCCACGAAACUUGUUGUCACGCCACUACCAUCGCCGACCAGCCCAUCGCCGACCAGCCCAUCGCCGACAUCGUUGUCACGCCGUUCACGUCGCCGACCAGCCUUACUUGAUGGUGUGCUUGACGAUUUUGGACCUUUUUGUCCUACCUAGGUAAUUAAAUUUAGUAUGUUGAGGAAAGUUUUGAUUUAUUGUAUUUAUAUUUUAAAAUUAUUAGAAAUAAGUUAUUUGAAAUGUAGAUUUUGUUUGAAUUAUAUAUGAUUAAUACAAUUUAUUUUUCAUGGUAUUACAAAGAAAAGGUUGGGAAGAAAUAUAAAAAGAAAAUUAAGGUAAAAUUAAACUACUUAGUUAAUUAUUCUACAAUUAAUUUAAUUUUAAUUUAUCUUUUUAUGGAUUUGCAGGAUUCAAAUGUACAAACAUUCGUUAUCUUCUGAGGUGGAUAUUGUAGUCCCAACGCAGGAGAGCAAUAAGGAUCCAGUAAAUUUUAUGUUCUUUGAUGUAAUACAAUUUAUUAUUUUAAUUUUUAAUGGCCACUAAAUCUGCCAUUAUUAUAUUUUAAAUGGUCACUAAAUAAUGGUCAUUAUUUAGGAACCUGUGUUCACAUACCAAUCAUAAGGAUGUGAAAUUUAUCCAUCGUUUCCUUUUUAUUCUUACAUUGUAAGUUAUAAUCCAUUUUUUAUAUUUAUGCCUAGUUAAUUUUGCAGUUUUUAUAUGUGAAAAUGCCAAAUUAACCAAAAAACAAAAAGGUACAAUUAUUCACUUAAACAAAUGUUGCUAGCUUCAAGCAUAACUAACUAGGCAAUUGGUUGUUCAUUUUUCUCUCACAAUUGUAAGCAUUGUAUGCUGAUUCGGCAUCCAACAAUGAUCUGUAAGAUUGGAAUGAAUCUAAUACACAUUAGCAACAUAUUUUAGAGGAGGGUUAAUGAAGCAAUAUAUGCUUUAUAGAAAAUGAAGAACCUUAGAAUGAAACUGCAACUACUGGAUUAGCAGAAGAAAAUUAGGGAAUUCUAUGUGGUAAAGAACUUAACAAUUCAGCUAAGACCAAAAACAAUUGCCUCAACUAAAGAAUUCACAAAAACAUGUGAUAUAUCAAACUACCCAGAAUAUCAUUUUCCUGAUUUAUUUACUUGCUUGCUUCUUAAAUAUUUCAUCCUGAAUCCAAAAUAGGCAACACUCACAAGGCUACUUCCAUUUCAGCUAGCUGUACCAUAUGUACGGUCCAUCUAUGGUGCCUCAUUUUUUAAACGAAAUUUACUCAAUAUGUAUUUUUUUUUCCUUAUUCACAUCAAGAGAAAAUUUUAGUUUAAAAAUGAUAGUAACAAAUGUAAUGUGUAAACGAUAAUAAGUAAGGGUCGGCAAAUUCAGUUUUGGAUUGGGUUUGAGUUCGGGUUAAUCGAGUUAGGAAAAAAGUAAUCCAAACUCAAUCCAGACUUAUAAUCGAAUCCGAAUUAUAUUUGGAAUGGAUAAAAAAUUUCAAAUAAUAUUCUUUAAUUGUGUGUAAUUUCGGAUCGAUUUGGAUAAAUUCCUACCUGAUUGGAUUGAAAAAUUCAUCUACAUCCGAUCUGAACUCAAGUUUUUUGGUCGAAUCAGAUUGGGUUAUUUGCCCACUCCUACUCACAAGUUUGUUUUGAUUGUGUAAAGGACCGACGUGUUCAGCCUGUCGUAUGGGUCAAGCUAGGAUAAAUUUUAAAGGUCCUCGUUCAAUGGGUCAGGCCUUUUUCGACCUAUGAGAUCGUUUUUGGAGCUACUCUAUGAGUAGAGUGGUGAUGUUUAAAUCCCUCAUUAUAUCUUACCAACCCACGCUAAUGACUUUUAUGUUAAUACCUAUUUUAUCCUCAUGUGAAAUAACUUAAAAUAAUAAAUAAUUUUUAAGUGCACCGACAUAAAAUUUUUUAUUAAUAACUAAUUAAGCGAAUCUAAUUUCUUAAACUCUAAUUUCUUCUAACUUUUGAAACUGAGCCAUUCCAUUCAAAGUAAGGCAUUCCAUUCAAAAUAUUGAAGAACAAUGUAAAAUUUUAUACUGCAAUCCCAUAGAGACUGACAGCGAGUGCUUUCAUUCUCAGAUAGAUACCUAACAGCAUUUUCCAUCGCGAUUCCAAAUUUUCAUUCGUUCUGUAAAUGCAUUGCAACGCCAAAUUACUGUCCAAGUAAUAUCACUUUACAAUUGCAAACACUUUCCAAAAGCAAUGCAUUCUGGUCCAUGAACAGAUAAACUUGAAUACAAGAUUGGGAUGCAUACAAAAGGAAAUCAAGACUCCCCUUUUUAGUUCCAAAUCAAUUAUCAUAAUAAAGGAUCUCUAUCUUUAUCACGUCCAACCCCUUGGCCAAAUUCUUGAAUUCCUUCACUCAACUUUGGCUUGAUAGGCUUAGCACGAUACCAAGGUUAUUCAGGACCGACUCGGCAUGGUUCUUGCUCCAAUUCUUGGUGGAACUAUCAAAUCUUAAGUGGAGGAUAAAACCUUAAAAAAAAAAGGUUGAGAAAUUACAAUGAUUAUGAGAGUUUUUUUUUUUUAAGAAAUGAUGUUAUAAAAUUUAUACAAUGGGUGUAUAAAAAAAAUUAAAAUAAAGGUAAUUUAGAGAUUAGGUAAGGUAUAUUGAGAGAUAAAGAUUUGUUUAAAUUUUUUAGUGGAAUUAAUUGAAAAAUGGGGGGCUUGUGAGAUAUAAUAAGGGAUCAAAAUCACCAUUCUUAAGAUAGUGAUGGGGUACACCCCGUUUAAUACACCUCAUUAAAACUUCCUCUUCUAAUUUUGACUACUAAUAUGUAGUAAUCUAGAUAAAGUUCCUCUUCUAAUUUUGACUACUAAUACAUGUUGAGUGAUCUACGCCUCUCUCAACCAAAAAGUUUAUUGGAUUGGAAUAUUGAUUGCAAAUUUUCUACUUUAACAGUAGAUAGUUUUACAACUAAUGAUGCUAUGAUUGAAAUUCUUACUGAGAAGUUAUCUGAUAGUUCACUUCUAUUGGGUGGAGAGUUUUUUCAUAUGCGUUGUUGUGCCCAUAUCCUGAAUUUGAUAGUGAAAGAAAGAUUGGAUGUGAUUAGUAAUAGUGUUGAAAGAAUUCGUAAUAGUGUUGCUUAUUGGACAACAACACCCAAAAGAGAGGAAAUUUUUUUUGAAGUUAUAGUGAACUAACAGUAAUUAAUUUUAUUAUUUGAUAUUGCAGGAUUAAAGUGACAACCAUAGGCUAUAUGAAUAUAAUAAAGAGAAGAUGAAGCCGAAGAAAGAAUGAUUUGAAACAUUUGCUAUACAUUUUUGUUCUUUUAGUUAUUAUUUAUCCAAACAUUUUGUAAUUUUGAUAUCAUUUUAAGAUAUUGUUUCAAACUUUUGAACUUUUUUUCAAUAAUUUAAAUACUUUAUAAAAUGGUGAUGAUUUUAUUUUAUUUAAGUUUCUAAUUUUUAAUUUAUUAAAAUUAUGUAUUCAUACCUAUUGUAAAAUAAUUAAAUAAGUAAAUGGGAAAUGGGGUGGGGAUGGGUUCAGGUCUUUCCCAACAACUGUGGUCCAAAUCAGGAUCACCCACCUUGAACCACACAGAGAUCAAACACAACAAUUUGAAGAUCAGCUCCUUUAUGAUAACUUGCAAAUUGAUUGUUGACCCCAAACUUUAUUGGACCUCAAACGCAAGGGUUUAAUAAUCAAGAGCAAGCAUAAAUUGCAUACUAAUUUGCAAUCCAAAAAAUAAGCAUAGCAAAUGGAUUUGGAAUGAAACACAAUUUGACAAUUGUCAGGUUACCUGAAUAUAGAGCAUAUUUUGAGAAGGAUGUGCAUUGAUAAGAUAAUCAGUGAUCCACUUAAGGGAUUCCUGAGCAUGCUCAAGUUGCUUCACUGCAUUCAUAUGAUCACCAUACUCAAGAAUCGCCCACGACAACACGGUUGCUGUGAAAGCCAUGGGGAAUCCAAACUUCAUCAAAUCCCCAGCAUCAUAUAACCCUUUUGACAAGUCUAAAUUCUCUUCACUUCCAUCAUGUAAAGCCGAGUCCCCUCUCCAUACAAUCUUAUUAUUCACCAACUUUCCAGCUGCAACAGCAAAACAUUAUUUUCGUUAACUAAAAACAAAAUAAAAUGUCUACACUUCCGUGAAAAAAAGAACUACAAAGAUAGACAGAGAGGAUGAGGAAUGAAGUUGAGCACAUUUUUGUACAUCGAAGAACUGCAUGGAUAUUCCAAGAGCAUUGGCAUAAUUUUCAACGAUUUCUUGGUGAUGACGUGGACCUCGACCUUUCUUGAGGUAAUCAAAAUAUUUUAAUAUUGUGAGAACACUCAUCGUUAUAACAACAGCUCCAAAGAUUAACAGCAGCAGCGACCAGAACCAUCCCAGCUUUGAUCUUUUUGUAUGAUCCUUGUUAGUAUCCUGAUCAGCUUCCAUUUUCUUGCCAUUCUCUUCAUCUUCCAUUGAAUCGCCGCAACAUGCCAUCAUUCUCGUGAUAUUUUUCGCCCCAAAGAGUUAACAGACUUAUAAAAUUGAUGUUCACUGUGGUUUUAACUGAAUUUGGAAAAUUGGAGCCAAGAAUCUGGAGGGGCGUCCCCUCUUUUUAUAGAGUGGCAAAGAUACUCAUUUUGAUGUGGAAAAUGGUAACGGCCUUCGAGUGAACGGUCUGCCGUUAGAUUUAGUGGGACCAGUGUUGAAAUGGAUAGCAGCGAUUGCGCCCUGGCCGGGGACUGAUUGAUAGCGGCUGAUAGAAAGGGACGACGUUUUUCAAGUCAUAAGACGACUAUCUCACAGAACGGCAGUGGUUCGGCUUGUCGUUUAUAUUGAAAGUUGAAGCCGGUAAAUGACGUAGUCUGGCAUUGCCAUUUGCAUUACGUACAUUCUUAUCGAGCAGGCAAGGAAGUCAAGAGAAUAAUUAAUGGUUUGUGCAAAAAAACAAAGCGAAUAUGAGAAAUAAAAUGAAUGACUUAGCGUUGGUGCCGUGUUAAGCAGAAAAGUUCUCAUGAUUCAGACGUAUGCAGUUCUCUAGAAGUAGAGUUAUUGUGCUGCCAAUCAUGACAUUUAGAUUUUAUACUAAAUGAGAUUGAUGGGCGAUGUAGACGACAAAUACAAAAUAGAGAAGACAAAAUUUGUUUCGAUGAUUCCAUGAUCAUUUAUUUGAUUGAUUCAUAUAUACUCGAGUUUGGCGUUUGCUAGCUUCACCUUGGCCUUGGGUGAUGGAAUCAACCGAGGGGAUAGCGAAUCGAGGUAGUUUUAUUUAUUUAUUUAUUAUUAUUAUUAUUAUUUUUGGUGAAAGGUUUGGAAGUAGUAUUUAAUUUGCCAAAAGCUUUUAUUUUUAUAAACAAAAUUUAUUUACGAAAAAAAUGGAAAAAGACAGUACCCAUCACACGCACGCGUAUAAAACAAUAGCACACUACAAAAAAAGGGACCUCCCCAGAGAUGAUUAAUUCAAAUGUUGCAAAGACGCAUAACGGCUACCAUAGCGGGAAACAGUAACACCAGUAAAGAGCUGCUCUUAAAAUUGAAUAUUUCACUUGCAAACCUCAGUCGCUCGGGCCAUUAUCAAGAUGCCCUCCAUCUGUUCGUCCAAAUUCAUUCUUCCCAUAAACUCAAACCUGACAUCUACUCUCUCUCUACAACCCUCGCAGCAUGCGCCAACCUCCGCAAUGCCGCCUUCGGCAACCAACUUCACGCCUACGCUUUACGCGCCGGCCUCAAAGCUUAUCCACACGUGGCAAAUACGAUCCUUUCACUCUAUAAAAACGCGCGAGAUUUGGUCUCCGUCAAAAGGGUAUUCAGUGAGAUACAAAACCCAGAUGUCUAUUCUUGGACGACGUUCUUGUCGGCCUGCACUAAGAUGGGUCAUGUUGAUUACGCCUGUGAAGUGUUUGAUAAAAUGCCAGACAGGGACCUGCCAGUAUAUAAUGCGAUGAUUACUGGUUGUACGGAAAAUGGGUAUGAAGAUAUCGGUAUUGGUUUGUUUCGGGAAAUGCACAAAUUGGAUGUUAGGCGUGAUAACUAUAGCUUUGCUAGCGUGUUAAGCGUGUGUGAUGCAGGGCUGUUGGAGUUCGGAAGGCAGCUCCAUUCACUGGUGACUAAAAGUGGUUUGUCGUGUUUAGCUUCUGUGGUUAAUGCGCUGAUUACUAUGUAUUUUAACUGUGGAAAUGUUGUGGAUGCCUGUAAGGUUUUUGAAGAAGCAAAAGGUUAUGUUUGUGAUCAUAUUAGUUACAAUGUAAUGAUGGAUGGUUUGGCGAGUGUAGGAAGAGUCGAAGAGGCCUUGAUAAGGUUUAGGGAUAUGCUAGUAGCUUCUCUUAGACCCAGUGAAUUGACUUUUGUGAGUGUCAUGAGUGCCUGCUUAUGUCCUAGAGUUGGGUAUCAAGUACAUGCCCAAGCCAUCAAGAGUGGGUUUGAAGCAUAUACUUCUGUGAGCAAUGCCGCAAUAACCAUGUAUUCUUCUUGUGGGAAAAUAGAUGAGGCUUACAUGAUUUUUGCAAGAUUGCAAGAAAAAGAUAUAGUCUCAUGGAAUACUAUGAUAUCGACCUAUGCUCAGAGGAACCUUGGUAGAUCAGCAAUCUUGGCCUAUCUAGAAAUGCAGAGUGUAGGAAUCCGACCAGAUGAGUUUACCUUUGGAAGUUUAUUGGCAAGCUCAGGGUUCAUAGAAAUGGUAGAGAUGAUUCAUGCCUUUGUAUUCAUAAAUGGGAUCAUCACAAAUAUCCAAGUUUCUAAUGCUUUGAUUUCUGCAUAUGCAAAGAAUGAGAGGAUAAAACAAGCCUAUCAAAUAUUUCACAACAUGUCUCCCAGAAAUAUAAUCACCUGGAAUACUUUAAUAAAUGGCUUCCUUUUAAAUGGCUUUCCAGUGCAGGGCUUACAGCAUUUUUCUGAAUUGUUGAUGUCAGAACUCAGGCCAGAUGAAUAUACCCUCAGUGUUGCUUUGAGUAGUUGUGCUCGCAUAUCGUCCUUGAGACAUGGGAAACAGAUUCACAGUUAUGUCUUGAAAAAUAAUCUUAUCUCAAAGAUGUCUUUAGGUAAUGCCAUGAUCACAUUGUACGCAAAAUGUGGCGAUUUAGAUUGUUCUUUGAGAGUCUUUAAUAUGAUGAUUGAAAAGGAUACUAUUUCUUGGAAUGCCUUGAUCUCCGCAUAUGCACAGCAUGGAGAAGGCAAGGAAGCUGUUAGUUGUUUCAAGGCAAUGCAAGAUGUAGGUAGGAUCAAACCUGAUCAGGCCACAUUUACAGCUGUUCUUUCCGCUUGCAGCCAUGCAGGCUUAGUUGACGAUGGUACUAGAAUUUUUGACUCAAUGGUGAAUGAUUAUGGCUUUAUCCCUGCAGAAGAUCAUUUAUCUUGUAUGCUUGACCUUCUUGGAAGAGCAGGGUAUCUUGAUGAGGCAGAGAGAGUCAUCAAUAGUCAGCAUAUUCAAGCGCGUUCUGAUAACUGGUGGGCAUUAUUUAGUGCUUGUGCAGCUCAUGGUAAUUUAAGGCUUGGAAGAAUCAUCGCUGGGCUGCUCCUUGAGCGUGAACAAGAUAAGCCAUCAGUUUACGUGCUUUUAUCAAAUAUAUAUGCAGCUGCAGGUUUAUGGGAAGAAGCUGCUAAUAUAAGGGAACUGUUGAAGAGAACCGGGGUGAUAAAGCAGCCUGGUUGCAGUUGGAUCGGGUCAUGACAGGUUUGAUAUUGAAAGGGGUCACUGAUUCUCGAUUGGAUUCUAUAGAUCGUCUCUGUAUGCAAACUGUUGAUCCCGCUACUGAUUUUUUUUUCUCCCUACAUUGACAUCAGUGCCAAUUUGAGGGAAUCACACCGUAAAGGAAGCGGCAGAAAUUUUUAUUUCUUCUGUCAUCCCUUUUUUUGCAUAUUUAUUCUUUCUGGAAGGCCUGCUGUACCGUACAUCCGCCUUGGCCGUACAGCAGAUUGCCAUCCCUACUCUAAACCAAAUUUGACACUUUUUAGCAGCAGAUUUUCGACCAGCAGAUGGAACUGCUUGCUGGCCAACGACGUAUCCUUUGUCACCUUGGUUAUGAUUCAGGCAGUUCCUCUUUGCAGCCCCCAUCUUAGUUUCUACAUUUAUUCAUUUCACACGAACAUUACGCAUAUACUAUAGUUCUUAUGAUACUAUUUUUUUCUAUCAUGCUUAUGAUGAUUUUGUGAUGCUUUUGUUGGAUAUUUGAACUUUGUUUGUGAUUGUGUCGAUUUUGAUGAUAUAUUUGAGUUUUGCUUAUGACAAUGAUGCAUUUGUUGGUAUGGAGGUUGGUUGAUAAUGGGAAUUUAUAUGUGAGUGUUUUAACUACUUCUGUUUUUGAAGAUAUGUUCUUUUUUAAGGGGAGAUUCUGCCGAAAGUUUUGCACGCUAUGGAUAAUAUCAGAACUUCUCUCUUUACUCUUUUCAAGUUUAUUUCUUUUUUAUGAUGAAGGGGGAGAUAAAUUAUAUAUGAUACGUAUUGAUUGGCCAUAUACUUAGGGGGAGCACAUAUUUAGGGGGAGAAAAAUUGCACAAAUAUAUUUUUUGAGCACAUAUGUAGGGGAAGCAAAAUUGCACAAAUUUUUUUUUUGAAAAGUUUGUCAUCAUAAAAAAGGGGGAGAUUUUUAACAUGAAUAUUUCUUUAAUACUGAUUUUGAUGAUAACAAACUUUAUAAAGAUUGAUUAAUCUUUUAAAAGCUCAAAUAAUUUUUUCAUAUAUUAAAAUAAAUUAUUAUUUUCAUAUUAUAAAUGUUUUAUAUUCAAUAGAAAAAUGAUUUUAUGAAAUUGGUUAUUUUCAUGUUAAUUUUUUAAAUUGAAAAUUUUUGAAAACUUUGAAAUCAACAAGUAUUGCUUAAAAUUCUGGAAAAUGACUUAUUUGAAAUGUUUAAUAUGGUUUGGGACAUAGUAUAAUUUUAUAACAUUUUAGGCUAAAUCUGUAAUUUUUUAAAAUAGUUCACUAUAGCAGUCACUGUAGCAAACGGCGAUCCGAUAUCUUGAUAACGGCUAACCAACAUCGAACAGAAUUGAAAAUUAGUCUCUAGACACUAACGGCGAUCCGAUAUUUUGAAAACGGUAAUCCGACAUGGAGCAGAAAGUCAAUAACGGCUAUUUUUCAGCUCCAACUAAAUAAGCUCAAUCAAAUUCAAACAACAACAAUUCCAACGAUUAUCAUUGAGCAAAUUAUUGAGUAUACAACUUUCAUUGAGCUUUAAAAUUCUUGUAUUCAUCUCAUUUUAUUUGUAAUCAAACAUAUUGUGUGUGAGAGAUUUAUUGUGUAAUAUUUUUGGAAAUCAAAUUGAGAGGUUGUAAAGUGUUGAAAUACACUUGAGUUAAGAGAUUGGGGAUAAUCUCUUGUUGUAAAGGUUACUGACAUCUUGGAAGUCAAUUGUAAGAGUGAUUGAAGUCUUGGAGGCUUGCUUAGUGGAAUCCUCAAGCCCGAUGAGCUUGGAGGCGUGGACGUAGGCACGGUUAGCCGAACCACGUAAAAAUCAAGUGUUUGAUCUCUCUUCCCUUACUCUUUUAUUAUUUUGCUUGAUUAAAUUUAUUGUUUUUGUUCUUAUUAAGGCAUAUUUAAAUUGUUGUGUGGUUUGUUUUGCAUAAGUUUUUAUAACCCAAUUUACCCCUCCCCCUCUUGGGUUACUUAGAUAGUAUUUCAGAAUAAGUAAAUGAAGAAUUGUGGGCAAAAAAGGUUGAAUAAUUGGAGUUACCGUGAGGUCCUGUAAUUGACCGAUCCAUGUUGGGGCUAUUUCUUAUUGGUACUUUUGGUUGAAUUUCCACGUGUUUAUUGACCCUCAACAUCUCAACUACUGGUACAAAUCUCUUCCCCUGCAUAAUUGAAUAAAUUAGCACAAAAUCUCACAAUAUCAUAUUGAAAUAAAAGUGUGCAACCCAAGAGGGGGGGUGAAUUGGAAUUUUAAAAAUUAUCCUAGCAAAUCCACACAACGAGCAAUCUAAUGUCUUAAUAAAAAUUGAAAGCAAUCUUGAGGAUUUCACUAUCUUGACUUCAAGGUGUCAAUGAACCUUUACAAUAAAGAGAUUAUCUCCCAAUAUCUUCACUCAAGUGUCUCACACACUCAAACUCUUACAAUUAAGAUGAAGAAAUGAAAGUUACAAUAAAACUCACUCAAAGAGUAGAUAUUCAAAAAUGAAGAACAAGAGAUGAUUCAAUGUUUUUGUGAUUUGCAAAUUGAAAACUCAAGGUAUCUCAUAUGCUUUUUGUUUAUGCUUUCUGGAGGGCUUGAAAAUGAAUUGAAUUUGAGUUUUUAUAGUUUGAGCUCAAAAACUAGCCGUUAUGCACAUUUUGGGCAUAACUGGCUUACUGUUUAUGGACAUCCGGUUAGCCACUUAAUGUUACCGUUACAGCCACAAAUUUGAAUUUCUGAUCAUCCAGUAUGCCGCUUGUGAAAUCCGGUUAGCCAUUUAAGUUCCAGAAACAUUUUGCCCGAAUCUGGUCUACCGUUUGUCAGGAUUCGGAUAGGCGCUUGCUACAGUAACUACUAGAGUGAACUGUGUUUUAAAAUUAUAGUUUGACCCUAAAAUUUUAUAAAACUGUGUUAUGGCCCAAAAUAUUAUAAAACUUUUCAAAUAGGUCCAAUUUCAGAAUUUCUAAAUAUUACUUUAUUAAUCCUAAAACUUUUUGAAAUUAAGAUAUGACCUAAAAUAUGUGAAAUUAUAAAAUGACCCAAAACAUUUAAAGAUUUUCAAAUAGGUCCAAAUCCGAAAUUCAAAACAAUAUCAAAGGUUUUAAAAUACUUUCAUUUUAAUCCAAAACAUUUUGAUUCCAUAACAUCAUUUUCUUAUUAUAAAAACACAAUUCAUAAAUCUUUGUUUAAUCAAUACAUGUGGUUUGUUAUCAUCAAAAUCAAUAUCUAUAGCCAUAUAGGCUAACAAUCUCCCCCUUUUUGAUGAUGACAAAAUACAUUAUAAAAAUUUAAUCUAGUUAUGAAAAGCUCCCCCUUAAUCAAUGCAAGGUUAAAAAAUUGAUUUGAAAAUUAUUUAAAAAGACUCCCCUUGCAUACAUGCAUACUCCCCCUGGAUACAUGCAUAUUUUUAUAAUAUUUUUUAUAACACAUAUUAAAUUAUUCUCCCCCUUCAUCAUAAAAAAGAAUAAAAUAAUAAGAGCUCCCCCUAUCAAUCAUCAAAAUCGCAAUAUAAGCACAUUAGUUCAAAAAUAUCCAUAAGCAUAAGAAAAUCCAUAUAAUCCAUAACAAACAAUCAAAACAAAUCCAUAUUAUCCAAAACAAAUCCAUGUCAUCCAAAAAAAAUACAUAAUCCAAAAGCAUAAUAACCAUCCAUAUAGUUGAAGCAUAAUAACCGUCCAUAUAGUCGAAAAUAAAGGAACAUAAUGCAGUAAAUGAAAUAUAGGUGUGUCCAAAUACAAGCAUAAGAAACUACUGAGGUGGUGAGGAUGGUGGUGAUGGAGGUGGAUAUGGAUAUGGAAUGCCGAAGUGCUCAAAGAGAAGUCGUUGUCCAUGAAUGAGCUGCUGCUGCUGCUAGUUCAAUUAUGAGUAGCUAAUUUUUUUUCAAUCUUGGGUUGAACUGAAACUCAGUCUGCCGCACCGAGAGUGUCCGCACCUCAUCCAUAAGCUGCUGAAGAGUAACAUCUUCAGAGGUAGGAGGCUGUGGAGGUGAUGAAGCGGAUGCAGAGGCACCAGGAGCUGAAGCAAUCAUGGGAGGAUCUCGGCGUCUACGUUGCCCCCGAAAUGAGAGUGAACGGAUGCAGAGACACCAGGCGCUGAAGCAAUCACAUGAGGAUCUCGGCAUCUACGCUGCCCCCAAAAUGAGAGUGAGAAAAUGGGUAGCUGAUCGGCUGGAACCACAACAUUAAGUGGCCGAUCAUCACUUGGAGCAAGAAAGGUAAACUUGUUCUCAGUGUAUUUGACCCAAGUACCAUUUUUCCACUCAAAGCCUAAGCCGAAAAUAACAUCAUCCCCGAUACCCUUAGACAGUCUACACGACGGUUCUUGAAUCAGUACAUCAAAAUAUUUCAGGAUUCGGAUAAUGAAAUGAUCAUAUGGAAGGGAGCGGGUAAUCAACUUAGGUAUACUGAGCAUGUUUCGGACAAUGGUAUAUCCUAAGUCGACUGGAUGAUGUCUAAGAAUACAAUCAAUCAAGGCAACAUCUAUAUGAGAGACCUCAUCCAAAUGGUCUGAUCUAUGAAGGACAAUACUCUGAAUAAAACAAAGUAAUAUCCGAGUUUGAAGACAAAGACAUUGGGUGCGAAAAUGGAUAGUACAAUCUUCUUCUGAAAGGUCAAUACGACGACAUAUAUUAUUAACAGCAUCAAUAUAAACAUAGUCAUCAAUAUCAGGAGGUUUCCUAGGUGAAAAAAUUUCUAGGCCAUCAUCGGAAGUUCCUAGAAUAGAAUUCAACUCCGAAUCAUCAAACUCAAUCGAAACUCCUCCAACUGUGGUGAUUACUCGAUUCUCUUUCUCCGCGGAACAAUUCAUAUUCGAGUAAAACACUUUCACCAAGUCGGGAUAUACAUUUUCCUCAAAAACAAGUGCAUUAAGCCAACCAACAUCUUCCAACAAUUGCAAUAAAGUUCUAUUGCUAAUACUAAGAUUAUUUAACCAAUCCGGUAAGACAAAAAAAAGGUUUGGAGUACUUCACGAGUCAUGAACUGUUGAUGAAAUCGUUUGGCUAAAUGUUUCUUGUUCUAAAAGUGAGUGGACUCAAAAUUGGAUUGAUUGGAGGUGCCCCCUGCUUGCCGUGACCGGUUGGUUGAUUGAACCGGUUCUUUGCCUUUUCUUCGAACCGGCCGGGAGCUUGACAUGUUGAUUUGGAGGGAAUUGAAGUUGAAAUAAGCAAAGAGAAUGAAGGUUAUUAGGAUUGAAAGUGAUUUUGAGAAAGAAUUUGGAUAAAAAAUGACUUGAGGAGAAGAAUUUUAGAGAGAGAAAAAUUCGGUUAAACCCUAGGUUGAAAUUAGGAUUUAGAGUUUUAGAUGUUGAAAAUAGAUUUUAAGAAUGUUUUUAGGCAUAAGAACGAAUGGGGAUUAGGAUUUAUGGAUUGAUUUGUGUCAAAACCGAGUAGAAAAGGUGGAUUUUGGAGUGAAAAAUGAGAGAGAGGAACCGGUUUUUAAAGAGAGAACGAGAUUUGGAUUGCCGAAUGAGAGAGAGAGAUGAACAGUUAUCAUAAGCACGAGUUCGCCUUGUCGGAUGUCACUAACCGGCUAACCGAUUAGUGUCCAGAAGCAAGAAAGCCGAAAACGGCUUGCCGGAUGUGUGAUCCGGUUGUCCGGAUAACGUCCAGAAUGUGUCAAGGCUGACUCAGCUUGCCGGUUUGCAUAACCGGCUGGCCGGUUUUGAGACAGAUCAUUGCUUCACGAAUUCGGUUUUCCGGAUUUUAAGAACCGGUUAUCCGGUUGUGUGGCAGAACCAUGCAAACUGUAACCGGUCUUCUGGAUUUGAAGAACCGGCUGUCCGGUUUUGAGGCAGAGAGGAGGCUUAGCAAAUUCGGUUUUCCGGAUUGAUAAUCCGGUUAUCCGAAUGUUGACCCAAGAGCAACCAAAGCUAAUCUGGCUUACCGGUUUGAUAAAUCCGGUUAUCCAGAAUUUGUUCCAAGAGGAAUCAACAAGAAAGCGGUUUUUCGGAUGGGAGGAAGUGGAAUUCCGGUUUAGACUUGGAAAUCUUUUUGUCUUUAAUUGAAUUUUGGCAAGCUCUUAUACUUGUAUUACACACACCAUUUUAUUUUUGGCUUUUAAAAUUGAUUAAUUUUAAAUCAUUUUGAGAUUUAAAACUUUUCAAUAAGCCAUUUAAUGCAUGCAAGCUAUCUAAUUAAAAUUACAAGCAUAUCAAGCUAUCUAAUUCAUGAAGCAUAAAUCCAUAUAAUAACAAACAUAUCAAGCCAUGUAGUAAAACAUAAGUCAAGAUGCAACAUUCAUCAUUCCAAGCUCAUGUCUUAUCUUUAUAAAAUGCUCUUCGCUAAGAGGUUUUGUAAAGAUAUCCGCAAGCUGAUUUUCAGUAGAAACAAAUUUAAUUACAACAUCUCCUUUUUGAACAUGAUCUACAUAGUCUCUAAGGGUUUGUUUCAUCCAAAGAAUUUAAGCACAACAACUACCUGCGGCAAUAUAUUCUGCCUCAGUGGUUGAAAGCACAACCGAAUUUUGUUUCUUACUAAACCAAGAGACAAGAGAAUGGCCUAAGAAGUGACACGUUCCACAAGUACGUUUUCUAUCAACCUUAUACCCAGCAAAAUCGGCAUCCGAAAAACAAGUUAAGUCAAUAUGAGUUCCCCUAGGAUAGAUCAGCAUCCGAAUAACAAGUUAGGUCAAUAUGAGUUCCCCUAGGAUACCAAAGGCCGAGAUUAAUUGUGCCAAUAAAAUAUCAAAAAAUGCGUUUGACAGCAAGCAUGUGUGACUCUUUAGGACAAAAUUGAAAUCUAGCACACAAGCAUACACUAAACAUAAUACCAGGCCUACUAGCAGUCAAGUAGAGUAAGGAUCUGAUCAUACCUCGAUAUAUCUUGAUAUCAACUUCCUUACCUUUCUCAUCCUUGUCCAGCUUGAUGGUAGUACUCAUUGGAGUGCUUUUUGCCGUUCCAUUAUCAUAGCCAAAUCUUUUGAGUAGAUAUUUCACGUACUUGGCUUGAUUUAUGAAAAUUCCUUCCUCGUUUUGUUUGAUUUGGAGUCCAAGGAAUUACUUCAACUCUCCCAUCAUACUCAUCUCAAAUUCUUUACUCAUACAAGAUGAAAAAUCUUUACACAACAACUCAUUAGUAGAACCAAAAAUAAUAUCAUUAACAUAAAUUUGAACAAUAAGUAUAUCUUAGUUCUUAUGCUUAACAAAUAAGGUUGUGUCCGCUUUUCCCAUCGAAAAAUCAUUAUCCAACAAGAAGUUUUUAAGCCUAUCAUACCAAGCUCUAGGUGCUUGUUUUAGUCCAUACAAAGCCUUAGAUAACUUAUACACAUGAUCUGAAAAUUUUUCAUUUUCAAAACUAGGAGGUUGUUUCACAUAAACUUCGUCCAUAAUAUAACCAUUUAAGAAAGCACUCUUGACAUCCAUUUGAUAUAAAAUAAAAUCUUUAUGACAUGCAAAAGCUACGAGCAUUCUAAUGGAUUCUAGUCUAGCUACAGAUGGAAAUGUUUCAUCAAAAUCAUUUCCCUCUUCUUGAUUGUAACCUUGAGCCACUAGUCUAGCUUUAUUUCUUACAACCACACCGGAUUCAUCCAUUUUAUUUCUAAAUACCCAUUUAGUACCUAUGAUGGAUUGAUGUUCCUUUCUCUCAAAUUGAUUCAACUCCUCUUGCAUUGCCAUAAUCCAAGAUUCAUCAUUUUCCGCAUCCGCAAAGGAUUUUGGUUCAAUUUGAGAAAUAAAUGCAGCAUGCUCACAUGUGUUCCUAAGAGAUGAUCUAGUUGUAACACCUCGUGAGGGAUCUCCUAAAAUUACAUACUUAGGGUGAAAAGAAACAUACCUCCACUCCUUGGGGAGUGUUUGAGAAGUACCUUCAUUUUGCUUUGCAUUUGUUUCUUCAUGAUGUUCCUCUUGAAUUCCAUGUGAUGCACCUUUUUGGUUGUCAUUUGAUGCUUCUUCUUGUUGUUCUUCUUUUGCUUUAUCAUCAACAACAACUUUCUCCGUAGAGGAGGGGUUAGACUCAUCAAAUGUAACAUGCAUAGAUUAUUCCACAACCAAAGUUCUUUUAUUAUAAACUCUAUAAGCUUUGCUUGAGUUUGAAUAACCAAGAAAGAUACCAACAUCAGAUUUUGGAUCAAAUUUACCAAGAUUAUCUUUUGUGUUCAAAACAAAACAUUUGCAUCCAAAGACUUUAAAAUAGUCAAUGUUGGGUUUUCUAUCUUUCCAAAGCUCAUAUGAAGUUUUAUUAAGAUUAGGUCUAAUCAACACAUGAUUCAAAACAUAACAAGCGGUGUUGACGGCUUCGGCCUAAAAAUAUUUUGGCAAAGAAUUUUCAUUCAACAUGGUCCUAGCCAUUUCUUGAAUAGACCUAUUCUUUCUCUCUACAACUCCAUUUUGUUCUGGAGUCCUAGGUGAUGAAAAUUGAUGCUCAAUGCCAAAGUCAUUACAAAAACUUUCGAAUGCAUGAUUUUCAAAUUCUCCACCAUGAUCACUUCUAAUACAAGUAAUGGAAUAACCUUUUUCAUUUUGGACCUUUCUACCGAAAAUUCGAAAUGCAUUAAUGGCAUCAUCCUUAUUAGCUAAGAACAAUACCUAUGUGUAUAUAGAAUAAUCAUCUACAAUUACAAAUGCAUAAAACUUGCCACUUAAACUAGCAUAUCUAGAAGGUCCAAACAAAUCUAUGUGAAGUAAUUGAAGUGGUUUUGAAGUAGAAACAUGAUUCUUGCUUUUAAAAGAAGUUUUGAUUUGUUUUCCAAAUUGGCAAGCUUCACAAAUUCUAUCUUUUUGAAAACUGAUUUUUGGAAGACCUUUAACCAAAUCAUUUUUCACGAUUUUUGAAAUCAAAUCCAUGCUUGCAUGACCUAAUCUUCUAUGCCACAACCAACCAUUAUCAUGCAAUGCGGAGAAACAUUUAUCAUUUGUCGAUGCACAAUCUAUAUUAAUGGUAUAGACAUUAACACAUAUAUUUCCUACAAACAAAACUUUCCCAUCACAUGCAUUCUCAAUAACACAUUUUGAUUCAUCAAAGAUAACUCUAUAUCCUUUAUCACAUAAUUGACUAAUACUAAGCAAGUUGUGUUUUAAGUUUUCAAUCAAAUACACAUUUUCAAUGAGAGUAGAGGAUACAUUACCGACAUUUCCAAUGCCAAUGAUUUUUCCUUUUGAAUUAUCUCCAAACGAUACAUCUCCACCAUUUUCGAUCUUAGUAAAACUUGAAAACCAAGAAUAAUUCCCUAUCAUAUGUCUUGAACAACCGUUGUCCAAGUACCACUUAUUCUUCUUCUUCUUCAAGCCCUGUAGAGAGAAUCUCAAGUUUUAGGUACCCAAACCUUUUUGGGUCCUUUAGAGUUAGCAAUGGUUCCUUUCGGAACCCAAACACAUUUCACACCAUAAUAUGUAUUUCUCUUCACUACACAUCUGUUUUUCAUAUGAACAUCUUGAUUACAAUAAUGACAUACAAAUUGUUAAUAGAUGUAUUCUUCACAAAAUAGCUCUUGUAAUAUUUUUAUUUCAAAUUUGGCUUAUAACCAAUGCCUCCUUUGUAAAAAACACAUUUUCGUGAGUUUAGCAAGUUGUCCAAUAUCUUUUUCCCAUUUGUGAAUUUUAGCACAAUCUCAUUUAGUUCAUUGCUCUUCUUUCUAAGCAUUUCAUUUUCAUUUUUCAAGUCAUUCAUGUGUGACUCUAAGUGCUCAUGUGGAGUGCUAGAAUUCUCAAAUACUGCAAUUCUAUCAUACAAUGUUUUAUUCUCUAAUUCUAGGCAUGUAAUCUUUGCACUAAAUGAUUCAUUUUCAUUUUUAAGCUCUACCAUCUUCCUUUUAAGACAUAUAUUCUUUUUACCAAUCUUCAUCAACUCAUCAUGCAAAUCCUUAAAGGCAUCAUGUAAUUCAUCAUAUGUAGGAAGAAUACUCACCUCAUCAAGUUCAUCACAUGAUUCUUCCCCAAAGGCCAUGAGAGCUAAAUUUGUCAUUUCUUGUUGCUCUUCAUCAUCACUUGUUUCCUCAUCGCUAUCAUCCCAUGUCGUCACCAUAGCUUUCUUCUUGAGUUUGUUGAGGAGAGGACAUUCCAGUCGUAUGUGUUCGGGCUUCUUACAUUCAUAGCAAGUGAUUGGCUCUUUCUUCUCAUUCUUAUUCUUGUAGCCUCUGAACUUUCUCUGCUCAUUGUUCUUCUUGUAAAAUUUUCUGAAUCUUCUAGCCAACAUUGCCAACUCCUCAUCAUCCAUUUCGCUUUCCUCAUCACUCUCACGUUUUGAAGCCUUGAGAGCAAUGUUUUUCUUCUUUUCCUUAUGCCAUUUUUCCGCUGCCAAAUCUUCUUCAUAUGAAAUAAGAGAACCAAUUAAAUCAUCAAUAGGUAAUACAUUUAAAUCUUUGGCUUCCUCAAUGAUAGUCCUUUUUGGUCUUCAUUCCUUAAGUAGUGACCUAAUGAUUUUAUUAACUUUCUCGUUAUUUGAAAAGGUCUUUCCUAGGGCUCCUCGAGUGUUCACUAUGUUCGUAAAUCUAGUAUACAUAGAGUACACAUUCUCAUUUUGUUCCAUUUGGAACAAUUCAUAUUGUCGAGUGUACCUACUUAUUUUAGAUUCUUUCACUUGGUUCGUGCCUUCAUAAACAACUUCAAGUUUGUGCCAAAUUUCAUUAGCACUUUCGCAACUAGACACUUUAUGAAACUCUUUCUUAUCUAGUGCACAAAACAAGGCAUUCAUAGCCUUGGAAUUUAGAGAAGCUUUUCUCUUUUCGAAUUCAUUCCAUUCCCGUGAAGGUUUUGGAAUAUCUUCCCCGACUUCAUUUUUAGUCAAAUGCAUGAAAGGACCAUCAUUAACGAUUUCCCAAAUUUCAUAAUUUAAGGCUUGCAAGUAAAUUCUCAUCCUAGUUUUCCAAUACGGGUAAUCGUUUCCAUCAAAGUAAGGUGGUCUAGUGGUGGACUGUCCUUCCCUAAAUGUGGAAUCAUUUUGAGUUGCCAUUGAUCUUUAGCUCUAGACGGUUAAGUCUAAAUAAGAGCACCUUGCUCUGAUACCAAAUGAAAUAUAAGUGUGCAACCCAAUAGGGGGGUGAAUUGGAAUUUUAAAAAUUAUCCUAGUAAAUCCACACAACGAGCAAUCUAAUGUCUUAAUAAAAAUUGAAAGCAAUAAGUUUAAUAAAAACAUAAUAACAAAUGAGUAAGGGAGAAGAGAAACAAACACAUGAAUUUUUACGUGGUUCGGCAAUCCCCGCCUACGUCCACGCCUCCAAGCGAUCCAAGCUUGAGGAUUUCACUAUCCGAGCCUUUCCAAGGCUUCAACCGUUUACAAUUGACUUCAAGGUGUCAAUGAACCUUAACAAUAAAGAGCUUAUCUCCCAAUCUCUUCACUCAAGUGUCUCACACACUCAAACUCUUACAAUUAACAUGAAGAAAUGAAAGUUAAAAUAAAACUCACUCAAAGAGUAGAUAUUCAAAAAUGAAGAACAAGAGAUGAUUCAAUGUUUUUGUGAUUUGCAAAUUGAAAGCUCAAGGUAUCUCAUGUGCUUUUUGUUUAUGCUUUCUGGAGGGCUUGAAAAUGAAUUAGAUUUGAGUUUUUAUAGUUUGAGCUCAAAAACUAGCCGUUAUGCACAAUUUGAUCAUAAUCGGCUUACCGUUUAUGGACAUCCGGUUAGCCAUUUAAUGUUACCAUUACAAUCACAAUUUUGAAUUUCUAAACAUCCGGUAUGCCGCUUGUGAAAUCCAGUUAGCCGUUUAAGUUCUAGAAACAUUCUGCCCGAAUCCGGUCUAUCAUUUGUCAGGAUCAGAGUUUUUAUAGUUUGAGCUCAAAAACUAGCCGUUAUGCACAAUUUGAUCAUAAUCGGCUUACCGUUUAUGGACAUCCGGUUAGCCAUUUAAUGUUACCAUUACAAUCACAAUUUUGAAUUUCUAAAUCCGGUCUACCAUUUGUCAGGAUCCAGAUAGCCGCUUGCUACAGUAACUGUUACAGUGAACUAUUUUCUAAAAUUAUAACUUGACCCCAAAACUUUAUAAAAUUGUACUAUGGCCCAAAAUAUUAUAAAACUUUUCAAAUAGGUCCAAUUUCAAAAUUUCUAAAUAUUACUUUAUUAAUCCUAAAACUUUAUAAAAUUAUGAUGUGACCCAAAAUAUGUGCAAUUAUAGAAUGGCCUAAAACAUUUAAAUAUUUGCAAAUAGAUCCAAAUCCAAAAUUCAAAACAAUAUUUAUUAAGAAAUUCAAAACAAUAUCAAAGGUUUUAAAAUACUUUCAUUUUAGUCCAAAACACUUUGAUUCCAUAACAUCAUUUUCUUAUUAUAAAAACACAAUUCAUAAAUAUUUGUUUAAUCAAUACAUGUUGUUUGUUAUCAUCAAAAUCAAUAUCUAUAGCCAUAUAGGCUAACACGUAUUCAAUUCAAAGAUUGCCUAUUCAAAAUAGAUUGAGAAAAAUGCAUCACAUUUGCUAAUUAAAAUUUCACAAAUUUCAUAAAAUUGAACCAUAGAAACUAAAGCCAAAAUUCAUACCUUCGAUUUUAAGACACAGUAGGGUUUGGGUUAGUGUCCAGUUAGGGUUUGGCUGGGCCUUGUUCACUGAUGUGUGGUGAUUACGAUGAUGUGCCCGAUCGCUGGUGAUUCGUAUUGCUAGUGAAGAAGCAAUGACAACAAGCGUCAUUUAGUGUUUAAUUGGUUAUUCCAACAACGGAAUGAUAACUAUAGUAGGUGGGCUUGAUCUCGAAUUCUCAAAAUCUUGUGAUGAGCUCAAUUGGUGGUGACGACUGAUCGUACAAUUGUUUAUAGUGGUCGUAGUAGGGGUUUCAGCACUGAUUAUUGAGUGUUGAGUGUUCGGUGGUAGCCAUAGUAUCUUAAAGCUUAGUGCCGACACUAGAAAUUUGAUUGAUAAAGUAUGGUUUUGACCUAGGGUUUUUAAUUUGAGACAGUGAGGUGGUGAGGAUGAGUGUGUAAAUGGAGUUAGAAAAUUUUUGGGUCUUUUUAAUCUGACACUAUCUAAACGCACCGUUUGUUUUUUUCUUUUUUAAUAUUUAGUUAUUGUAAAAUGCUAAUAAAUAUAAUAAUUUAAAAUUUAGUCAAAUAUGAUCAAUCAUAGAUUUCUAUCAUAAAUUUCUUGAUAGAAAUAAUUUCUAUCACCGUUCUAUCGAACAUUUAUGAUAGAAAAUAAUUUUAUCAUAAGUCUAUCGUUAAUCCUUGAUGAACAAUUCUAUCACGAAUCCGACAUUAAUCCUUGAUAGACUUGUAAUUCUAUCACGAGUCCAUCAUGGUUUUAUGUCAUAAGCUAUUUUGUCUAGAAUCUAUCAUAAAGUGUCUGUCAUCUAUUACCAGUUUUCUUAUACUGCAAAAUGGGCUUAAUAUUCAUUUUUAGUUCCAAUUAAUUUAAGAGGGUGUAUUUGUACUCCUCAUAGUCCUCAUUCUAGUAAAUAUGGCAUCAAGUACUCAUGGUGUCAGGGGAAAAUAAUGUUCUACUACACGUGGUGUCAAGAACACAUUGUGCCAGGUAAUAAUAAUCAUGCCGUCGACAAUGAGGUAAGACUGUCCACUGAAUAAAUUAGAUACAUUCUAUGUCAACAUUUAUAUAUUAUUUUUAUAUUUUCCUAACUUAAGUUUAUGUUAAAUUAUAUUUUAUUAUGUUAAUUUUUAUCUUAAUUUUUUUAUUUCAUUAUUUUAGGUAUAUUAUGAGAUUAAAGAGGAAUUAAAUCAGAACAUUUAGGAAGAAAUCUGCUUUAAGGAAUCAAAAGAGAAACAAAUAAAAAAAUUUAAUUGAAACAAAUCAAGGAAGAUUUAAUUUAAUUAAUCAUCAUGCAUGCAAUUACGUGGAGAGCACUUUGACAAUUAAUUGGCAAGCAUGUGAUGGGCUUUAAAAGAAUUCUUGUUGGCUUAGGAAUUGAAAAGGGCAGCCAGCACUGUUAUUAUAAAAGGGCCACUAGUUUGAGAAUUAAAGAGGAUACAAGAAUAGCCUAGAGGAAAAGAAGAGCGAAAUAAGAGGAGAAAAAAACAGAAGCAGCCGCAAGAUAUCUAGAGAGAAGCCGAAUUAAUUAUUGAGUUUUUCUUUCCCUCUUCUCAAUUUUCUUGCUUGAAUGUUUCUUACAAUAUUUAUGAAUUCUUCUUAUAUUCUCAUGAAAUAACUUAUUUUGUUAGGGCUACGAUGUAGCCUAACUACGAAGAUUUAAUUCCAUAAAUUUAUGUUAUUUUUAGUUUAUUAUUUCAUGAUUGAGUGUUCGUUAUUGUGCCUAAUGCUUUUAAAUAUCUAGCAAAUUUUUUGAAUGAUUUGAGAAUACAUAAUAAGACCGAGAGGAGAUUUAUGUGUCUUUACUCUGUGUAAUGGAUGCCAUGAAUUGAACGAAAGACAGAGAUGUGCCAACGUAAUUAGUGCAAUUUACCCAAGAAUUUCCAUAGAGAUUAAUGAAUCUUUGCAUAUUUAAAUUCACUUAGAGAUAUAGUGGAUUAAUAUGUGAAGGUAUUUUUAAUAUUAUCCGGGAGAGGAUAUUGGAUAUAUUAGGGAAAUUCACAGUCAAUAAGGAUAAUAAACUUUAAUAACAUAAAUGGAGGAUUAAAUUGGAUUAGUUAUGGUAAAAUCAUAUGUCCUACUGUCUUCGUUUCUUGGUGAUUUCUAUUACUCCCUACAUAUUUAUUUAACUUUUAGCUAUUUUGUUUCAAAUUAAUUGUUAAUCUAAAUAUGCCUAUUCGAUUAUUCAAAUAAAUUAGGUUAUAACAAUUUCAGUACUUUACUCUUCAUUAUAUUACUCGUGUCGACUACUACACUUGUUAAUUUAUGCAUCAUUUCUUGCUAAUAAAUACAGUGUAAAGUGCUCAUCGUGCCAACUAGUAAUGAUCUCGCACUAAGGAGUCGGUGUACCUUACAAAAUUUAGACAAGAUUAUUACUAUCGAUCAACGAUGAGUCAAAAUAAUCCAUAAAAAUUAGAGAGAGUUAAUAAACUUACCAAAUUAAGCCCAUAGAUCAUGUUGAAACUUCACAUUCAACUCAAGCUUGAAACUACAUUAGCCACUCAUAUUGAACUAGGAGUAAAAUGGUAAUUUCAUACUAAAAUAUCUUUAAAAAACUUGAUUGAGAGAAAAUUACAUGAAAAUGGAGCUCAAAUUUGGAUUCAGAACUAUUGAAUUAGGGGGAGAGUCCAUUAUCUUUAGAUACAAUAGGUAAAUCAUGGCCAUCAGAUGAAACCAAUUCGGGCACUCAGGAUUUUACACUUGGCAAGCUUUAAUUGGAUGGAACACGUCACCAAGGCUGUGACUCGAUGAAUUGCAUGUAACGUACUUGCAUUUUUCAAUCUAAUAAUAUGCUGCAACUUCAUCGGUUAACGCAAAAGUCAACUAGUAUUGGUUAAAUGUAUUGUAAACUCUUUUUUCGGUCCAGUAGUAUGCUACCACAUCAUUAGUCAGCGCAAUAGUUGCUGCCACGUCAUCGGUUAAUGCACAUCAGCUGGGCCCCACCAAAAUCCUAAAAUUAUAAUUUUGUUUUUUAUGCCUUUCCUAAGUUUUUUACCUAUCAUAAGCUUAAAAAUAUUAUCUAUUUUGUUGUCCGAUUUCUUGUUAAUUGUAAAAUAAUCAAAACACCCCUGAAAUGCAUAAAAUACCUAAAUUAUAAUAGAACACACAAAAUCAAAUAUUAAAAAACUUAAAUACAUAAAAGUAAAAAUGUUAGUGAGACUUGGAUUGCAAAAUGACGAUUUGACCCUUUAUAAAUAUACAUUCUCCAGCACCCAACAACAAGCAAGGCAAGAAUAUCAUAUUAUAAGAGGAAAGAAACUUUUAUUUGGAAAGAAUCCAAGUCUUUUAAGACUUGUGAUUUUUGUGAAACACUAAUACCUAUAUAAAGAGAGGUAUGUAACAAUUGAAGAAGCAUAACAUAGAGCACAAAGAAGAGAAGUAAAAUUCGGCCUCCUCCCUAAAGAACCCGAAUUUGGCACAUGAUGUUGUGUUAAUUUGUUUUCUUGUCUUCUUUAUUCAAGUCUUGUAAACGAGACUAUUUUGUUUCAUCUUUGUGGAGAGUCUAUGUGAAUCUGGGAUCACUAGACAUUAAAUAAUUGCAAAAUUUCUAUUGAUCACUUUCUAAAGUGGCUUGAGGAUCAAGGAUGAAGAGGAAUAACAGUUAUUCAAGAUAAGCAAAUUCAGUCUAAUGUUGAGUAAGUUGUAUGGUAAGAAACUGUGAGAGUCUUAAGUUUGGUAAAUUUAUAACUCAGCUUAGUGAAUUACUUUUUUAGACACGGUCUCGUGGAUAUAGGAUUGAUUAAUCUAAACCCCGAAAAAAUCUCAAUGUUAUUAAAUUAUGCAAUUUAUUGUUUUUAACAAAAUUAAUGUUCUUGAUGUGGAUGAAUAGUAACAUGAACAAUACCUAUAAACAAUGACUAUGAACAGUAUUAGUGCGUAGUAAUUAUGAACAGUGUUUUGUAUUUUUAAUAGAAUUAGGUUAAAUAUAUUGAAGGUUUUCAUAGCUUUACUUUACUAAGAAAUUUAAUUAAUUAAGUCGUUAAUUAAUUAGGUCUAGGGUUUUAGUUGCCUAUAUCUAUUUCUAAUAGAUCUAAAUUCCUUUCUUCUGGUAUCAGAGCAGGACACUAAUCAUUUUUUUUGGUGAGAAUCUUGGAACCUAGAUCUAUUUUGUAGGUAUGAAUUUGCAACGAGAAAGAGGCUCUUUGGCUCCUCUACCUGUAUUAGAUGGGACAAAUUAUGCUUAUUAAAAGUAAAUGAUGGAAAUUUAUCUAACAGCUAUUGAUAAAAGAGUUUGGCAAUGUGUACUUACUGAAUAUACUCCACCUACUAAAUCUAAUGAAGAUGGUGUGGAAUCUCUGAAGCUAGUCAUUAAAUGGUCUAAUGACGAACUCAAUGCACUUGGAUAUAAUGCAAAAGAACUUAAUGCUAUUAUCAAUGGAGUUGAUAUGUUUCAACACCAACUAAUUUCUACAUGCAAGACAUCAAAAGCUGCUUGGGAUAUACUUCAAAAUACUCUUAAAGGCAACAUAUGGUAAAACAUUGUAUAUAAACAAUAACAGUGAACCGUACUCAAGAAUAGUAACUAUAAAUAAUGUUUUUAGAAAAUUAAUUUUUUGUUUUUAAUAUAGUUAGGUUAAUUAUAUUGAAGAUUUUCUUAUGCUCCACUCUAUUAAGGAAUUUAAUUAAUUAAGUCAUUUAUUAAUUAGUUCUGGGGUUCUAAUUGUCUACAUCUAUUUGUAAUAUAUAUAAAUUCCUUUUGGUAUCCGAAAGUUUUAUUUUAUCCUCGAUGAAUGAUACAGUAAACUAAUUAUAAAGUCACGGAAUGGUAUUUUGGGUCAUUUUUUGAAAAGUAAAGACGAAAUGAGUUAUUGUUCAAAAAAUAAAGAUGAAAUGAACUAUUGCAUCAAAUUCAAGGAUGAAAAGGGCUUUUUCCCAUUUAAUUAUGCAUGGUUUUAUUUUCUUCUUCGCCUACGUCAAGCAUUUUAUUUUAAGCGACAUUCAAGCUCAUAACAAACAUGCAUGUCACAAUUGGACUACAUAACAAUCCGAGUUGUUUAAUCAAAAUAGUAAUUGAAGUUAUAGCAUUUUUUUACACUUGAUUAAAAUAGAAUAUAUAGAUUUUGGGCAUCCGCUUUUAGGGCUAACCGAAAAUGUGCCUACAAUGAUUUUGAAGAUGAAUUUCUUUUAAUAGUAACAUGCAUGGCAUUAGUUUAUUUUUUAAGUUAUCAUGCACCCCACCUCAUCUUCCGAAUUAAAUGUAUCGAGAGAUAUUUUACUUCAACUCGAGAGGUUAAAUUAACUAUAUGAUCCUUUUAUUUAAUACAAUGAUAUUGGGCUUCUUUAUAUUUUUAUUUUUAUCAAUAAUGCUAGAUAUAUUAAUGGUGCAUUUAAAACGUAUUUUCUAAUUUCAUGGAUUCCAUCAGAACGACAUUUCUUCACUGAUUCCACCAAGAAUGAUGUUGACUUCAGGUAAUAAUUGAAUGUGUAGUAUUUUCAGUUGAAAUUACUUGAGUCUUGUAAUACUAAUAGGGAUUGAGAUUUAUAUCCUGUUGAAAUGAUUGUAGAGUUUUCUGUUACUUGAAUUUACGUCACUUGUUUGAUUAAAUAUCUCCUUAAAAGAUUAAUUUUAUUUUCGGCAAACAUCUUACUGAGACCGCAGAUCACAUCAUGGCUUAAAAAAAAGGAAAAAAAGCAGCAAAUUAUUUUAAUUGAAGACAAUUUGAUAAUAAUCUUUGAUUUAGGACAUUAUUUUAGGAUUAAAGAAAUUUUAUUAUUUUUAAAUUUUUUAUUUUAAUUAGAGUUAAUUAUGGUAUGUGUCUUAAUCUUUUAUUUCUAUUGCAACUUCAAUUUAGUUUCCCUUUUUAAGUUAACUUAGGGAAAUAGGUUUCCUCUAUUAUAAAUAGAGAGAUCUUAUUAUUAUAACAACAAUUCCAUUAAUCAAUAAAACCCCCCUUUUAUAAUUCCCUCUAGGAUUAUUUAUAAAAAUCUAUCUUGUAGAGUCAUUUGGACUAGAGCACUUCAUACAUUAUUAAAAUCUCAUUGAGUCAUUUUGAUUAAAAUGAAAUCUAAUCACACUUCAAUUAGAACAUAAAUUAAUCACGUUGGCUUGGUCCAGUACUAGAAUGAUAUCUAGUGUUAUUUAUCCUAUCAACUAUGUUAUAACUUCUAAUAACUACACAAGAAGUUUCAAGGAGCACUAUAAUGAAUUGAACUUGAAAGAACAGAUCAGAGCAAAUUAAUCAAGAAAGAAACCACAAGAAAAUUGAUCAUAACACAGUUUCAAGUACACAACUUGAUAAGGAAAAAACUGCUCUUUUAUUGAUCUCAACAAUUGAAAAUACAAGCUAAUCACCAAGAAGGAAUUACAAGGAUCACAAAGAACCAAAUUGCUAGCAAAAUGACCAAGAAAUGAAGAAGAUAUCAAUUUGAUAUCAGAGGCUAGACACACGUGCUUUUAUUAAGAUAUUUCUGGAAAAGCUAUAACGAACUCUUCAACGAAUUCUGCCACAUCAGCUUUAAGUUUUCAAUUAGACCCAUCUAGCUGAAGUCGAUUUGCUCACUGCCCCUAGAAUUCUUCAAAUCUUGCAUUUAAACCCAACGACCAACAACUUAUUUCCUCACACUCUCCACCUUGCAGACUCGAUUAAGCUAAUCAUCUCAAUUAAGUAGUAUAAAAAAAACCUUCAAAAAACACACAAUUUAAGAACUAGAGCUGCUGCCAACACCAAUUAAGUUUGUACAGAACUUAAAUUUGGUUGUUGGUAGCACUUUGGUUAACAUAUCAGCAAGGUUGAUAUCUGUAUGUAUUUUGAUUACUACAACUGACCCUUUUGCAACCUCAUCUCUGAUAAAGUGCAACUUCACAUCAAUGUGCUUGGUUCUCUCGUGAUAAACCUGGUUUUUGAUGAGCUGAAUGGCACUCAGAUUGUUACAAAAAAUCUGCAAUGUUCUUUGCUUCAACCAGAGUUCAUUUAGUAACCCUCUCAACCACAUUGAUUCUUUUACUGCCUCUGUUGCAACAACAAAUUCUGCCUCAGUAGAUCACAAAGCUACUAUGUGCUAUUGGGUAGCUUUCCAACUUAUAAGACAGUUGUCCAACAUGAACAGAUAUCCAGAGAUAGAUUUUCUUCUGUCCAAGUCACCUGCAAAAUCAGAGUCAACAUAUCCUCUAACUUCACAGACCUCUUGCUUGGAUUUGCUAUACAUCAGACCAUGAUCUAAAGUGCCCUUCAAGUACCUCAUAACCCAUUUCCACUACUAGAAAAAUGGGCUUUACUGACACUAAUUUAGUGUCAGUAAUUACUUUUCCUGACACUUGUUAAUUGUGUCGGUAAUGCUCCAGCCAGAACACACUGACACUAAUUUUUAGUGUCAGUGAUUUUUGUGUCAGUAAUUCAUGUCAUUAUGGUAUCACUAAAAUAAUGACACGAUAGCAUUAGUAUUUAAUGAUACUAUUUAUAUGUCAGUAAUUUAUGAGACUACAAUAUCAAGAGCACACUAACUCAAUAACAUCAAAAAUUAUUAAUGUCAUUUUAAACAUUUAGUGUCAGUAUUCAAUGAUGUUAUGAUUCUUUUGGUUAAUAGUAUACUUUUAUUUUAAUUAUAUUUUCCUGUUUGUUUUACAACCAAAGGAAAACUCAAAAUAUAUAAAAUAUACAAAAUCUUGCAACACAAUUGCAUAAGAAAUAUCUCAAAUACAUCACUUAAAUUCAUAUAAUUCAACUACAUCAUUGUUUGGAAAAGACAAAUAUAAGUACUAAAUUAAGUCUUGGACAAGCUCUGAACAACAAAGUACUAAGUUAAGAUUCAACAAAUAUUAACCAACAAAAAGAAGCACAUAAUGUCACUGAACAUCCACAAGUGGCUUCAUUUUUCUUUUCCCACCUACAAGUACAUAAAAUCAAUUAGUAUACCACAAAAAAUAAUUCUUGGAUUUUGGGAGAAAAACUAAUCAGGUCAAUUUCAGUGUUUAUGGAUGCUGGAAUAAAUGAGGAGGCAUGAAAUCAGGUCAUGUUGAAACACUAUAUAGGGAAAACAUAUAUCAAGCAGGGAAAAGAAGAAUUAAAAGCUUUAAGUUUUAAAUACCUUCCCAACCUCUACAAAACCUCUCUGCGCAUCUUCAAAAUUAACCUGCAAAAUUGACAAUAAGUAAAUAGAUUAACAAGUAGAAAGCAUAUUGGCCCAUGUUUUAGAAUUACGAAUGCAUAAGCUCCAAACUCUUUUAAAAAAUCAACAUGGAGGAGGCCUGCUUACGUUAGAUGACGAUGCCCAAAAAAAUAGAAAAAGAGAAGCAAAUGGAAAGAUCGUCACCCAUACUAUCAUAUACUAAUUGAUCAUGCAUCAAGAUAUGUUGGGAUCUACAAAUACAUUGAAAAGAUCUUUGCAAAUAACGGUGCAACUAGAAAGCUUGGUAUUUACAUUUUUGAAAAUUCUUUUUAUUGCUAACAACAGAAAGGGAUUCCUUUUUCUGCCCCCACUAUACUCAAAAGUAAUCUUACACAAAUGCUCUUUAGACAAGAUUGAUAUUUGCUACCCUUCACCCCAAUUACAAAACCAUAAAAACUCACCACCUAGACAAAUUUUAAAGUGUCUCUAUAGUUGGCUAUUAAAAACUGCUAAAUUUGUUUGCAGCCAUGCCCAAAAAUUUCAAGAACAUUGAACACAAUGCAUUAUCAGUACAAACAAGAUAAAAUGAAACUAAUUUCUCAAAAUUAAUAAAUUAUUACUGAAUCAAAAGGUUGACAAAUGAUGUUCCAGGAUUCACUCGACAUGUCAUCCAAGGUGAUACAAAACGGUAGAAUUAUAGAACUAGGACAAAACUUGCAGCAAGAUAACGGCAAUUUCCCCCUUUCGUGUAAGAUAAUAAUAUUAUUCUUCAAAGAGAGACGCAUAAAAAAAACUACAUAAAAAAAAAAGAAAAGAAAAUGCAUGAUGAAAGCAAGCAAGCAUAUGGGUAUGGGUCUAUUGUUGUUUAUAUGUAAAUCAUGUUAAUAACCAGCCACAGAAAAUAGUAAACAAUAGUUUUCACACAAUCGAUGCAUAUUAACACAAGCCACGGAUUAUGAUUUCACUAACCAUUGCACACAAAUGUUCCAGACCAAUUUUAGAAGGAGGUUUUACAAGUUACUUUCCUUCAACUGCUUGAAACUCAAUCAUUAACUAAAGAAAAACACAUGAAAUUAGUUUAAAUAAUAGGAAAGGUAAAGGAGACAUUUUAUAAAAACUCUUAAAUGUGGUACUCUGAUUUCCACAGACUGCGCAAAUUUUAGAAGGAGGUUCUACAAGUUACUUUCCUUCAACUGCUUGAAAAUCAAUCAUUAACUAAAGAAAAACACAUGAAAUUAGUUUAAAUAAUAGGAAAGGUAAAGGAGACAUUUUAUAAAAACUCUUAAAUGUGGUACUCUGAUUUCCACAGACUGUGCAACAAAAAUAAAAUUGGAUGAACUAUAAUAAGUGAGAAGACAUAUUGUAAUUCUAUCAUCAAAGAAAGAUAAGCUUAAUCAUUUUUAAUUUUUUCUCAAAUAUCCAGUAGUACCUUAAGGUAAUAGGACAAGAUCGCAGAAGUUGUCAUGAAGAGUGUAAAGCACUGAAUAACAAAAAUUGUACUAAUAAAUAAAACUCAAUUUAUUUUCUCCCUCAAUCAAUUGCUUUGAGCUUACUAUGAAUUCAACUAUGAAUUUGAGGAAAAAAUACAGACCUCAGUUUGCCAACUUCUUGUUCAUGAGAUUCAGCCGCUGUAAAUGCAAACCUCUAUUUCCCGUCAAGCAUUGUUAACCUCUACGACAAAUUGAAGGUAAGAAGAUGAGCAAAAUAAGUGUAAUGUGCAGGAAAAAAAAAUGAAGUCUAUGGGUACAACAACACUUCAAGAUUUUUCAAGUUCUAGUUCAUUUAAAUAGACAUUCCUUGAACUUCAGCAGCAAAGAAAGUACAUUAUAGCAGCAAAUUUCAAUUCAUUUCAAUCUUUGGAUUUUUUUAAUUUUAAAAAAAUAAAGUCCUUCAAACUAGUGAAAGGCAAAUAAAAGUGUGUUUACAGAAGAAAAAUCAUGGAAUGAAUUAAUGACCAUGCAAGUGAGGAAACACAUAAAUUUUUGAAUAAGAGCAAAACUAACCGUGCAAAUGAACAAAGAAAAUGUAAGUCUCCAAGUGCUACAACAAGCAAAACUACCUAAAAACAAUCUCAAAACAUUCAGACAAGCAUGAACUUAGUUAAUUCAUAUCAUAGUCAUUGUCUCUAUUUAAAAUCUUCCAACUGAAAAAAAUAAAUAAAUAAACAUGUUGGUUUCUAUAACAUAAUUUGCCUCUCUUUACAUGAAACAGAGCAAUAAAUAACACGUAAUAAUUACUAAAUACACAGCCAUUCAAUCUAUAUAAUAUAUAAAUAUAGGAAAAAAAGAAAAAUUCAAAUUACAAUUAAAUAAACAAAAAAUAGAUUUGGAAAAGAAAUCCCACCAAGACUGCACUACUGGUAGAAUUUCUCAACAUCUGCAACAACCCAGAAAAUUAAAAUUAACAAAAAACCCUAAUAAUCAUAAGCUAAAAUAAAACAAACCCGUUAAUUAAUUUGACAAAGAAAAUAAAAUAUUAAGCCAUUACCAAGAGUUAAAGCCUUAAUCAAGGCAACCUGUUUGCCCUUAAAGUCAUUGAAAAUCUCCUUCACAGGUUUACGUAUAAGGUGCGGUAUCCCUUCCAUAGCAAGAAAAUGAACUAAUUUCUCAAUAAUUUUAUUCAAAUUCAAGCAAAUGGGUUUCAAUAUAUUGAACAAAAAAAAGUGAAAUUUGACCAUAAAAAGAAAAAAAAUUGAUGAAAGAAGCCUCAAUUACUGUUUUGAUUCAUUUUUCAAUUUGGGAAAAAAAGGAAAAAGGAAAGAAAAGCCUCACUUAAGGUUUUAGCUUUAUAUUAUCUAUUUGAGUUAAAUGAACAAGUUUGUGAAUGGGCCAAAAAAAAAAAGGGAGAGAUCGAGAAGAGAAAAAGGAAAGAGAAAGAGAAAGAGAAAGAGAAAGGCAAGAGAUAAUUUUGGGUUUGAGUUUGGGUUAGAGAUUUGUGUGUAUAAAAGACAGCGAGAUGGGGACAAUUGCUAAGUUUGGGAUAUGUUUUACUUUCGUUUUACAUGUUUUAAAUUCUUAAUUUAGUACCUGCAGUGUCGAACCACUUGAAUGGAAGUGAUAGCAGCAACAGCGUGGGGGUGGGCACGGCCGUGGGGAUUGGGCGCGGCCGUGGAUGUGGGCGUUUGGGCCUGGUCAUUCUCCAUCUUUCACGAUAGAGAAGAAGUCAAGAAAGACAAGGAAAUUACGUAGCGGUUGCGGCAUGGGCUCUAUUGCACAAUGGAGAAGGGGAAUUAAGGUUUGGUUUUUUUUUAUGUUAAGAUUUUAUAUAACAUUGUAAUUCCAACUCAAUUUUAUGGCGUCCAGCGGUUUGCGAUCUAAAUGUAAAAGUUUUGAGUUUUAGAAGUCCCAGGUUCAAGUUAAAAUCAAAACAAAUUUUAAUGAUUUUUUUAAAAUCUCUGAUACUGAAGUAUCAGUGAUCUCUGAUAUUUAAUUUACUGAUACAUUAAUAUUAAUAAUGUGUGACAUCUAUUUGUUAAAAGCAGAAAAUGAUGCAUAGUUAGGUAAUUACUAACACUUUUUCAAAAGUGUCAGUAAAAGUCAUUUUUGUAGUAGUGUUCAUAGCAUCCUAAUGAAGCUUACCAAGAUUACUCAUAAACCUGCUCACAACACUUACUGCAUAAGUUAUGUCUGCUCUGGUGCAAACCAUUGCAUACAUCAAGCUUCCUACAACCCGUGAGUAUGGUAUUUCAGCCAUCUGUAAUUCCUCAGCAUCUGAUGUUGGAGACAUGUCAUCAGAGAGUUUGAAUUGAGCUCCCAGAGGUGUCAGUACUGGUUUUGAAUCCAUCAUUUGAAAUCUUUCCAGCACCGUGCUGAUAUUUCUUGAUUGGCUUAGAAAUAAGGUACCAGCAGUUCUAUCUCUGACAAUGUCUAUACCAAGAAUCCUCUUGGCAUUGCCAAGAUCUUUCAUUUCAAAUUCCCCCUUCAGUAGAUUCUUAAGCUUUUCAAUAUCCCUAAUAUUUUUACCAGCAAUGGUAUGUCAUCAACAUACAAUAAGAGAUACACAGCUCCACCUGAGUUUAUAAUCUCAUAAUAGGCACAACUAUCAUAUUUGCUCCUUUGAUAGCCAUUGGAGAUCAUAAACUGGUCAAAUCUCCUAUACCAUUGCCUAAGAGACUGUUUCAAACCAUAUAGGGACUUUUUUAGAAGACACACAUAAUCAUUAUAUCCCUUUUUUUAAAACCUUCAGGCUGAGACAUUAGUAUCUUUUCUUCAAGAUUGCUGUGUAGGAAGGCAGUCUUUACAUCCAUUUGUUCAAGCUUUAGAUCAAAUAAAGCCACCAUAGUAAGUAGGAUUCUAAUUGAACUGUGUUUUACAACUGGUGAGAAGAUUUCAUUGAAAUCAAUCCCCUCAUUUUGUGUGAACCCUUUUGCCACUAGUCUUGCCUUAUAUCUUGAGUCUUUAACAUCUGGAAUGCCCUAAUUUUUCUUGAAUAUCCACUUGUAGUUGACAAUUUUCCUAUUCCCUAGAUUUGGAACCAAGGUCCAAGUCUGAUUCCUUACCAGAGAAUCCAUCUCCUCCCUUAUAUCUUUAAUCCAAUUUCUGAUGUUCUUGCUAUUUAUUACUUCUCUAUAGCUGUUAGGCUCCUCAAUUACAACAUCUUCUGGACUCAUCAAGGCAUAUGCAACCAUAUAUACAUAUGCAUAUCUUGCUGGGGGUCUGGUAUGCCUUCUUCCUCUAUCUCUAGCUAACUGAUAUUGUUGUAAAUCAGUUGUUUGUGGUGCUUUACCUUCUGUAACUUCUAUAUCUUGAGACUCAGCUUCAAUAGCUUUUGGUUAUAUUUCAUCUUUAUAGGUAUUAGACAGCUCCACCUCAAUCUUUUUACCUUGAUCAAUUGCCUCAGUGGCUUGUGUCUUAUUUGCACUAAUGUCAGUGGCAGAAGUGACUUGAUCAGGGUUAUUGAUCAUAGCAACUUCAUUAAACUGAACAUCUCUUCUAAUUAGACACUUAUUGGCCUCUCUACACCAGAGCCUGUAGCCUUUGACCCCAUCUGGAUAACCAACAAACACUUCUUUUAUAGCUCUUGCAUCAAGCUUCCCUUGUCUGACAUGGACAUAAGCAGGGCAUCUAAAUACCCUCAGGUGUUCAUAACUUCCAGGUUUUCUAGACCAGAGCUCUUCAGGAGUCUUGAAGCCAAUUACAGCAGAUGGACUUUUGUUUACUAGGUAACUAGCUGUAGAAAUAGUUUUUGCCCAAAAACUCCUAGGAAGCUUAGAGUUUAUCAGCAAACACCUUGUCUUUUCAACAAGUGUUCUAUUUAUCCUCUCAGCUAAACCAUUUUGCUAAGGGGUGAAUCUCACUGUUUUGUGCCUCCUAAUUCCUCAUUUCUGGUAGCAUUGCUCAAACUCUUUAUUACAGAAUUCAAGUCCAUUGUCUGUUCUUAAGCAUUUUACCUUGAAACUAGAUUGAGUCUCCACCAAAGUCUUCCAAAUCUUGAACUUUUCCAAGGCUUAGUCUUUGGUCUUCAGUAUGUAGAUCCAUACUUUCCUGGAAUAGUCAUCUAUAACUAACAUGAAAUAUCUUCCCCCACUCAAGGAUGGCACUUGGGCAAGCCCCCACAAAUCAGCAUGCAUAUAGUCUAAUGGUUGUUCAGAUAUAUGUAUGCCCUUUGCGAAUUUGGACCUGUGUGCUUUGCCAAAGAUGCAGUUUUCACAAAAAUCUAACUCAUAUAUUUUAUCACCACACAACAACCUUUGCUUACUCAGCUCUUGUAUUCCCCUAAUACUCAUAUGGCCUAGUCUAAGAUGCCAUAAAAUGGUUCUAUCGACAUCAGAUAUAACAUGCAUUACAGCUGACACAGGUACUGAUGACCCUUCUAACACAUACAUGCCAUUUUUCUUUACUCAUUUCAUUUUCAUUUCAGUCCCCUUCAUAAUCUUUAAACCACCAUUUUCAGAUUUGAAGCAAUAUCCCAUACUAUCCAGCAUGCCUAAAGAGAUCAAGUUCCUCUUUAGCCUAGGUGCAUGCCUUACAUCACAUAGAUUUUUAACAGUCCCAUCAAACAUCUCUAUUUUGAUAGACCCCAUACCAACAAUCUUACACACAUUGUUGUUACCCAUCAACACUUAUUACCCAUCAACACUCUACCACCAUCCACAAAUUUAUAUGUAUGGAAAAGGCUUUUAUCAAAACACAAAUGAAAUGAACAACCUGAAUCAAGAACCCACUGACCUUUAAUAAAAAUGUGGCCUAAAAUACAAAAGAUGGUGAAAGAGCAUUUUCUACCAGUAGAUUAUCGGCAGUAGCUGUAUAUCAAAUAUCAGAAUUGUAGGCAAGAAAAUUACAGUAUGAAUGAGUAUACUAAAGAAUUUUAUUAUAUGCACAUAAGAAAUAAUAAGAAAGAGCUAGAAUUUCGAACAAUUAUGAAAUAUAUUAACUGAUUCAAAUAACAGAUACAAGAUGAAAUAGUUGAUGCGAUUUGGGACUUGGUUCCGCAGUUGCUAAGGCUAAGAUGUUGGAAAAACAGAAGCAGCAAGCUAUUCCUAGAACUAAGCAGCAACAACUCAUUGGUUUGUAGAAUAGACCAAGAGUAUUAGGGUCGAGAAAAAGUAGAAAACAUGGGCUGGAAGUAGUCAAAUGCAACAAUUGCCAUAGCAACAGCUAAGGCAGCAACCACCUAGACAGCAGUAGCCACAAGAUAGUAGUAACCAACUUGGCAGCAGCAUAAUAACCCAUAAGCAAAGCCUAUUCUGAAUAGGUGUUUGAAAUGUGGGGAGCCAAACCAUCGAUCGAGUGACUAUCUUCCUUAAAAUUUAAAUUUAAUAAAAGCUGAAGCCGGCGAGAUAGAGAUGAAUAAUGUUGAGGAUGGGGAUGAUGAAGAAGCUUUAGAGUUAGAGGUAGAUGAAGGAGAGAUGUUGAAUUACACUAUGUAGAAGAUUUUAUUAGCACCAAGAUUUGAAGAGGAUAAUUAGUGCAACAAGAUUUUUAUAACAGGUGGGACCAUCAAAGAUAAAGUGUGCAACGUGAUAAUUGAUAUCAACAAUAGUGAGCACAUAAUUUUAAAGGCGCUAAUCGAUGUGAUAGGACUUUCAACAGAAAAAUAUCCAGCACCUUACAAAAUAUAGUAGAUAAAGAAAGGGACAAAAAUGUGAAUAAUAGAGGUAUGUUGUGUUCCUUUCUCCAUUAGAAAGAUUUAUAAGAGUGAUGUAGUAUGCGACGUGGUGGAUAUGGAUGCAUGCCAUUUGUAAGCAUUAGUUUGAUUUAAAGUUGAAGUUAUGUAUGGCAAAUAUUAGCACAAACUCUUUCUUUUGAUUUAAAGUUGUAGUUAUUUAGUACCUCUUUAAUGCCAACAUCUCCACCAAAACCAACUCUCACUACUUCUCCACCCAAACUGCAUCCAGUUAUGCUACUAUUUUAUUGACUUAUGUAAAUUUCCAGAAACAAAUUAAUGUAUGUUUAAUUUUCAAUAGAACAUAAUAAUGGGAAUUAGGAAUAGAAACCAUUUUUCUCCACCCAAACUGUAUCCAGUUCAACUGCUAUUAUAUUGACUUAUGUAAAUUUCCACAAGCAAUUUAAUGUAUGCCUAGUUUUCAAUAGAUCUUAAUAUUGGGAAUUGUGGAAAGAAAUCAUUAGUAGAAUAGUAGCCAAUAUAGAAAUUUUGUUGUAUGUUCGACAAACAAAUUAAUGUAUGCUUAACUCCUUAUCCACUGCUUUUUUAUAAAUUAAUUUGUUUGUGCAAAUUUUUAUAAUGGCUACAUUCUACUAAUGCCUUCUCUGGAGUUCUUCUAGCUGGUUUGUGAACUUUACAUACUGGUCAAGUGCUUACUUAUUUAUAUGGCUAAAUUGCUGCAAUUGCUCUUUGCACUUAUAAAGCAUUUUAAGCAAUUCUUUAACAUCUUUCCGCUUGUAUCAAUCAUUCCAACUAGAAAUGGAAUAAAUUAGCAUUAAGAAAAUGACAUUUCACUAUCAAGUCUAUGCAAUGUCACUCUCAUUUUUUUUCAACUGCUUCUUUUUCUUUGUCACUGUGCAGAGUGAUUGAGUUUGACUAAAGUAAGCUAAACCAAAAUUCUCAAAAUUUAGAUUUCUCUAAUGGAAAAAUUAAAUUUCAACACCCAAUUUGCUGUUGAAAUUUCAUCAUAGUGUAUGUUGUUUUGCUACAUGUGACAUUUGCAUACUUAAUUUAAUACUUUAUUUAUGGAUUGUUUAAAUCAUUUCAAUAGCUAGCUAGUUUAUUGUCGUGGACAAGUUUUAUUUCACUGUUAUAAUUAGUCAUGAUGAAGAUAUAGGUUUUCUCUUGCUGUUAAGUGUUAUUUUUUAUUGUAUUUUAACUGCUGUUUUCUUGUUGAUUUUGUAACUUUAAUAGUUGUUCUUAUGGUUGGAAACAAUAUCAAACUCCAAUAUUAAUAAAACUGAACUAAUGAAAUGUGAUGCAUUUGUACAAAAGUUAAUAGUCUAAAUAUGGAUAAAUCUUGGAUGUUGAUGGAUAGAAAGUCUCUAGGAUAUGAGAAUGAGUUUCUUGCAUGCUGACUUAAAGGAGGAAAUAUUCAUGGAGCAACUUGAAGGAUUGAAUGUUAAAGGCAACAAAGAAAGUGUAUGCAAGUUAAAGAAAAGUUUGUAUUGACUGAAAUAGGCACCAAGACUAUAUAACAAAAAGUUUGAUUUUUUUACAGAGAAUCAUGGUUUUAGCAAGAUUAUGUCUGACCAUUGUCUUUUUGUAAAGAAGCUUGGUAAUAAUAAUUUUAUCAUUCUUUUGCUUUAUGUGGAUGAUAUGUUGAUUGUUGACCGAGAUGCUAGUAAGAUUGAUAAUCUAAAGAAAAAGCUUAGCAAGUCAUUUAUAAUAAAAGACCAAUGAUCGAUAAAUACAUUCUUGGCAUGACGAUUUCCUGUGACAAAAAAAUUGACAAGUUAUGGUUAUCUCAAGAAGCAUUUAUUGAAAGUGUUCUUGAAAGAAUUAACAUGAGCAAGCAAAAUAUAUUUGUUCUCCACUUGCGGGCCAUUUUAGGCUUAGUUCCGAGCAUUUUCCUACAAGCUAGAAAGACAAGCAACAGAUGAGAGGACUAUUUUAUGCUUCAACACUUUGCAGACUGAUGUACGCCAUGGCUUGUACCAAAUAUUGCCCAUGCAGUUGGUGUACGUAGUCAAUUUCUUUAUAAUACGGGCAAAGAACACUGAACAAUAGUGAAAUGGAUCCUCAGAAAUCUCAGAGUCACUUCCAAGGCAUGUUUAUAUUUUAAUGGUGACAAAAUGUGUUACAGGUGUACUACAGAUAUGGCAAGAGAUGUUGAUCCUAGAAAAUUCCUAUUACGAUAUUUGCUUACCUUUGCAGGGGAGUAGUCUCAAAGGAUUUCAAACUUCCUGUUGUUUUCUCCACCACAGAAGCAGAGUAUAUUGCAAUCACUAAAAUCGUUUGUGGUGAAGAAUUUCUUACAAGAGCUGGAUGUGAAACAAGAUAGCUAUGUCGUGUACUGUGAUAAUCAAAGUGCUUUCACUUGGCAAUGAAUUUAACAUACCAUUCGAAAUUCAAACAUAUUGAUGUGAGGUAUCAAUGAAUACAAGACGUGCUUGAAAAUAAAUAGUUGCAGCCUGAGGAGAUUCAUGAAGAAAAUGUCAGAUAUAAUGACAAAGUCGUUGCCCAAGGAGAAACUGAAAGAUUGUAAGCAGAGAACGGGCUUGGUAGUGCCCCCUAUAUAAUCUAGUGAGAAGAUUUGUUGAAUCCAUCUCAUUUAGUGGUGCCCUCCACAUAAUCUGAUGGGGAAGAUUUGUUAGGUCCAUUUCAUUUGGGUGGCCCAACUCAAAUUUUCCAUUAGUUUGGAUGUUUAAGAAAUUAAAGGAAAUAUGUUAUGUCUAAUUGAAAAUUGCCAUCAAAUUUGGUUUUGAAAAACACGUGGCUUUAAAAGAAAAAGUAAACAAGUGAAGCAGUAGCCUUAAAAACAUAGAAAAGACGAGAGAGAAAAAGAAGACAGUGGCCGAUUGUUCCAAUUUGGAGGUAAGGGUUUUAAUCUUUGAUUGGAUGAUUGGAAGGCAAACUUAACUCUGUUUUCUCCUAAAUUUGGAAGGUAAGUUUCUGACAUCGCCCUCUAUAUUUUUUACUGGUCUUAAUUUUUAUUUUAUUCUCUUAUUACCUGUUAUCUGGGAUUACUCAUUUGUUAGAGAGAGAAAUAUUAAAUUAUUACUAUAAGCCAAGAAUGUUGAGCUUCUUGAUGUUAUUAACCUCUAAUGUUAUCUAGAGAAGAAUCUGCAUUGUAAUCCCAUUAUUAAUAUUAUUGAAGGUUAUAUUAGACUUUGGUUCCGUGGUUUUUUUAUCGAUUUAGGUUUUCCAUCUAAAAAUUCUGUCUCUUAUGAUUGAUUUCUUGUUUAAGAUUGUAUUGCUUUAUUUUCUGCUUGUUUAUUUAUGGCACACAUUCCGAUUUUAUCACAUAAAGAGGAAAAAAAGUUAGUUUUUGCUUAAUUUGUAGUUCUUGUAUGGGUUCUUUUCCCAAAAAAACAUGGUUCUCCUUUUUCUUUUGCCAGCCACAACCUCAACUUUGAGGUUGCAAAGCUAAAUACUACUUCUUGGACCUCUAAUUUCUUAUCUCAAUUAUAUAAUUAAAUGUGGGUAGAUAUAUCUCCACAAAUUUUUAUUAUAUAGUUCACAUGAUAAGUGUUUUUUCAAAAUAAAUAAAUAGAUAAAUUCAUAUUAAUAAUCUACUUACUUAUUUCGAGGGAUAGCCUUAUAGUUUACUAAUCAUUUUCAUAAUAGAAGUGAUAAAGGUUAUAAAUUUCACUUCUUUGAUGGAAGGAAGUGGAAAGUCUUGUAAGUUAUAAAAUACUAUUAUAAAAAGCUUCUCUAGUCUAUUAUAAAAUGGAUCUCUAACUUAUCCAAAUCUAUACUUCCUAAGAACUUAUUUUCCAUCACAAGAGAAAGGUUAUAAAGUAGAAUAAGGUAGAAGAUACUUUUUUAUAAAAUUUAGUGACUAUAGAGCACGCUUGAAUCUUGAACAACUAUGAUUGGAAGUAAAAUUUUAUCUUAAUUUAACUAUUUUAUAAUUUAUUUUAUAAAUAUGGUAGGAUAAAUAUAUUUCAAAAUAAAAUAAAACUUUUGAAUUGUACUAUAAUAUAACAAAAUUGACGUAGGAUUGUAUCAACAAUACUUUUAUGAUAAAUGUUGACAAGUUCUUUUAUUUUAACGUAUUAAUAUUCAGAAAAAAAUUUAAAAAAAAGAAUCCAAUGGCUUUAUUUUCUUUUUGUUUUAAAUUGUUUUAUGAUCUUUCAUUUAUUUGCUAUUGUAUGUCGAUGACAUGCUAAUAGCAUCCAAGAGUAAAGAUGAAAUGGAGAAGUUGAAGACUCAACUCAAUCAAGAGUUAAGAAGAUUUAGGUGAAGUUAAGAAGAUUCUUGGCAUGGAGAUAUGCAAAGAUAAAGCUCAUGGCAAAGUAAGCUUGUCUUAUAAGCAAUAUUUGAAGAAUGUACUACAGCCGUUUAUCAUGACAAAGCAGGCAAAACCUAUUAGUACCCCAUUGGCUUAUCAUUUCAAGCUUUCUUCACAACUAUCUCCUUCAACAGAUGCGAAACAAGAAUACAUGUUACAAGUUCCGUAUUCAAAUGUAGUGGGUAACUUGAUGUAUGCAAUGGUGUGUACAAGGCCUGACAUUUUACAUACAGUUGGUCUAGUGAGUAGGUAUAUGCAUAAUCCCAGUAACAGACAUUGGUAAGCUAUGAAAUGGAUUCUACGGUACAUUCAAAAGACCAUGGAUGUUGGUUUACUGUUUGCGCGAGAUGAUACACUUGGUCAAGAUCUGAUAAGGUAUGUCGAUUCUUAUUAUGCUGGUGAUUUGGACAAAUGACGAUCAACUACUGGAUAUGCAUUUACUUUUACUAGAGGGCCAAUCAGUUGGAAGUCUACACUACAGUCUACAGUUGUACUGUCGACCAUAGAAGCCGAGUACAUGGCAAUUACAGAGGCUGUUAACAAGGCUAUUUGGUUACAUGGCUUGCUUGAAAACUUGGGAUUGAUACAGGAGCACAUUAAUGUGUAUUGCGACAGUCAAAGUGCUAUUUACUUAACAAAGAACCAAGUUUAUCAUGCAUGUACGAAGCAUAUCGAUGUACGAUUUCACUUUGUGCGGGAAAUUAUUGAUGAGGGGAAAAUUCUUCUUCAAAAAAUUAAGACUGCAAAGAAUUCCAUAGAUAUGUUGCCCAAGGUAGUGAUUGUUGUGCAAAUUUUAAUGUACUCGCAAGCGCACGAAUCUAUUGUAGUGUAGAUCAAUGGUGACGAGUGUCGAUCCCACGAGGAGGUGGAUUUUAAUUAUAUAUAGAAUUAAUUUUGUAAAUGGGUGGUUGGAAUUAUGGUGGAAAUGAUUUGAAAUAUGCUAAAACUUAAUUAAAAUGGCGAGAAUAAAUUCUAAAAUUGGAAUUGCAAUGGCGAGAAUAAAUUGAAGAUAAUUCUAUUGAAAUGACGUACUUGGGUAUUCGGAUCCGUAUCAACAUGCAUCAUGGGCUAAAUAUUCCUUAUUAAUACCAAUUAAAUCAUGAGGGGGGAAUCCACACCUCAUGAACCACGCUCUAAUCAAUAUGGUGCUAAGGGCUUAUCGUGCCAAAUAAUAAUAACCUUAUACUAGAGAGCCGGUGUAACCAAGGCGGUAUCUAGACAAGACUAUUAUUAUUUGUCGACGAGAAGUCAAAACAUCCACAAAAAUUAGAGGGGAAGAGAAAAUAAAUUUACCAAAUAAAGCCCAUGACACAUGUUGAGACCUCACCUUCAACCCAAGCUUGAAAGAAAAUUAGCCACUCAUAAUUGAACUAGAGGCAAAAUGAGAAUUUAUUAAAAUACGAAGAAAAUACAAGAUGGAGAAGGAAUUACAGAAAAUGGAUCCCAAAAAUGGAUUCAGAGAUAUCAAAUUAGGAGGGGGAGGCCCCCUUUUUAUAGAUACAUGGAGUAAAUCAUGGCCAUCGGAUUAAAAACAGUUUAGACGCUCAGGAUUGCGCCACGUCAUCAGUCAACAGUCCACGGUUUGACCACGCGGAUGAACAAUAAUACGGUUUGACCCGGAUGAACAGUAACGCGGUUUGGUUGAAAAAAAUCCUGUGUGAUGCAUGCACCGUUCCUGAGUUCAAAAGUGAUGUCUGUUUUGCCGUCUGAUCUCUCCUUUAUUGUGAAAUGACUAUAAUGCCCCUAAAAUACAUAAAAUACUUAAUUAAAAUAAAACACAUGUAAUUAAAUCACAAGAAGGUUAAAUACAUAAAAGUAAGGGUUGUUAAUAAGACUUGAAAUGUAAAAUGACGAUUUUCUCCUUUAUAAAUAUGUAUUUUCUAACAUUCAACAGUGAUGGCGAUCAAGUUUGAGCAUUGUCUAAACUUGAUCAAUAUCCUACAAAUUUGAAAGCAAUCGGAGAAAGCAGAGACUGGAGGAUGAUUUGUUGAUAAUCGGCUCAGAUUUACUAAAUCUUCGCCGAAGUAGAGAGUUGUUCAAAGUUCAAAUAAUGGCUGGCCAAGUUCAAAAGGCAAAGUUGGUGGGCUUGCCAAUUUCAAAAGGCAAAGUUAGUGGCAUGGUUUUGUUGAAGUUGCAUGGAGAAAAAUGUGAUGGUUUUCUAGAAGCCAAUCGAUUUUUUCAAAAUCGUUGAUUUUGGUUGACAUUUUUAAAGACUUUUGGGAACAAGGAUUAAAUGCAUGCAUGAUCUUUGGCUAUAAAUACCAAGCCAUUUGUUCAUUUUAAUGCAUCCGAAAUUGAGAGAGUUGAGAGCAAUUGCAAGUGAAGCAAUUUGAAAGUAUUGAAAUAGCUUCCAUUUGAGUGUUCUAGUGAGGUUCUAUUUGGGUGUAUUGGGAUUUUGGAUGUUGAGAGUUUUUCCACUUUUGUAAAUUCUCAUUUGUUAGUAAAAAACACCACCCAUGAUGAGAAUUUAAGGGGGAAAGCACACACAUGCACACACAUCAAAAUGAAUUAAGGUAUGGUAUCAUCCAAGCUAAUUAAAAAACAAAUUAAAUUUUGAAAAAGAAAAGUCUAUAAAACUGUUUUGUGCCCCAUAUCGGCAUAUCCUCAAAUUGUGCACAAUAAAAAUUUCUUACUCGGCAACUUAAUCUUAGACUAAUACAAAAGCUAGAACCAAUUGCACUAGCUCACCGUCACCGGAACCCCAGAUGAAUGAGGUGACCAGUGGGGGUUGGCGAAGAUUAGGCAGACGAGCGGCGGUUAUGAGUGAUGGGUGCCAGCGAAGAUGGCCGUGAGAGAGUGAGACCGUGAGUGAUGGGAGUGAGUCCAAGACCGUGACUGUCGGCACCGGGCUGUUGGCAUUGUAAGUAAAAAAUCAAAUUUUCUCAUAAAAACUUUUAGAACCGAUGUCAUACAAUAUAUAAGAAUCUGUAAUCUAAAAAAUCAUACCUUGACAAUUUGAGAAAAUGAACGAUCGCAAGAAAACAAAUCCGCCACCAAAUAAUCUUUCAGGCUAUGACUCAAGUUUGAUCAGCACUAGAUGUGCGGGCGUCUGUUUCACAACUUAAAAAAACAAUCGGCUUCUUUUGCAGCAUUUUUCUCAAAAUGUGUGUUUUGGAAUACCGUCCCUUUUUUUCUUGAGAAAAAUACACUUAUAUAAUAUCUAUUGUAAAACCUUAGAUAUGUAUUAUCCUUAUUAUAAUUGAAAAUAAUAAAUAUUUUGAAUUUAAUAUUAUCUCUCUACUUACGUGAAAGUGGAGAUCAUGUGUAACCACUUUGGGGCCCACCUUGUAAAAUAACACAAGGCCCUAUUUGCACAUGAAUAUAACACAUAAGAUCUUAACAAAUAUUAUAAUUAGGUUUAUCACCUAAUAUGCCAGUUUUCUUGUUUUUAAGUCCAGUAGUGGUGCAGUCAAUUAAAUGAGCUAACCCGAGGAUCAUUUAGGAACAUACAAUAGUGGCUACAACAAAUAAACCUGUAAUUGAACAAGCCUAAUCAUUUAAUUCCAAUUCUACUCCACUGUAAGAUUGGAACUGACCUUCAUAAUUAUAUGCUCGAAUAAUAAUUCGUCUCAGGCCACAUUGUUCUCUUUACUACAUAAUCUUUUGUACCACAUCGUUAAUUAAAUCGAUAUUUCAAUCCUCCAAUCAAUUGAAUUACAUCUUGUUCCUUGAUACUUACUGAUUUUCUGUAAUGAUCAUUUUCAACAUACUAAAUAUGUUGACACUCUUUGGCCAGAGAAUUCUAUGGUCAAGUGCCGAAAACCCAUCAAGAGAUGUGUUGUACAAAUUCUAUUGCUAAAAAAUCUGCUGUACGGCCAAGGCGGAUGUACGGUACAGCAGUAACUCAAGAUUAAAAUUACACUAAAAUCAAUGCCUAUGAGAUUUAAUAAGUCUGACAGUUAUUACAAAGUUAAUUAAAUCUCAUAUGUGAUCUUGUUCAAUGUAGUUGUACUACAUCAAUAAAUUCAUACAUGAUUAAGAUAAAUCAUUCAAUGAAUUUACUACAGUCUAUACUUAAAUAAAGUGCCCAACUUUAUUUAUCAAUUGCGAACUUAAUUUAUUUAAUCAGAAGAUAGCUUAUAUUUAUGUCUUCUGUGAAUCCACAUGGUGAUCACAUAAAUACAGAUAAUGUGAUUAAAUGAAAUUUAAAAAUAUUAAUGCAACUAAGAUACUUGAAUAAAAUACCCCAUUUAUUUUAUUAAUCAGGAAAAUUGUUUAUUACAAUUAAAUAAAUACAUAUGCUUUUAAAAAGCAUAUUUUCCCAAUAGGCGUCACCUGAGAGGCUGCGAGAGAGAGAGAGAUUGUUGUUUGUUGACUGGCUGUGCGCCGUUGUGGCUUGAGAUUGUCUGCCGUCUGCAUGAGACUUGAGAGAGAGAUUUUGCCAAUUGUUAGAUUCAUUUAAGAAUCGGUUAAAUUGAUUUUUCUUUUUUCUUUUAUAUUAAUUUUUUUAAGUUAAAUUGAAGUGAACCAAUCGAUUUGUCAAAACCGAACCGCACACAAAUCAAUCGGUUUGCUAGUUUUCGAACUAUUUGGAUUGUGCCCCUUUGAACCAAACUGAACCAAACUCAAAUUUUUUGGUUUGGUUUGGCUCAAUUCGGUAAAAAUUGAACCAUUUACCCACCCUUAACUAUAAAGAGGUUAUAACUUAAUAUUAGUGUGAUUACAAAUUAUUAAUUUGACUUAAUUAUCCUUAAUUUAUCCUUAGUGCAAGUGAUAUAAAGAUUAGAGGCAAAGUAUGCACUAUAUUAAUCUUAUACAAUUCAGAAUAUACUAAGUUAUCUUAAAAGUCCAAAUGUUUGUAUUUUCUUUAAUGUUUUUCUCUCAAUGUAAAUUCUAUAGAUAUUAUUCAAUGAUUUAGUAACAACUCUAAAGAAUAAAUCAUUGUCCCAAGUAACAUUAAAAAAAAAUUUAUUCCUUCUUUAACCUUUAAUAUAACAUAGCUUAUAUUUUUUUACAAUAUGCACAUCAUUAUUAGUAUGUAGAGCUAAUUUCUUAAAAUAGGAUUUAGAAAAAUUACAACUUAUUAUGAUGUGAAAUUUAUCAUAAUUUAUAAUAGACCCAAAUUAGGAUUCUAGUUUUUUAUGACUGUAUAAAGAUUAUUUCUACCUAGAAUAUCACUAUAGUGAGAUUUUAUUAUACUAAUAUAUCUCUUAGAUCUAAAAGCCCACCCAAUACUUAUCAAUAAUUGCCUUUAUGUAAUAAAAUUAAAAUUUAGUCUUGAAAUAUGAAACUAAAGAAAAGAAUAAAAAAUAUACUCUCACACAAGAAGAGAGUCAAACCCUCAAUAACAACAAUGAGCAUGGAGCUGCCGACCAACUUAACAAUCGGUUGAUUUUUUUUCCUAUUUUAAAAACUAUUCUGGUUGUUCAAGUAAUCAUUUCAAUAAUUUGGUCUAAUAGACCCACAAACAAAACAUGGUUUAUAUAACUUCUGCUUUAUAUAAUUUCAAUAGUGAAAUUAUUGAUGCAAUCGUGUUUAAAAAAUUGUAGUUGGAAUCCGUCAUAUUCAAACUAAUAAUUCUCGGAAGUCGCUCUCCAAAUCAAUAUUCUUAUACCAUAUAAUGCAAACAAUUUCUUGUUAUUUAUUAGUUCCAUAUCCCCAGUCAAUUUUUUUUUUUAGGUUUCUAAUCCAGUUAGAUUUUAAUUUUUUUAAGGCUAAUUAUUCACCGACCAUCUAUUUUUCCUAACUUUUUCAAAAAUACACAAUUUUUUUUUUUGACAGCGCUCCAUCAGAAGUUAAUAUUUUUUCAUUAGUCCACUCUCGUUAUAACACUGUUAGAACUUUGCUGACAUCAUAAGGGUAAAAUUAUCAUUUUACAACGACAUUGUUUGAAGACCGAAGUGGACAGGUGCAAAAAAAUAUAAUUUUAAGUGGAGUUUAUUAAAAAAAGAAAAAUUAAAAUUGUGUAUUUUUCAAAAAAUGCGAAAAAAGGUGAUUGGUGGAUAAUUGCCCUUUUAUAUUUCGGGGUAAAAAAGUCAAUUGCACAAUAUUCUGUUAGUUCCCUUAACAGUUUGAAGACGGAAGUGGAUAAGUGUAAAAUAAUAUAACUUCAAGUGGAGUUCAGCAAAACAAUUAACAAUUGUGUUUUUUUAAAAAAGUGCUAAAAAAUAGGUGGUCGGUGGAUAAUUUUCCUUUUUCUAAUUACUCAUUGACAUCUCCGACACAAAAGCUAUAACAUAAAAUCACAACUUUUGGGUUAUUUUACUUAGAUUAUUAAAGCUAGAAAAUUUUCGUACAUAUGUACUUCAUAUUUUUAAUUAUCCUGAGGCUAUUGAAAAUUUAGUAUCGAUUGACAUAUAAAUAUAUUAAAAAUUAAUUUGAAAAGAGAUAAAAAGGUUAAUAUUUAAAUGUUAAAAUUUUCAAAGAGUAAUUAAUAAAAAAAUAGUUGGUGAAAAUUGGAUUUUGUCAUUAUUCAGUGGAAUAUAGAAGCAUUACAACAUAGAUCCUAUUCUUAUGCUUAUAAAUUAGCUAUGACUUUUAUAGAAAUAGUAAUUAAAUUGCUAUACAAUAUUGACUUUCCUAUCUUACAUGAUUGUCUUUAACACUCCCCCAGUCCCCCUUAAGAGCCAACUUGUCGAGUAGUACAUCAAAUUGAGAUGAACUCAAUGCUUUCGUGAAUAAGUCUGUAAUUUGGUUAUUGGUUCAUAUGUGUGUUGUCUUGAUCAAACCCUCUUGAAUCUUUUUGCGAACCAAGUGACAGUCAAUUUCAAUAUGCUUUGUUCGUUCAUGAAAGACCGGGUUCAAGGCAGUAUGUAGAGCAGCUUGGUUGUCCCAAAACAACACGACUGGUCAAGUGUGUUUGAUUUCCAAGUCUAUCAAGAUAUUCUUCAACCAAGAAACUUCGCAACAUGUAACAACCAUAAAGCGAUACUCUGCCACAGCAGUUGAUUGAGCCACUGUUGUUUGCUUAUUUGUUUUCUAAGAAAUCGGUGAUUGUCCAAGAAAUAUACAAUGACCUAUUAUUGACUUUCUUGUGUCUUUACACCAAGCCCAAUUAACAACACAUAAUGCCUUCAAUUGGAGUGUGGUUGUGGAGGAUAGGAGGAUACAAUGUCUUGGCGUAAGCUUUAAAUUUUUUAGAACUCUAUGUACUACCUCAAGGUGGGUAUACGAGAUUUGUCCAUAAGUUGACUUAAAAAAUGGACGGCAUGCACCAAAUCUGGUCUAGUAAUGGUUAGGAACAUCAAUCUUCAUUCAAAAGGUCUCUAUCAUAUUAUACGGGAAGCAAGUUUUGUUCCAUUGGGAACUUGGCUGGUUUAGCUCCUAAAAAUCCAGCAUCUUCUAGUAUCUCCAAUGCAUAUUUUCUUUGAGAAAGGCAAAUCAUUUUCGAAGACCUUGCCACUUCUAUGCCUAAGAAGUAUUUGAGUUGACCAAGAUUUUUAAGCUUGAAUUGCUUGGACAAAAAUUGUUUUACAUAUUCAAUAUGUUGUAGAUUGUUGCCUGCCAAUAUCACAUCGACAUAUAGGGGGUCUUGUUGGAGGCCUUCCUUAGUGCGUGAGAUAAGGUCAAACUUCGGUUGGCUCAUGUUAAGUGUUGCCAAUUUGGCCUUAUGGCUUAGAGCGUCCGCAACAACAUUGGCUUUACCCGGUUUGUACUCGAGCUGAUAAUCGAAUUCCGUAAGAAAAUCUUGCCACCGAGCUUGUUUGGUCCUCAACUUCUUUUGUGUUUGAAAGUAGUUCGUCACUACGUUGUCUGUCAUGAUCGUGAAGUGUGAGCCGAACAAGUAAUGUCGCCACACUCUCAAACAAUGGAUGAUGGUUGUCAUCUCAUUUUCUUGCACUGUAUAGCGGCAUUUCGUAUCAUUUAGCUUUCGACUCUCGAAUGCUAUGGGGUGGCGUUCUUGCAUGAGGACUCCACCAAUGGUGAAGUCGGAGGCAUCCGUUUGGACUUCGAAGGGCUUAGUGUGGUCCGGAAGUGCGAGGACGGGUUCCUUCGAAAUUACCUUCUUCAAUUCCUCGAUUGCGCUUUGGCACUCUUCGGACCAAUGCCACGUUCGAUUUUUCUUGAGCAAGUCUGUCAAAGGUGCCACCUUGGCUAAGUAACCCUUGAUGAAACGUCAGUAGUAGUUCACCAACCCAAGGAAUAACCAAAGCUCGGGCACUUUCAAGGGAGGUUCCCACUUGAAGAUGGCAUUCACUUCGUCAUUCUACAUCAUGAUUUUUUUGCCCUCAAUCUUGUGGCCAAAGAACUCCACCUCUUGUUGAUCAAAUGAGCAUUCUCCAUCUUGAGGAAGAGCACGUUGUCUCAAAGUACUUGGAGAACUUGUCGUAAAUGUUGGGCAUAGUCCUUAAGUGUGGUGCUAUACACCACGAUGUCGUCCAAGUACACAACCACAAAGUAGUCGAGGAACAGUUGGAGCACCUUGUCCAUGAGUGUGCAGAAAGUAGCGGGUGCAUUAGUGAGGCCAAAUGGCAUAACAAGGAAUUCAAAAGAUCCAUACCUUGUUGUGCAUGCUAUCUUGGGUUCAUCUCCCUUGGCAAUGCAUACUUGGUAGUACCCAUAGCGUAAGUCGAGUUUGGUGAAGUAUCGCGCUUUGCCAAGUUGGUCGAAGAGAUCUGAUAUCAAGGGAAUUUGAUACUUGUUCUUGAUAGUAAUUUUGUUGAGCGCUCUAUAAUCGAUGCACAUCCACAGUGAUCCAUCAUUUUUCUUUUGGAAGAGGACCGGUACAUCAAAUAAGGCCUUUGAGUGGUGAACAUAAUCUGCUUUCAACAAGUCUUUGAGUUGUCUCUGCAACUCUUUAAGUUCAGGUGGCACCAUGCCGUUCCAACUCUUCAAGUUCGGGUACCUCUCGUCAAAGUGGGAGCUUCUUCGGAAGUUUGGGAGGCAUCACUUCCUUGAACUCAUCAAGGAUCAUUUGUAUUUACGGAGGACUUUGUUUAGCUUAUUUCCACAAUCUUCCCCCUUGUUUAGAUCCCGGAUGGAGACCAAGAAGCUUGGGUCCUUCUUGAAAGUCCUUUUGAAUUGCAUGGUCGAAAGUGUCUUCUCCUCAGACUUUCCACAGUCCGUGGGAUCCAUGCAUGCUCUAUUCCUAUCGAGGAUGCUUAGGGAGUUUGUAGCGAGCAGUGGAAAGGCAUGGACUUGAUCGAAGAAUUCCAUGCCAAGGACCAUCUUGACGUCAUCCAUGGGCACGAUGGAGAAGUCAAACUUUCCACUCCACGUACCGAGGGUAGUGUUCAAGCCUUGUGCAAUACCCACAAUGGGCUUGGCAGGUGAGUUCACCGCUUUCACCGUGCCUCCUUCUUUGGUGGUCUUGAGGCCUGGGCACUUGGCCUCAUCUACGGACACAAAGUUGUGCGUCGCUCCCGUGUCUAACAGCGCGCGAAUAGACUGGCCACUUAUUUUCGCGCUCACGUAUAUGAGCCAUUUCUUGGUGAGUGUGGGCUGUUGGUGAUUAACUGAGCCAAGGCGUUGGAGAGAACCCAUGCUGAGUUGGGGUUAUUCCGUGAACAUUGUGGGGUUGCUCUUGAGUUGAGCUGUGAGAGCGUUGAGUGACUUCUUUUCCAAACAAUCGCGUACUCAAUGAGGGCCGUUGCAUAUGAAGCAUGGGCUUCGUGGCUUCGGUGGCUCUUUCUUGUUCUCCGACUUGCUUUGCCCGCUCUUGUUGCCAGAAGGUUUUUUCUGCUUCCAAUAUUUACGGUUGCUGCCCUUGUUCUUGCGACGCUCUCCCCCACCUUUGCCUUGGUUGGCCCUUUUGUCUUUGGAUUGGGUGGAUUAUUCAGUAAGUGACUCUGCAAUGGCAAUGGAAUCGUCAAGCAUUUCAGCACCACGCCUAUCAAGUUCGAUCUUGGCCCAAUUCUUUAGGCCAUCUUGGAAGUAAAAGAGGGAAUCUUUGUCGGACAUGUUGCUUAUCUCGAGUAUGAGGGUAGUGAACUCGUUGAUGUAGUCAUUGAUACUACCCGUUUAUUUAAGGUGACGUAGGUGCGCUCGCACUUCUUUUUCCGCAUUACUUGGGGCGAAUUACUUUCGGGGUUCUUGCUUGAAGUCGACACAAGUGUCGAUUGUGCAAAUGCCUUUGCCCAUCUCCCCAUGCUUCUGACACCACCAUAGUUGUGCAGCGCCUCGAAGAUAAGUGGGUGUUGUGACCACUUUCGAUGCCUCGUCGCGCACACCCAUGGCAUCAAAGUAUUGAUCCAGCCCGAAGAGGAAGUUGUCGACGAUAGUGGCAUUGCGUAUGCCAUCAUAAGUGUCGGGCCUUGGCACGUCAAUGCGUCGUGCAUCACUCGUACUUGCGGAAGCGGGCUAGCGGAGAGUGUGUGCUUGUGUCAUGUCCAGUCCGAGCGGACUUCCUCCACUUCCUUAUGGAUAGCUCGCAGCUCCUCUUGGACGAAACUGUAAAGUUUUAGCAACUCUUCGUGGAAGGCUCAAAACUCCCCUUGGAGGGUGUUCGCUUGGUCUUGAAUGAGGACCUUUGUUGCCACUGUGAAUUCAGCGUAUUCUCCUUCAAGACCGUCCACCCUUUCCUCCAUUCCAUCAAGGGUGUCUUGAGCAGCGGACAUAACCGUUUCGAGCGUAGCCAUGCGAGGCUCCAAGGCAUCAAUGGAUGAGGCCUUGGACAUGCAACGCGUCUUACCUUGGGCGCGUGCAUCCUCACGACCAUGGCUUGGUUCCGAUGGGACAUCCACACUAACAACGCUCUCUUGUGUUGGGUUUGGAGGGUUGGCCAUUGCUUGUGAGCUAAUUUGCGUGGGUGCAAACCUUAGCUCUGAUACCACUUGUCACGGGAUGAAUGUCUUGCGCAAUGAACCCCUGUGGCACUUAGACAACCCUUGCCGAAAGUUGCUAAGUAAGCCUUUGAGCUUCUCGACUAGCUAAGCCUGGAGGUUUUCGAAAGAGGUAGAGAGAAGAGAGCAAUGGAGCCGAAUAAGGAAAGUUGUAUUACUCACAAGAGAGAUUACAAGAGUGCUUGAGUUACUUGCUCUAAGCUUGUUGCUGAAAUGCCAAAUGUCAUGCCCUAUUUAUAGGGAGGCUUGCCAAGCUCUAGAGAGUCCUAGAGAAUUCUACAAAGUUGCCUAAAUAUCUAGAUAUUUACAUGUGCUAGAAAUGUGUAGAGAAUUCUAGACAUGUACAAGCUUGAGUGUGCUAGAGUUGGCUAGAAAUUUUCGGAAUCGGGCCAGUUGUGGGCAAUUGGGCUAGCAACUUGGGUGGUCUGACACAUUAUGCAAUCUUUCAUAAAAUUUGACAUAAUAACAAACUUCAUAAAUUCUAAAGUUUAAAUACAAUUUGAAAUUCUAACUAAGCAACCCAAGAGAGAGGGUGAAUUGGGUAUUUUAAAAAAUAGACAAAUAAAAUCACAAAAUAAUUUAAAUGAAUGCUUCAAGAAAUUCAAUGACAAUAAAUUUAAAAAAGCAUGAAGUUAAAGAGAUAAGGAAGAAGAAAGCAACACAUGAAUUUUUAUGUGGUUUGGCAAAACCAGCUUACGUCCAUGCCUCGAAGCAAACUAAACUUGAGGAUUCCACUAUCCAACCCUUCCAAGUCUUCAAAAUUUUUACAAUUGACUGCCAAGAUGUUAACAAACCUUUAUAAGUAGAGAUGAACACACAUCCCUCUUUUCCCAAGUGUUUCUCACACUUACACUCGCCCAAUUUUGAUAUUAAUAUAAAGUUUACAAGAAUUACUCCCUACAAGAGUGUGUACACUAAUGAAAGCUCAAUAAUGAAUUAAUGUAUGUAGAUAAGCAAAAUGAAAGCUCAAGACCAAUGGUAUGACAAGUUUAAGCUCUUUUGAGAUUGAAAAAGUUGUUAAAUUCGAUUAUAGUUUAAACAAGCAAACUAGCCGUUAUUUACUUUCUGGAGAAUUGCCAUAUCGUCGCUAAAAUGAGACGAUUAGCCACUAUGCUAAUGUGGCACGUUACCGUUACAAAUUCAAAUUUAAAAAUUUUGCCCAAGCAUAUCACCACUUAAAUUUGCUGGGUAGGUGCUAAGUUUUUAGACUUAAGGUGGUUAGCCGCUACUGUUUUAGAAUUUAUAGUUUUGCCUAAAACUUUAUAAAAAUAUACUAUAAUCCAAAACUUUUUGAACUUUUACAAAUAGGUCCUUAUCUAGAAAUUAAAAAAUACUUGUUGAUUUUAAAGUUUUCAAAACUUUUCUACUUAGUCCAUAAAUUUGAGAAGCAAUUAUUCUCAUUAAAUCAAUUUUCUAGAUAUUACAUGAAAAAUGAUGGUUUAUUUAAAAUGUCAUGAAAAAUAACUUGAGCUUUUAAGUGUUAAAUUAUGCAAACGUUAAGUCACAAUAGCUUUACAAGAAAUAUAACAAUAGAGAUCAUUUCAGCUAGUGCCCAUAGUGUUUGCUGUUGAUCAUGCCAUUGUCCAUUAAAUGUCUUGAGCUUGAUCUCACUUAAAUGAUUUUUGCCUUUCAAGAACUACUAAUAUUAUGAAAUAUAAAUUUACCAUUUUACCUUUUACACAUGGUAUGUUAUCAUCAAAAUUAAGGUUUGUACAGCUGUUUAGCCCAACACAAUUAAUACAGAAAAUUCAUUUCAUAUAUUGACUUAUAUGAAAUAUUUACAAGUUCAUGCACAAUGCCAAUGCCAAUGCUCAUGUCAACAUACAAUCACACAGACGCAAACAUAUAUAUAAAGUUCAAAAUUAAUCAUUUGAAAAUACACAUAACCCUUUCUUCAAUUGCAAAAAGGAUAAAUAGAACAAUUAAACAAAAACUCAGGUGUAUGUUUUUUGAUGCUAAGCUUCUUAAAUCCUUUUAGGCAGGGGAUAUGCGUAUUGUGGGCGAUUUGAUUAAUCUUUCUCCAUCAGCUCUUUUAGAUGGGAACGUACUUAAGAGAGUUUGGAUCGAGAAAAUUCUCAUAAGCACUUGAGAUUGUUUGGUUACAGAACAUAUGUGCAUAUUCCUAAGGAUGGAAGAUUGAAGGUUGGUGAUAAUUCCAAGGAAUACAUUUUCUUAAGCUAUAGACAUGAAGAAUUUCGGUACAAAUUAUGGGAUCCAGUAGCAAAGAAAUUGAUCAAAAGUACAGAUGCUGUUUUUCUUGAAGAUUAUAUAGUUUAUGAUUAAGAGAAGGGUGAUAAAACUUAGUCAUCUCCAGAAAUUCCUAUUAUUCCAACUUCAAUUUCUCUACCAGUAUUUAAUGAUGAUCAUAGGGGGGCUAGAGAGGAUAACAAUAAUAGUCCAACGGAACUAGUUGAGCAAGCAUCUCAAUAACCGCUUGCACUAGUAGUUAAACCAAAAUUGAAGAGAUCCACUAGAGAAUAACAACCUUCCAAUAGAUUUCCUUCAUUAAGUAUGUGAUACUUACAUAUGAAGAGGAGAAAGAAUGUUUUGAAGAUGUUAUGUCCCAUCAACAUAAAGUGAGUAGGUUAAAACCAUAUAAGAGGAGAUGAAAUCCUUGAAUGAGAACUACACUUAUGACUUAAUAAAGGCUCCUAAGGAAAAAAUGGCACUGAUGAACAAAUUAGGUUUACAGGUUGAAGACUAGAAAUAACUCAGAAUAACAGUACAAGCGUGGAUUGGUUGUGAAGGGUUUUAGGAUGAAGAAAGGUAUUGAUUUUGAAGAAAUAUUUUCUCUUAUGGUGAAGAUGUCUUCUAUCCGAGUUGUUCUAGAUUAGCAGCUAGCUUGAAUUUGGAGAUUGAAUAGCGUGAUGUAAACAACCUUCUUGUACAAUGACUUAGUGGAGAAAAUAUACAUAGAGCAGCUUAAAGGAUUCAAUGUCAAAGGCAAAGAAGAACUUGUAUGUAAGUUGAAGAGGAGUUUGUACAUGCUGAAACAUGCAUCAAGAUAGUGGUAUAAGAAGUUUAAUUAUUUUUUUUUAUGGCGAAACAUCGUUUAACUAAGAUUAUCUCUAACCAUUUUAUUUUUAUGAAGAAAUUUGAUGGCAAUGAUUUCAUUAUUCUUUUGCUUUAUAUGAAUGACAGCUUGAUUGUUGGCUAAGAUGCUAGUAAAGUUGAUAAUCUGAAGAAAGAACUUAGUAAGUCUUUUAUAAUAAAGGACUUGGGACUGAUAAAACAGAUUCUUGGCAUGAAAAUUUCCAAUGAUAGAAAGACUGUGAGUUAUGCUUAUUUUAAGAAGCAUACGUUGACAAGGUUCUUGAAAGAUUUAAUAAAGGCAAGGCAAAGAUUUAAUAAAGGCAAGAUUUAAUAAGAAGCAUACGUUGUAUGUUCUCCACAUACAAGCUAUUUCAAGCUUAGUUUCAAGCAUUGUCUUAUAAGUGAAAAAGAGAUACAAGAUAUGUAAGGAUUUCCUUAUGCUUCAAUCGUUAGUAGUUUAAUGUACAUCAUAGUUUGUACAAGGCCACUAGAUAUUACUCAUGCAAUUAGUGUAAUCAGUCAAUUUCUCUCUAAUAUAAGCAAAGAAUAUUGGACAACAAUGAAAUAGAUUCUCAGAUAUCUUUGAGGCACUUCUAGGGUAUGUUUAUUUUUCAGUAGUGAUAAACAUGUAUUACAAGUGUACUACAAAAGCAUAUAUGGUAGGAGAUGUUGAUUCCAGAAAAUUUCUAAAAGGAUAUUUACUCAGCUUUAUAUCAGGAGCAGUUUCAUGGCAGUUCAUACUUCAACAAUGUGUUGCUUUAUCUACCACAAAAACAGAGUAUAUUACAAUCACUGAAGGUUGUAAAGAAACCUUGUGGAUGAAGAACUUUCUACAAGAGUUAAACAUGAAACAAGAUAGCUAUUUUGUGUUCUAUAACAGUUAGAGUGCCAUCCACUUGGCAAAGGAUUCAACAUACUAGUUGAAAUCCAAGCACAUUGAUGCAAGGUAUUACUAUAUAUGAGAUGCGCUUGAGAAGAAACAAUUUUAGCUUGAGAAUAUUUAUACAAUAGAGAAUGAGUAAGAUAUAAUGUCAAAGGCAUUGCCCAAGGAGAAGCUAAAAAGUUGUAAGUAGAAAGAUGACCUGGUGUUGUUCCUCACGUGAUAUGGAGUUGAAGAUUUUUUUGGUCCAUCUCAUUAGGGUGGCUCAAAAUCCCGAAGUCCAAAAGCUUUACUUGGUACUCAAUUAUCACUAUGCUUCGGACUUAAAUGAAAUUAGCCAAUGAUACACACACCAAACACACACACACACAUACAUAUAAAUAAUAAAAGUAGGCGGCAGUAGUUAUUUUGCAAAAGGCAAAAAAAGAAUGAGAGAGAAAAAGAGAUAGCAGCAUGAUAUUAAAUUUGGGGACAAUAGUUUCAAUCUUCGAUUGGACGAUUGAAAGACCAAUUUGACUCUGUUUUCUCCGGAAUUUGGAGAAUAAGUUCCCAACAUCACCUCUACAUGCUUACUGAUCUUGAUUUUUAUUUUAUCCUCUCAUUUGUUGUUAUUUGAGAUACUCAUUUGUUAGAGAAACAAAAAUUAGGCCGUUACUGUAAACCAAGAUUGUUAACUUUCUUAAUGUUGUUAACCUCUAGUGCUAUCUAGAGAAAACUUUGUGCUACAAUCCUAUUGUUGAUAUAGUGAAAGUUUAUAUUGGACGGUCUCAUGAUUUUUCCCAAUUUGGGUUUUCCACGUAAAAUUUUAUGUCUUUUGUGGUUGAUUUAUUACUUUAGAUUGUUUUAGUCUAAUUUUUGCUCGUUUAUUUAUGCUACACAACCUGUUUUAGUAAUAUAAAGAGGUAAAGAGUUAGUUUUUGCUUAAUUUGCAGUUGCUUGUGUGGGUUCCUUUUCCAACAAUUGUUAAGAGUGAAGAAAGCGCCUUAAAUCAUUAAAUCAUUAAAUAUUAAUAUUUUUUAAGGUAGUGUCAGGAGGUUAAUAUUAGUAAAGACUAUUUUUCUAACAACGGUUUCUACAGUAUGGAGGUACUAUAAUGGAUUUCAUUCCAGAAGAAGAAGAAGAAGGAGAAGUCUCCCAACCACACUAUAAGUCAUUUGAUCACACUGCCAACCCCCCCUUCUGAGAAUGCAAAGGAAAUGGUGAAAGCGAAAAUUGGAAUGGAAUUAAAAUCCUCAAAAUCAAAGAUUUGCAUGACAAGAUGAAAGGAAUGUCUUUCUCAAUAAAAGAAUUUAUUAGCACACAAUCAUAAAGAUUACGGAAUCCUUGAAAAUCAAGAUUUCAUGACAAGAUAAAAAAAGGAAUGGCUUUUUAAAUGAAUGAAUUCCUCACAAAGAUCAAAUUAAUUAAUGAAUUUAAAUUUUAUGGCAAAAGAUGUGCACGUAGAAAUAAUUGGAAUAUUUCCUAGACAAGCUUCCAAGGAGCGCUUCCUAGUACAUAAGGAUUUCGAUCCUCUCCUAAGAUUUGUAGGAGAUGUUGACACAUGUCAUUUUAAUAGUUCUAUGGACAAGAUUUAAUCUUUCAUUAUUAAGUAUAAAAACUCAUAUUUUAGUGGCUAACUGAAAUUCUAAAGCUAACAUAUAGCAAACACAUAUUAAUUCCAAAACAUCUUCUCCUCUUUCUUCUAUGUUUUUUUUUUCCUCAGACUUUCUUUAUUGCAAUCCUUAACAUUGGUAUCAAGCUUAAGUAAAGAAAAAAUAUUGGCAGAAAAAGAUAUCUAUAAUUUUUUAUUAAAGAGGCAAUUAUUUAAAGAAAGAAAUUCUCCUAAAAUAUUAAUGUAUGUUGUGUUAGAAACAUUUGCAAUUUUAUAAGUACAAUAAAAUUGUAAAUAGCAACCAGUACAACUGGACAAUAAAGAUAAAUUGUAGCAAAUAUAGUAACUAAACAGAAAUUGUAAACAUUAAAAAAUUAUAAAAAUAACCCGAAGCUUGUGCUAAAAAAUUUCCUUAAAAUAAAACUCAAGGUUCUUUUCAGCCUCCAAUGUUUGUGCGAGACAACGACAAGUGUAUUGAGCUUAGUCAAAUAGAAGUCGGCCUACCAUUCUAUUCGAAGGCCAAGUACAAUGAGGAAGAUCAGAUUUGGGGUAUUGCACGGAUUUAAAAGGGUCCUCAAACCGUUUGUAUAUUCCUGUGGCUAGCAUUGCAUUAUAGAUUAAAGGCGAAAGCUGAAAUAACGAGGAGGUAUAUCUAGAUUGGGUGCGGCUGUAAUCGUUAUGGCUAUCCUUUGGUGGAUACAUUAUAUGUCCUUUGCGACUGCGUUGUGGCUAAAACGGUUUGGAACCAUAUCAUCCCUGUGAAUUCCCACCAUCAAUUUUAUUCCCUAAAUCUAAGGGAUUGGCUGUGUCAAAAUUUGAAGAGCAAACAAUUGUUUGUUUCAGAGUUUAAUUGGAGUACUCUCUUUUGGGUUGCUAUUUGGUGGCUUUGGUUCUGGCGCAAUCAAUUCUAAUUCAACCAUGUGCCUUUAGACAGUGCAAAUAUGAUCAUUGACAUUAAAACCAUGGUAGAGGAGAUCCAUCACCUAAACAACUCAUCUUUGAUAACAGUAAGGAGGAAAGUAAAGUGGUGGAUUGGCUGGAGUCCACCAACUUGGUCUUCGUGCAAGUUGAAUACUGAUAGUGAUUGGCUAGAGUCCACCAACUUGGCCUUGGUGCAAGUUGAAUACUGAUAGUGGUUUUGGCAAUCAUAAUGGGACAUGGCUUAUUGGUUUUGGCACGAAUACAGGGUCCCAUUGAGUCACGGUUGCAGCGCUUUGGGGACUCUAUCAUGGCUUAAGUAUAGCUUGGCAACAUGGGAUUCGUUGGUUGUUUGUGGAAGUAAAUAGCCUUAGUGUAGCUCAACUUGCUGAUAAGCCCCUAGAUUCUGCUGCUGCUGGAGUAUGCUCAUGAGUAUUCACUAGUUAUUUGAUCUAUAAACGAACUCAUCAUGAACGAUUGGAACAUCACCAUUAAGCAUGUUUAUCAAGAGGCAAAUUUUGUUGCUGAUUUUCUUGCACAUUACGCCUUAUGAAUUCUUUUAGGCUUUCAUCAUUUUUCUUCUUUCCUCCUGCUGUGGCUCCUUUUGUUACUCAUGACAUAUAUAGGAUUGUUUCUCUCCGUUUACUUUUGCCCUAACUUAAAAGAUUAUCUAGGAGAACGUGUUGAUCUAGAAGGACAACCACAAGACUCUAGAGGGAAAUUAAGCACUAUAGAUUCAGGUAUGCUUCCGCAUAUUUUAUUAUUGAUUCUUAGUAAUUGAUAACUCUAUGAAAUGAGAGUUAUCGUGACACUUUUAGACUUAAAUCAAUAAUACCUAAAGAGUAAAUGACAUGUUUUCAUUGCAUUUUUAUUAUAUUUUGCAUAAACAUUCAUCUUGGUUUAUUCUUAAUAAAUUUUGUUUAAUUUAGAAUAAUUUAUGUGCUUAAAUCAUAUGCAUAAUUGUAGGUGACCGGAAGCUCAAAUUUAAAGGAAGGAAUGCUGCUGCAAUAGGCUUGCAAAAGAUGGAAAUGAAUUUUCGCUACAGAAGAAUUGAAACAAAUUUGGAACUAUGCAGUUGCUGUAGCAAUCGUUGCUGUAGCAACCAUUGCCAUUGUUGUACCAAUCCUGGAACAACGACAGAGAAAAUUUUACAGAAUAUUGCGAUCUACAGAUUCCUAAUCUGGAAGAUACGUGACCUAAGCUUCCGUUUACCUUAAUUUUCAACUAUAUCAUCGAUAUUAUGACACCAUAGUAUUAGUAGUUAUUGAUAUUUUAUUAGUGUCUAUGAUUACUGUUACCAUGGUAUCACUAGUUAAUUUAUUUAAAAAAAUAAAAAAUUGAAUUGGAUAAUUGCCUAUUGAUUUAUUGGUAAAAUUAAAAGGCACCACAAAAUAACAAAAAGAAAUUGAUUUAUAUCAAAAAAUAUUUCAUUUCACAUUUAAAUAUUAUUAGUAUAUAUUAAAAAUUCCAAAACUUCAAUAACCAAAAUAUGAGAUAUCCUACUCUCAUAACUAAAUAAUCCAAAUUCAAUAUAUAAAAAAUUCUACCAUCCAAUCAAAUGCCUACUACUUGUGGCUAAAUUUAAUAAAUCUAGAAGCUAAAUUGAGAAGGAUGACUGUCUUUCACUCUUCGAAUAUGAGUAGUAUAAUUGCAUUGUCACACCAGCAGCUUCUCCAUUCAAUAGACUAUAUGGGUUAGGAUACAAGUGAAGUUCAGGAAUAAACACUUCAAACACAUUGAUCAAAUCUGCAUAUGAAUACAUGGAAAAGAAAAAAAAAUUAGCUGCCAAUAUCCAGCCAUUAGAGAAACAACAAUUAACAUAAAUAAAAUUAUUUUGUUCGAAAGAAAAAAAAAAUACUCAUAAGCUAUUUAUAAAUAAACUCAAUUAUUCUCUUUUGGUAAAGGUUAUAUAUAUAGCAAACUAUAGUAGACAAGAAGUUUUCAAUGUAAUAUCUACUUUCAGCACAAGCAUGUUACUCUAUCUACAUAUACAAAAUGAUUUUUGUGCAUAGUUAAAAGCUAUCACAAAUGCUCUAUUAUAAAUAAAUCACCACUCAUUUCCUCAAUUUAUUCAUUCUAAAAGUUUAUUUAACAAGGCAAAAGAUUACUACUAAAAGAAAUAAUAUUUGCAAACUUAGUUAAGCCUUUAUAAAGUGAGUAUGAGAUUUAUUAUACUACUUAAAUCUAUUCAUGUGAACCAUUUAAAGAAUAUCACCCUAAAUUGUAAUUAAGUAUUCAUUAAUUUUGCCUAAUUAUAAAACUUUAAUAAGACAACACAAAACAAGAAUGUCAAACUCAAAUCAAUCGCAAACCAUAGAAAUCAAUAAUCGGGCUAAUAUUUAAGUUAAAUUAGUUCAAUUAAAAAGAAUAGCUAACAAGCUCCUAGCUUUCUGAAACCACCCGGCUGGUCCUAAAACCAUUCAUUUUUGGGCUCCAACAUUCAAAUGGAGCGUCAGCAUAGCAAACAUUGCAGAAUUUUCAAACUACAGUAUGAAAAACUAGAACCUUUUAGUGUCAAUUUUGCAAUGGCUAGGACGGGCUUGUGUCAACUAUCACACAAAAUCAAGCAAGAUUACUUCUUCGAGAGCACCGAGAUAGAGGCAGUUGCAGUGCAAGAAUGAUGAUGCAAAUUUCCUAAAGCCUAAACUAGUAUCAUUUUUCCUUUUUCUUUUUGCUAUUGUUAAAAACUGAAUGCAUUUCAAAAAUGUUAUCUUCAUUUGCUGUUGGAUUGGUUGGUGCGAGUUGUCUAACAGCGCCAAAUUGAUUGUAAUUAAAAUUAAAAUGAAUAUGAUUACCUUAAAUAAAAAAGAAAAAAAGAAAAAAGGAAAAGACUAACCUUUAAGAAUAGUCCCAAAUCUAAUGAAAAAAGAUUUAUGCCUUUGGUACUUUCUUCUCCCAUUGCAAUUCACAGUGUUGACACAUUUUUUUUCCUGAAAAGUACUGCAAGUUAGUAGAUUUAUCACUAAUAAGAUUUAAUAGGAAACUUUGACAGCUUGAAUUUAAGAUUUUCUUUAAUUCAAUUUGGAAUGCUAUGAAACUUACAAAACAUAAUUAGACAUGUCAAUGCACCACAAAUAAAAUUUCCAAGUCAUUUGGAUAACUCUACAUUUGCUUCUCACAUGAUAAAACUAUAUAAGUUAAAAUUGCAUAUGAAAUUGUAAAAGUAGCAGCAGGUGUUUGAAUAUUUAUUAAAUUUAAAAUACUAAAUAUAUCAUAAUGAUACUUUCCAGAUUUUAAGUGGACAUAUAAGUCAACAACAUAUUAAAAGUUGAGGCUAUUCCGAUAUCAUUAGGCUGGUGUUUGAUAGGAUAAAAAAUUAAUGAACAGUUCUGUCAAAAGAAGUUACUGCAGACGCAGCAGAGUUUGAAAAAUCAUUAAAAAUAAAUUACAAGUUCAAUAAAAAUAAAAUUUUCCAGAUUCGAAGUAUGCAAAUAGAAGUGUAGUUUAUCCGAAUUUCAGCUUAUUCUAACUCUGUUAGACUAUACGUUUGCAAUAUCAAACAUGGUACAUAUGUAAUUUCUAAUGAAAUUAGACAACAACCAACCAUAUUGAGAAAUCCAUUCAAAAUCAAAUAUAAACCCAAUUCAUUCCAAAAUUUGCAGAACUAAAACGUUCUCAUUUAAACUUAGUUUAAUCAAACUUUCAAAUCAAAUGAAAGUCAUUUAGUCAAGUUCGGAAACAACCAAGUUCACAACAACAAUAUAUCAAUCCUCAAAUUUUUAGCAUAAUUUCGUAAACUAUUAAUUAAUAUUUCACCUCAAAAUCAAGUGUCCAGCAACUCAAAUAUCAUCAAUCCCCAUGUUUAAAGUAAAAUUAGACAUAAAACAAACAAUAACCUUACUUUUCACAAUAACCAGCUAACUAAUGAGCUUUGAACGAUUGAUAUGGCGGUUUCACAAUAAGUUUUGGGUUGUUAGCUAGAAAGAGGGGAGAGAGAGAGAGAGAGAGAGAGAGUAAUAGGCUUAUAGGUCGUGAGGGAGAACUGAGAUUUUUACUUAAGAAAAUUUUAGGUUUUGGGUUUUCAUACACACCAUUAAACGAAAUAUAUAAUACAUACUAAACCCAUGAUUGUCGAUUGCCAUUAUUCUUUUAAUUAAGAAAUUGCAUUCAACUUAAAUCCAUAAUCACUGAUUGUAAUCAUUCUUUCACUUAAUAAACUGAAUUCCACCUAUAAUAAAGCUAUGUUUUAUUUAUUUUAUUAAACAAUAUAUUAGAUAUAAGCAACAAAAACCCUAGAUGGCUAGAUUUCCAAACAAGUUCAAGCUCUCAUUUGCACUCAAUAAACAUCAAUCAAUUAACAUAUAAAUACUUAAACAAUGAGAAUAGAGAAUGAGACAAAGAGUUACCACAACACUGAUUCGGACUUUCAAACCUUAGCUUUGCCCAAAUUCUUUCUUCACAACACUUUGUAGGUUCUUUUCAGGGAUAUUUUAGCUUAAGGACGGCGGCUUUCAAGGUAGAUCAUUGUUAGAGAGAGAAAGAGCGAGAGAGAGGGAAUGAGAGAGAAGGAAGAAAGCUUCGGCGGCCGUGAGAUAAGAUUUUUGACUUAACAAAAAUUUUUAGGUUUUAGGUUUCACACAGACCAUACAUGAAAAAUUUUUUGGUUUUAGGUUUUAAGUUUUAAUAUUUAUUUAUUUAUUUAUUAAUUUAUAAGUUCAAAAAUGCAAUUUGUGGCCUAGUGGUAUAGCGGUUAAAAUCAAAAGGUUAUGGCUUAGGGGUCUUCGGUUCGAUUAUUACUAGAUACAAAAUUAAAAUUUUAUUUUUUUAACUACUAAUACUUUAGUGUCACGAAUCUGUGAUAUUUAAUUUACUGACACCAUAGUAUAAGCAAUUUGUGAUAUUUAUCUGUUAAACACGGAAAAUGCCCCAAAUACAUGUAAUUAUUGAUACUUUAUAAUAAAGUGUCAGAAUACAAGUGUCACAAAAGACCAUUUUUCUAGUAGUGAAAGGAGCACACAUCAUAAGGAAAGGGGAGAGUCGUCACCCAAAGAGAAAAACCACAAAGAAACAAAAGAAAAACAAGGUUAAAGAGAGAGAUUGAGGGCUGCACAAAAGAAGAAUUCGCAGAAAUCAAUUGGGAACUCAGUACUUCUUAUUCUUCUCUUGUUUUCUUGUUUACUUUUUAGUCACGAGGAUGUGUUUGAUGGCUGAAACUUUGUUGUUUAUUUUUCUUUUACAAAUCGUGAACUAAAUUUAUUUAUGGUUGAGUGAUAAACAAUCUUGAUAGUUUAUUGACUAAAAAUAUACGUUACUGCAUGUUUGCUGCAGCAUUUUGUUUUGAUAGUUUUUAUUUUUAUUCAUUAUUUCAGUUGAUCACCCAUUUAAUGAUAAUAUCUAAGGAAGAGCCACAAAAGGGCCGAUUUUAGUGGAACAUAUCAAAGUAAUAUUUGGUUUUAGAUUGAGUUUUCUGGAUUGAGUUUUACUUGAUCCCAAAAGGGUCAUGCUUAAUCUAAAAUUAGUGAUGAACUAGAUAUAGGAAUUCACCUUGUAGGGUAAUUAGAACCUAAGCAUGUAAUGCUAUAUCUAAUGUUAGCAUAACAACUGAUCACUGUUAGGUUGCAUAUAGAUAUAAGAUAUCCAACAUGCGACAGCUGAUGAUACAUAAGGAUUCUGCCCAGUGCUGUAGCAGAUGUUGUAGCAAUCGAGCCAAACAUUAGUAAAAUAGUCAAAACCAUUAAGAUAGUUUAUUCACUUAACUACUCUAUAUUCCUAUUGGUUUGAUAUUUGAGUUUGAUGUGAUAAUUUACUUUGUUGCAUUUUAUUUAUUGUGUUUUUAUUUUAGUUAGUAUAUUAGUUUCAUUAAUUAUUUUAUUUUAAUUUAGAACAAAAUCUGCACUGUUAAAUUGUUAUAGCAAGUCUGAUAAAAUCAAUCCCUAUGGAGACGAUCUUGAAUACUCAUAAUUAUAUUACUUGUUGUGUACACUUGCACAUUGACACCAAUAGCAUUUGAAUUUAUACCAACAGUGAUGGUAUCAGAGCCGCUUCAUACUGAAUCAUUGAGAAUCCAAUUUAUUUUUUAUUAAUGAAUAAAUUUUUGAUUUUCUCAAAAUUAAUAUCAUUGAAUUUGAGAAAAAUUGCAGCUUUUUUUGUUUUUUCAAGGAUUAAUAAAAAAAAUUGGUUUAAGGGUUUAGGUUGGCGGCAACUACUGCAACCAUCAACAACAUCACGAAAUGACGUUAGUGAGAAAGAGCCGCAGCUAAAGGCCAUGGUAAAAGGCAGCACUGCUUCAAUAACACAUAAAAAAAAUUAGUUUUCUUCUUAAGAAUUAAAGCUAGCAGCAGCAACAACCACCAUCAGUGUUUGGGCAAGGUGUGACCGAUGGACCAAGCCAUCAAAGUGGCCACGACAGAUCAAGUAAAGCGAUGACCAUCUAGAACAAAAAAAAAAUAGAAAAAUUAGGGUUUAGGUGAUUAAGGGCUUGUUUAGGAUUUGAUUCGGGUCAACUCGAGCUGGUCUAGCCCCGACUCGGUCAACAAUUGAUCAUUGACUUUAACCGCUAAUCAAAUUUUGACCUAAUUGUUUUUAAAGAUUAUAUUAGUACAAUUUUAAGUUCAGGAAUUUGUAUGUUAAUAUAUAUUUUGAGAUGAAUUAAUCGAAGUAACAUGUUACCAAAGUGACCUCUCUUGUGGGAAUUAAUUUAUUUUGAAAUAUAAAUAGAUGUGUGUAUGCAAUUUCUAUAAAUAUUGAUCGGCCUAAAGGAAGGUUCAUAUUUGACAAAAUUGCAUGUGCACCUGUGGUAGUAAACACGCGAUAAUUAUUUAGUAUUAUAUGUGAAUAAUAAAUCGACCUAAAUAAAGAUUUAUUGUUUAACAUGUUAUUAUUACUAAUUUUUUAUUCUUACACCAAGAUAUCAAUUACAAGUUAAUAUUUUGUCCAAAGAUGAAAUAUUAAUAGAGUGUCUGGUAUCUUGAGAUGAAGAUUACUUUUAUUUGAAUUUAUUUUUAUUUUAAGACUAACUUGAGCUUGUUUUGUUUUUAUUUAGUUAUGUCUGCUGCUAAUAUUACUGCCAACAUCAAUUCUAUUCCUAUUCUAAAUAGCUCUAACUUCAAGUUAUGGAAAGAGAACCUCUUAAUAGUUCUCGCAAUCAUGGAUCUCGACCUUGCAUUAAAAGUUGAUUCUCCCCCACCUCUUAUGGAUGAGAAUACACUUGAUGAUAGAAGGAAAAUAGAAAGGUGAGAGAGAUCAAAUCUCAUGUGUAUCAUGAUCAUGAACAAGGAAUCACAUGUGUAUCAUGACAUGAACAAGGACAAUUCGAAAGCAUUCAGGGUUCAAUGUCUGGAAAGGCAACUAUAACUAAGGAGUUCCUUGCAGAAAUUGAAUAAAGGCUUAUCAAGAAUGAAAAAGAUGAAAUUGGUAUGCUCUUAACAAGCUUAAUUUCAAUGAGGUAUACAAGUAACGGCAAUAUCAUGGAGUGUAUUAUGGAGCUGUCUCAUAUUGUUUUUAAACUGAGAGCACUUAAGCUUGAACUCUCUAAGGACUUGGCAGUGCAUUCGAUUUUAAUAUCCUUACCAACACAGUUUAACUAGUUUAAGGUGAGUCAUAACUGUCAAAAAGAGAUAUGGUCUUUUAAUGGGCUCAUAUCACACUGUGUUCAAGAAGAGGAUAGGCUAAAGAAAGAUAGGGUAGAAAGUGUUCACCUAGCCUCUGCUUCCAAGGGCAAGGACAAAGGCAAGAAAAGGAACAAGGAUAAAGAUGUUGCAGAUACAUUACCUCACAAGAAACAACAAAAGAAACCAGGUGAUUCGGAAGGUACUAAUUGUUUAUUCUGUGGACCCGGAGGGCAUAAGAAGAAGCAUUGCACCAAUUAUCACGUAUGGCAUGCUGAGAAAGGUAUGCUUUGUAGUUUGGUGGAUAGAUUAUGGUAUAACACUCACAUCAGUGUGCUUAUGUAAGGUUCUUUAAGUCUCUAAAAACCCGGUAAUGGUAAAAGAUACAUUUGUGUGGGCGAUGGUAAGAGAGUUGGAGUUGGAGCAAUUGAAAAAUUUAGAUUAUUGUUAAAGACUGGAUUUUAUUUGGAUCUUAAUAAGACAUUUAUUGUUCAUUUGGAAAUGGAAAAUUUCACUUAUUUCAUGAUUUAACAUUAGUUCGUUUCGGUUCUUUAUCAGGCAAUUAUAAUCAUCAUUUGAUUAAUAUGAAUGCUUCAUUUAAUGAAUCACUGCAAUUUAGUGCAUGCGGUAUGAAGAGAAAAUUAACCAAUGAGAAUUUAACUACACUAUGGAGCAGGAUAUUAGGCCAUAUAUCUCCUCCAUGAAAGUUCACAAUCCUUGGAUAUGUUAAAAAAUUUUAAGGCUAAAGUUGAGAGUCAACUCAGUAAAAGAAUUAAAAACGUUAGAUCUGACUGUGGUGCUGAAUAUUAUGGUCAAUAUGAUGAUUCAGGUGAACAACAUCCAGGAUACUUUGCCAAAUUCUUAGAAAAAUAUAGGAUCGUCCCAUAGUACACUAUGUCGGGUUCGCCCACUAUGAAUGGUGUUGUUGAAAGAUGAAAGAAGUCGCUUAAGGACAUGAUGAAGAGUAUGAUUUGUCAUUCGACCUUACUAGAAUCACUUUGGGGAGAAGCUUUUAAAACUACCACGUAUAUCCUUAAUAGGGUUCUAACUACAAUGACUGCCAAAACCCCUUGUGAAUGUUAGACAGGCAAGAAGCCUAGUCUAAAGCAUUUGCAUGUUUAGAGAUGUCCAGCUAAGGCAAGGGCUUAUAGGCCUAAUGAGAAGAAACUGGACUCAAGGAUGGUAAGAUGGUAUUUUAUUGGAUACUUUGAAAGAUACAUGGGGUACAGUUUUAUGAUCCCACAACUAAGUCGAUUUUCGGGUCACGAAAUGCUCAAUUCUUUAAGGAUGUCAAGUUUGUAGGAAGAGACUCUGUCCUUGAAGAGUAAUAUGUUGAUAUUCCAUAGGUGUUAUUGGCAAUAAUCAGAGUCUCAUUGCUGACUUUAUUCAAGACAAAACAAAUGAAGACGAUAUUAGAUAACCCCCUCUACAAGAAGUUGUUCCAGAAAAACAAACUUUGCUAGUUUAAUAACUUAUGCCAUUAAGGAGAUCUAUUUAUGCAAGAACAUGAGGUGGAAUCGGAGUGAUUGAAGAUGAUCCGAUCAAUUUCCAUCGAAUCAUGGAAAGUUCUACCUCUCAGAAGUGGAUUAAUGUUAUGAAUAAAGAGAUAAAGUCCAUGAAGGACAAUGACAUAUAUAAGACCUUGUCCUGUUGCCAGAAGGUGCGAAACCUAUUGGUUGCAAUUGGAUAUUUAAGAUCAAGAGGGAUUCGAAAGGCAAAGUGAAACUAUACAAGGUGCUUGUUGUUGCAAGGGCUUUACAUAUAAAGAAGGCAUCGACUAUAAAGAGAUGUUUUCUCUGAUUUCUUCAAAAGGCUCUUUCAAGAUCAUAAUGGCAUUAAUGGCGUAUUUCAAUCUUGAGUUACAUCAGAUGGAUGUAAAGACGACAUUUCUCAAUAGUGACAUUAUGACCGUCUUAAGCAUUAGCUAGUUCUGUUUCUCCUCGAGGGUUUAAAUUCCCCAUAUCUUACGAAUCAUCCAUGUCUGCUGCAAAUCUUAAAUUUCUAUGCUCUUUUCUCAAUAUCCUUGUAGUUCUAUAAAUUUCUGGAUCAAUUGAAAUUCAACAAGUUUGUACUUACGCAUACAAGGGUUGCUAGAGCACUUCUGUCAACACAAGAAACAUAUUAAAAGAAAACUAAAAUUGCCAUCAACUAAAAUUGAUUUCAGAAAUCAUAAUAAGCAUUCAAUCCUCGAAAAUGGCGCCAAAAACUUGUUGACGUGUAUUGUUGUAGGUGUCAAUGUGUAAGUAUACGCAACAAGUAAUAUAAUUAUGAGUAUCCAAAUCGUCUCGACCCGGAUUGAUGUUACAGGACUUGCUAUAGCAAUUUUAAUUGUGCAAUUUUAGUCUAAUUAAAACUCAAUAAUAGACGAAAUUGAUGACCUAACAAAAUUUUAAAAAAAAUACAAUAGAUAGAGUGCAGUAAGGAAAAUCUAAAGUCAAAUAUAAAGAUAUAGUCAAUAGGAAAGGAGUAGUUGAGCGCUUAAACUCACUUAAUGGUAUUGACUGUUUUCAAUUACUGUAUUAUUACUACAAAAUCUACUAUAGCGCUGAGCAUAAUCUCUCAUGCAUCCUCAGCUGUCGCAUGUUGGAUAUCUUAUAUCUAUAUACAACCUAACAGUGACCAAUUGUUAUGCUAACAUUAAAUAUAGCAUAAUGCGUUCUAGAUUCUAAUUGCCCGACAAGGUGAAUGCCCAUGUCUAGUUCUUCACCAAUCUUAGAUUAAGUAUGGUCUUAUUCAAAUCGUGAUUAACUCAACUUAGGAAACCCAAUCUAAGACCAUGUAUCGUCUUGAUUUGUUCCACUAAGUCAAAACAUUUUUAGGCUUAUUCUUAGCUAAUAUCUACUAAAUGGGUGGUCAACUAAAGAAAAUAUUUGCAAUAAGUAAAAUCAAAACAAAAUGCUACAGCAUAUUCUAAGCAACACACAUAUAUAAGUCAAAUAACCAUUAAAAUUGUUGAACACCCAAUUAUAUCAAAGUUUAGUUCAUGAUAGGCGAUAAAAUAAUAACAACACACGUUUUUGCCAUCAAAUACAUUCCCAGAGAAAGAUAAAAACAAGCAAAUAAAGAGUCAAAAUUGAGAUCCGUUAAAUUCAAGACACCCCUCUCUUAGGUUUUUGUGAUCUCUCAUUCUUUUUCUCAGAAAUCCGUUGCUGCAGCUCUCAACUCUCUUUUAUUCUCCUCUUUUUCUUUUUCUCUCUGUUGUUUUUGUGUGAUGGCACCACCUCUUGUUUCUUUCACGUGUGCUCUUUUUAUAUCUUAGAAUUAGGGCAACAAAAAGCAUGCGGCCACGUGUUUCUUUUUUUGGACCUCAAAUUGCAUUUUUUUUUGCCGCCUAUUUCUGCUUUGUCAGUUAAUACGCAAGUAGUCUUCUCUGUAUUUGCUCCUAGAUUGCUGCAGUAAUUACUACAACUUCUUCUCUGAUUCAGACUUGUUUUAGUUCAUUUGCAGACAACUACUUUGUUAUUUUUGCAAAUCUGCUACUGCAGCAUUCCAUCUAUAAAGCGUGAGCUUUUUUGGUCACCUACAAUCAUACACGUAAUCAGAGUACAAAGUAAUCUAAAACACAAUCAAUUUAUUAAAAUUAAACUCAAAUAAAUGCUCAUGCAAAAUGUAACUAAAAAUGCAAUAAAAACACAUCAUUUACUCUCUAAGUAACAUUAGUUUACGUCUAGAAAUGCCUUGAUAACUCUCAUUUCAUAGAGUUAUCAGCAGGUAUUCAAGUAAUUUAGGAGUGGACCAUUAGAAAGUAGCUAAACGGGUCUUGUGAUAUUUACAACAAAUAAAAGACUAUAUGCUCAUAUAACUGAGAUUAAUUUAGCUUGAGAUCGUAGGGUAUAUUGAUUUUGAUUUUGUUGGAUGCUAACAUAGUAUAAAAUCCACUUCGGGUUAAAUCUAUUUGCUAGCUGGGGGUUCUGUCUCUUGGAAGUGUGAUAAACAGUCUCUUAUAGCCUCUUCUAUGAUGGCAACAGAGUUUGUAGCAUAUUACGACGCAUCUAAUCAUGCAAUAUGGUUGUGAAAAUUUGUUAUAAGGCUACAUAUAAUAGAUUGUAAUUGAUAGACCACUCAAGUUGUUUUCUGAUAAUAAGUCAAUAGCACUAUAUUCAAAUAACAACAAGAGCUGGACGAAGUCGAAGUAUAUAGACAUCAAGUUCCUAAUUGUUAAAGAAAGUGUUCAGAGUAGACAAUUGUCUAUAGAACAUAUUGACACAAACUCCAUGCUUACGGAUCUGCUUACUAAAGGAUUCCACCCAAGAUGUUUCGUGAGCAUGUUGCACAUAUGGGUAUCAUGUCACUAACGAUUGUUUAGGUUUAGUGGCAGUUUGUGAUUUUAGAUGUUCUUAUAAUAUAUACAUUUUUCAUUUAUUUCAAUUUAUAGAUAAUUUGGGUUAUUUUUUUGCAGAAAUAAAGUUUUGGUUUACUCACACUCUAAUUUUAGUAUGGUUUGAUCUCACUAAGAUUUAAGGUGGACGAGUUGAAAAUAAGCAUGUUAAGAUCACAUUGCAUGCAAUUUUCAUACUACACUCAUCCACAUCAUGAUUUAUGUCAUUCAGUUGUAUUGAUAUAGUGAUCAUUGAUGGGUCGAGUUACAAUAGUUGUAACAAAGGCCGCUUUGAUCCUAUAUUGGUAUGACAGUUGUUGGGUUAUUUCUAUCGUUAUGGGUGUCAAUGUGCAAGUGUACAAAAUAAGUAAUAUACUGAUCAAUAUUCAGAUCGUUUCCACAGGGGUUGAUGUUAUCAAACUUGCUAAAGCAACCUUAACAGUGCAGUCUUGUUUUGAAUGAAAAUAAGACAACUAAUAAAACUAAUAAACUUAAUUGAAUUAAAAAUGCAAUAAAUAAAAUGCAAUGUAGAAAAAGUCUCACGUCAAGCACAAAGAUAAAUCAAAUGAUAAUAGAGUAGUUGAGUGAACAAACUCACUUAAUGGUAUUAACUAUUUUUCAAUUACAGUAUUAUUGCUAUAGCAUCUACUACAGCACUGGGUAGAAUUCUUCAUGCUUCCUUAGCGGUCACCUGUUGGAUAUCUUAUAUCUAAUGCAACCUAAUAAUGACCUAUUGUUACGCCAACAUUAAGUAUAGUAUUAAACAUUCUAGGUUCCAUUUGCCAUACAACGUGGAUCCCUAUAUCUAGCAAACAUAAAGCAACACACAUCUGUCAAUGAAACAUCCAUAAAGAUCGUUUAUCAUUGGACCACAAUCAAAUUCAGUUCAUAACUUGCAAUAGAACACUAAAUAAAAUCAGUUCACCCAUAAAAUACAACCCCACAAAUAAUAGAAAACAUGAAAAUAAAAAGAAGAACUAAAGAACGCUUAGUCUUAGUGAUAUAUUCACUUUUUUCCUCCUUCAAGCUUUUAUUACAGCCUUCAAUCUCGCUCUUAAUCUUCUGCUUUCUUGUUGUUUCUUUUCGGUAUUCUCCUUGGGUGAUGGCUCUCCUUUUUUCUUUUCAUGCAUGCUCAUUUUAUAACUCAUUAUUAGGGCCACCGAAAGUGUGUAGCACGUAUCCUCCAUUUUUGGAAACUUUAUAUCGCAAUCUUUCAUUUAUUACACGCGAAAUCCAGCCUGUCGUUGCUUCAGGAUUGCUACAGCAAUGACUACAACAUCUUCAAUAUCCCAGACUUGUUUCAACUUUUUUGUAGCCAAGUUCUUUCCUUAUCUCUGCAAGUCUAUUAUAGCAGCAUUUUUCCUUAAAACUUGACCUUUCUGUCUCCUACAAUUAUGCUCAUCAUCUAAGCACAAAAUAUUCUAAAAACACUUAAUUUAUUAUAAAUAAACUAAAAUAGAUGCUCAUGCAAAAUACAACUAAAUUGCAAUGAAAAGAUAUCAUUUGCUCUCUAAGUAAUCUAGAUUUAAGUUUAAAAAUGUUAUGAUAACUCUCAUUUCAUAGAGUUAUCACACCCCUAAACUUAAACCAUUACUUGUCCUCAAAUAAUGAGAACAACAUUAACACUUCAAUAACACAGUCAUACAAUAAUACUUGCCUCUAUUAUCAAGCUUGAAAGGAUUCAUCAACCCUUGAUUACAAUCUUAACCACGUAAAAUUGCGCUAGCAGUUUCAGUUCUAGACUUAGGCCUCACUCUCUCCAAAGUGUGUGUGUGUGUGUCACUUUGUUCAAGCUCUAGAGAUGUUGUAGUAUCAUAUAGACAUUACAUAUCACUCAGAGGUAGAACAUAAGUGCAUUCAUAUAUAGGGCUAGAGGUCACAAAUAGGUUCAAACUAUGCUUUAGCAAAUUUUUUUUUUCAGUCAGUGAAAUUCUCUUCAAUGUAUCAUUGAUUUUUCAUGCGAACGUCUAUCACUUAUGGUGAUGACAACCACUCAACCAAUGCACAUAUCAGAGUUGCUCUAUAGAAACCUUUAACUCAAGGCUGAACAUAGGGCUCAUGAAAGACUUGUCUACUCAAUAUCCUAGAUAGAAGACCCUCGCUCUUUUUUUUUUUUAUUGUUGCUACAACAAUGCUCAUAGCUCUUAUUGUUAACAUAUAUAUGAUCAUUAUAAUGAUUUUGAUGAUAAUAAACUUUAAAUGUUCUUGAUUAAAAGGUUGGAGUUUCUCUUUAAUAAACAUUCCAUUAAAUAACCAUAUAACAUUCUCAAAUGUGUUCAUAAAAUAUGAAUUAUCAUUAACUUUAAACCGGAAAAACAUUUCCUGAAAACAAAUGGUUAACUGUUAACUUUGAAACGAUUAACCGAUAAUUUUCAGAGAUCGGUAAUUCCUUAGACUUGAACUGGUUAACGAAAACGGACAGUGCAAGUAAGCUAGGGAGGCUACUGGAAUUAAAUGGUAAACUGUUUAUAUCAAACGACUAACCGAUAAUUUCCAGACUAUCAUUCUAUACUAAUCUUCAACUGUUUAGCAAGAACGGUUAGCACCAAUUUUUUUUGCAGGUCUCUAGAAAUUAAUGGCAAACCGAUAGUGACAAAUGAUCAACCGGUUAUUUGAAUUUUAGCUCAACAGUCACUUGGACUAGUCAAAAUGGUUAACCGAUAACAGUUAAUGGUGAUCUGUUUUCACCCAGAAAGUCAACAACGGCUAUAUUUCAGCUCCAACUAUAAAUAAGCUCAAUCAAAUUCAAACAAGGACUGAUCAAAACGUUAUCAUUGAGCCUAUAAUAAAGAACACAACCUUCAUUGAGCUUUAAAUACAUUAUUGUUUCAUUUAUUUUGACAUUUUGGGCAUUGAUUUGUAAUCAUACAUAUUGUGUGAGAGAAAAACAAAUUUGUUAUCUUUGUUUUGAGUAAUUGUAAGUAUUGGGAUACACUUGGGUUAAGAGAUUAGGAAUAAUCUCUUGUUGUAAAGGUUUAUUGACACCUUGGAAGUCCAUUGUAAGUGUGGUUGAAGCCUUGGAGGCUUGCUUAGUGGAAUCCUUAAGCCCGGUGAGCUUGGAGGCGUGGACAUAGGCACGGUUAGCCGAACCACAUAAAAAUCAAGUGUUUGAUCUCUCUUCACUUACUCUUUUAUUAUUGUGCUUGGUUAAAUUUAUUGUUUUUUGUUCUUAUUAGGGCACUAGAUUAAAUUAUUGUGUGGUUUGUUUUGUAUAAUUUUUAAAAAUCCAACUCACCCCGCCUUGAGUUGCUUAGAUAGUAUUUCAUUUAUUACAUUUUUACUCAAGUCUACAUAUGGGGUACAUACUCAGCUCUGAUUACUAAGCAACUUAAACCAUUGAAGUAGAAUUUAUUUCAUAACAAGCACAAUUUCUGGUAAAGUAAAUUCCCCGCCCUAAACUUGAGAUAUUUUCUAACAUUUUUGGUUUUCCUAGUUCUGCUAUAGUAUACUCAUACAAUUCAACCAAAGCCUAAGUGUUGAGAUAAAACUUCAACCUUCAUCUAUAAACUAUCCCUACUUGGUAACAGUCACAAAUAUUGAAUGAUAUUUAAUUUAUCUUCAUUAAGUUUUUCAAUCCAUAUACAAAUACUGGAUAACAGAGAUACACAUAACACACACAACACAAAAACAUGCACUCACAAACACAUUAAACCAUAGUACAACCCCCCCCCCCCAACUUGAGAAGUGUUGUGUCCGCAUAAGCACACAAAAUAAAACUAAGACAAACAUGCAUACACUAACAAUAAAGAAAUGCAAACUAAAUAAUUUAAACUAGAAGAGAAAUUUUCGAAAUGGAAAAAUGAAAUAAGGGUGGUAGGGGAUGCUCCCAUGUUGUUGAAUGGUCUAUUGCAACUCUUGUCGAAAAAGGUUCACUUCUUCUUAGUUGAACUUCUAAAACAUUCCUUAAGCAAACCUUGUGUUAUGGUAGCUGGUGCUUCUUUUUUUGGCUUUGAGUUGGAAUAAUAGGUGGGGUUCCAGCACAUUCAGUAGCUUUGGGCUAAGUUGGCCUAGUUCGCUUGUGCUCUGCCUCUUGUGGUGCUGUAGCACCUCUAGAAGGUUGUGCCUUUUUGCGGUUAUUAUAGACCCUGGGAGCUGUGACAAAAGAUUUUUAGUGGAGUUUUUGUGUGGCAGCUGGAGGACGUUUUGCUGCAGUUGGUUCCUCAACAGUGAUACUAGCGAUGAGAUCUCUCAAGCUUCUUUCUUGUUUCCUCUGUUCUAGCAACUCUCCUAAUAGUUUCCUUGAUGGCUUCAUCCACAUCCUCCUCCCUUUCUAACUCUGACAUCUCUUCGACCCAAAAUUUUUGUUUGCCUUUGCGUGUGGGAGUUGUGUUUAGAGGUUCUAUCUUCCUUCUUACUUUUCUUGCCCAUUGUUCUUCAUUUUCUUCCCCUUCUUCCUCGGCUUCUUGCUCUUCAUCUUCAGACUCUUUUUCUUCAUGUUGUUUUGGCUACUGCUCCUCUUCUGCCUUCCUAUCUUAACUCAUUUCUAUUGUAGCAGUUUCCUCAGUGUCUCCACAAUUCAAUUGCUUCAGCAACGAGUUUGGGAAGUCUUUCAUCUUUACGCGUCAUGUACAGAGUAAAUUGGUGUUUUUAGGCUUCCAAAUGCUGGAAAUAGGUCCAAAAUCUUUUAUUUUCCUCCAUAUGUGCUUGGACACAUGCUUGCACUACUUAACUAAGAGCUUUUUUUCAACUCAACAAAAGCCUUUAAACAGUUUUCAUCAAAAUUGUAAGGUAUGUCAUGUUCCAGCAACAUGCAUAUGGGUUUGGGUAUUUUGGAAAAGUCUUUAAUGAACCUUCUAUAGAACCCAACAUGUCUUAGGAAACUUUUAAUACCCUUUACUGAAGUAGGUGGUGGAAGUUUAUUAAUCACCUCUAUUUUUGCCUUAUCCACCUCUAUUUCCUUUCUAGAGACCUUAUGGCCUAAGACUAUCAUUUCUUGUACAAUAAAAUGACAUUCCUCCCAAUUUAACACUAAAUUUGUCUCUUCACAUCUCGUAAGUACAUUUUCCAGGUUGUGCAAACAGUCAUCAUAUGAUUUCCCAAAUAUUGAAAAAUCAUCCAUGAAAACCUCAAGUAUGUGCUCAACCAUAUCUGAAAAAAUAGAUAUCAUGCACCUCUGGAAAGUUGUCGGAGCAUUGCACAAACCAAAUGGCAUCCUUCUAAAAGCAAAGGUUCCAUAGGGAUAAGUGAAUGUUGUUUUCUCCUGAUCCUCUGGUGAUAUAGUAAUCUGGUUAUAACUUGAAUGUCCAUUCAAGAAACAAUAAUAUUAUUUUCCAACAAGUCUAUCCAACAUAUGAUUUAUUAAAGAUAAUGGGAAGUGAUCCUUCCUUGUAGCUUUGUUUAGCUUCCUCUAAUCCAUGCAUACUCGCCAUCCAAUCACUGUUCUUAUAGGAAUAAGUUCAUUCUUUUCAUUUGCUACAACUAUUACUCUACCUUAUAUUGGAAACAUUUAAUGAUCUCAUUCUUCAUAACUUCCUUCAUGGCGGGAUUCAAUCUUCUCUGUUGCUCUACAAAGUAGUUGUAACAGUCUUCCAAUAGAAUCUUAUGCAUGUAUAUGGAAGAACUGAUUCUUUUAAUAUCUGUCAUGGUCCAUCCAAUAGCCUUCUUAAGUUAAUCACCUUGUAAUGCUUAUUUCUUUCUCUUCUCAAAUCCGCUCGACUUUAGACAAUUGCUUCAUUCUUCACAAUAUAUUCUUUAAGCAAAACUUCAAGAGAACUAAGUUGAUCAUUGUUGGUGUUUCUUGACCCUUGAUUUUGCUUGUGAAAUCCAGAUGGUUUAGCACGCCUGGUUUUGUCUACUAGUUGUUGCAGCAUGCUGAUUCUAAUUACUAUAUGAGAAGUUUGGGUGUUGUCUCCAUCCAAGGCUGUAAGUGUUUGACUAUAGAUUGUUUUAGUUUUGCUUGUUAAAGUUAUCCACAUAGUUAACCGAGGCUGGAUUUCCAAGACAAUUGUCAAAUAAGUGCCCUUCUUUAUAAUAAACACAAGAUGCUUCAGCACCUUGGUUAACAAAUGUUGGAGCCGUAGUCACAGGCUUCACUAUAUUUGUUAAUAAGGCUACUUGAGCUGACAAUGCUAUCAAGGCGUCUAUAUUACAAAUUUUAUUGAUCUUCUUACUGUUGCUUGUCUAACUGAUGGCUAUUGAUGGUUAUUAUUGCCUAUCCUCUCCAAAAUUUCAUAAGUUCAUUAUAGGAUUUAAAUAACAAGCCUUGUUUGCUGAAGCGUCCACCAUUAAUCUAGUGCUUGGGUUGAAACCAUUAUAGAAGGUUUCUAAUUGUAUGCAGCAAAGAAUACCAUGAUGAGGACAUCUCCUGAGUAGCUCGUUGAAUCUUUCCCAUGCAUGGUAUAAACUCUCAUUUUGAAGUUGAUGGAAAUAUGUGAUCUUGUUGCUUAAUUUUGUAUUCUUGGUCGGUCGAAAGUGUUUCAUCAAAAAUUUGUCAGCCAAGUCAUUCUAUAUGGUAAUGGAGUUAGGUGGUAGACAAUUCAACCAUGCCCUUACUCGAUCUUUUAAAGAAAAUGGGAAAAGUCUAAGCCUCAAUGCUUUCUGUGAUGCUCCAGCAAUUUUGAAAGCAUCACUUACUUUCAAAAACAAUUUAAGGUGAAGAUGAGGAUCUUCAUAUAGCAGUCCAUUAAAUUGUCCCACCUGAAACAUCACUGGUUUAAGCUCAAAAGUAUCAACUUGCACUGCAGGUCUAACUAUUCAAGGGUUUAUGGCUUCAGGUGUCAACACUGCACAAUCUCUAAUAGCUCUAUCUCUAUCAUCUGCCAUAUGGAUAAUGUUGUUAUUCCCAGAUUGCCCAUAAAUAAUCUGCCCCUUAAAGUAAAUAUAAUUAAGAUAAAAUACUAUAGCAAACCCAGAGCAACACACAUAUGUCAGUCAAACAUCUAUUAAGAUCAUUUAUCACUCAACCACAAUUAAAUUCAAUUCAUGAUUUGCAAUAGAAUAGUAAAUAAAAUCAGUUUAGCCAUAAAAUACAACCCCAUAAAUAAAUAAAAAAUAAGAAGAAAACUGAAGAAUGCUUGGUCUUAGUGAUAUCUUCACUUUUUCCUCUUUGAAUCUUCUAUUACGGCCUUCAAUCUCACUCUUAAUCUUAUGUUUUCUUGUUGUUUCUUUUCGGUAUUCUCUAUGGGCGACGACUUUCUCUUUUUCUUUUCAUGCGUGCUCUUUUUAUUACUCAAAAUUAGGGCAACCAAAAGUGUGUGGCGCGUAUCCUCCAUUUUUGGAAACUUCAUAUCGUAAUCUUUUAUUUGUUGCGCGCGAAAUCCAAUUUGUUGUUGCUCUAGGAUUGCUACAGCAACGGCUACAACAUCUUCACUUUCCUAGACUUGUUUCUACUCUUUUAUAGCCAAGUUCUUUCCUUAUCUCUACAAGUCUAUUACAACAUCAUUCCUUCCUUAAAACUUGAGCUUUCGAUCUCCUACAAUUAUGCCAUAAUCUAAGCAAAAAAUAUUAUAAAAUAACUCAAUUUAUUUAAAAUAAACUAAAAUGGAUCCCAUGCAAAAUACAACUAAAAUGCAAUGAAAACAUAUCAUUUGCUCUCUAAGUAAUCCUGAUUUAAGUCUAAAAGAGCCAUGAUAACUCUCAUUUCAUAAGGUUAUCAACAGUAAACUUGAGCUCAUACGGUUAUUUUUCCAAUGCAUAAUUAUACAUAUAGCCCAAGUAGGAGAUUGUUUGUGAAUGAUUAUGUGUUGCGGGCUGUCAUAUAAGGUUAAGUCUAACUAAAAGUGAUCUUUUAAUGUUUUGGAUAAUUUGGGCUUUAAUGUACCUAAUAAGGUGUGGGCCUUUAAUGUGUGGAUACUUAAGGGCAAUUUUUAUUCCUAUGAUGGGCUGAAAUAAGAAUACUAAAAGCCAAUAGGAAAAAAAGUUUAUAUAAGUGGUUAUGAUCCUUAGAUCACACAUAUUGUUCUAUUCUUUCUGGCAUUUCAUCAUCAGAGAAAGAGCAUAGAGAAACUUAAAGGAUUCUCUAGGAGAACUGUUGAUUUGGAAGGCUAACCACAUGACUCUACAGAGCAAUUAAGCACUAUGGAUUUAAGUACACUUCCGCAUAUUCUGUUAUUAAUUUUUGGUGAUACAACAUGAAUGUUCCUAAAUUAUAAGCGAUGGUUUUCACGAAAGCAUUUAUUGUUUUAACCAAGUUAGCCUACACAUAAGUAGAAACAAAUAUUGUCCGUUGGAUGUAAUCCAAUUAAGUGCUUAUUUACAAAAAGGAAAUCAAAUUAACUCUUCUUAAUAUAUAUGCUUCCAAAAUGAUGAUUAUGAUGAUAAUAAAUAAGAUUAAAAUGAUUAAGAUUGAUAAAGUCCUUAAUCAAAAUACUUAAGCAGUAUAAUGAAUUGAGCAAAGAAUAAACUUUUUGGAAACAAAUCGAUUCCCAUUAACUCAGAAAAUAAUUAACCAAUAUAAGUCAGAGAGGAAAUUUUUAUUCUAGAAAAUAAUGGUGAACAGUUUAUUAUAUAACGGCUAACCGAUAAUUUCUAAAGAGGAGUCUAUUUUGUUGAAGAUCACUAGAAAAUAAUGUGAUCCGACUUAUGGAAAAUUAUCAUCCAACAAUUUGAAAUUAUAGCAUAACAGUCACUUUCUCACGUCAAAACGAUAAUUCGAUUAUAUGCAGAAAGUCAAUAAUGACUACUUUUCACCUCCAACUAUAAAAAGACUCAAUCAAAUUCAAAUUUAACAAGAUUCUACAAUUAUCAUUGAGCUUGUCUUCGUGUAUUUAAUUUCUCUUGUAGUUAGGGAUGUCAAUGGGGCGGGUUCAGGGCGGGGAUCAUGAUCCCCGAACCCACCCCAUACCUGAAAAAUUGUAAUGGGGGAUAGUUUGGGUAUAUCCCCGAAAAUCCCCGAAUUGAGCUGGGAUUAAAGCGGGGACCCGAUCCCCAUUUUUUAAAUAAUAAUUUCUAAAUAUUUCACUUUCUUUUUUUAAAAAAAAUAAUAAUAAAUCUGACAACCUCCAUCUUUAGAAAUAAAAUUACAAAUGAUUAAAUUCCAUAUUAGAAAUAAAAUACAAGUGAUCAAAUUUUAACAACCUCCAUAGAAAUAAAAACAUAAUAAUUCUAAGCCUUCGACAUAAUUACAAAUGAUCAAAUUUUAUACGACAAAUCAAAAUAAUUUUAAAUUUUCAACACAAACUUGUAGCCAUCACCAUUGAUGCACAUUCUAAGAUUCUUCAUUAACCUAUAACAACAUAAACAAAAAAAAAAUUAAUAAAAAUAGUUAAUUUUUAUUUGCAUCUAUAAUUUCUAGUUAAGAAAUUAUAUUUAAUGGUUAAGCGUCUAUAAUUUACUAAUUAAGCAUCUAUAAUUUCUAGUUAUAUUUAAUGGUUAAUGAUUUCAUUUUUAUAACUUAAUUUAUUUAUGUUGGUGAAUAUAAUAGUGCUUAUAUUAUUAAAUGAUAUUUCCCAAAUAGCUUAUUGUUGUGUAAAUUUUAUUGAACUCGCAAGUGUAUGAAUCUAUUGUAGAAUAGACUAAUGGUGACGAGUGUCGAUCCCACGAGGAGGUUGAUUUUAAUUGUGUGUAGAAUUAAUUUUGUAAAUGGGUGGUUGGAUUUGUGGUGAAAGUGACUUAGAUUAUCCUAAAAUUAGAAUUUAAAUGACGAGAAUAAAUUGACUAUAAAUAUAUUGAAAUGACGUACUUGGGUAUCUAGAUCCGUAUCAACAUGCAUCAUGGGCUAAAUAUUCAUUAUUAAUGUCAAUUACUUCAUGAGGGGGGAAUCCACACCUCAUGAACCACGCUCUAAUCAAUAUGGUGCUAAGGGCUUAUCGUGCCAAAUAAUAAUAACCUUAUACUAGAGAGCCGGUGUAACCAAGGCGGUAUCUGCUGUACGGCCAAGGCGGAUGUACGGUACAGCAGACUUGCUUUAUAGCAUCAAGUAAAGGGAUGUUAACACUUACCUGUUUGAAGAUUUCGAGAAUCUCACCUGUGGAUUUUCCCUUCUUUCCUUUCGCUAACCUAUGAGGAAAUGGAGCUUUGGGAACGUAUUCUCGUGGGUUGGUUUCUUCUUUCUCCUCCGGUGGUGAGUCCUCAGCAUUUACAGGUACAAUUUGAUUUUCUUUUGUCACCGGCAUCUCCACUUUAUUGUCGACUUCCUUUCCUUUUCGCAAGGUCAUGACUGCUUUGACCUCUCCAUGCUGAUGUGGUGAACUGGUACUUGCUUCAUGUACUCCUUUAGGAUUAGGCACUGGUUGACUUGGAAAUUUACCUUUCUCAACAGUCAUUGCCAAGGUCUGAACUGAAGAAGCAAGCUGUCCCACCAUCUUCUCGAGGCUUGAAACUGAUUGGGCUUGUGAGUUAAAGCCCGCUCUCAAUUCAUUUCGUAGUCCAUCAAUNNNNNNNNNNNNNNNNNNNNNNNNNNNNNNNNNNNNNNNNNNNNNNNNNNNNNNNNNNNNNNNNNNNNNNNNNNNNNNNNNNNNNNNNNNNNNNNNNNNNNNNNNNNNNNNNNNNNNNNNNNNNNNNNNNNNNNNNNNNNNNNNNNNNNNNNNNNNNNNNNNNNNNNNNNNNNNNNNNNNNNNNNNNNNNNNNNNNNNNNNNNNNNNNNNNNNNNNNNNNNNNNNNNNNNNNNNNNNNNNNNNNAUGAUGCCCCUAAAAUACAUAAAAUACUUAAUUAAAAUAAAACACACGGAAUUAAAUUAAAAGAAAGUUAAAUUCAUAAAAGUAACGGUGUUAUUAAAACUUGUAGUGUAAAAUGAUGAUUUUCUCCUUUAUAAAUAUACAUUUUCUAACACUCAACACACCCCCCAACUAGCUUAUUGCUAGUCCCUAGCAAAUAAAGUGAAAACAAAAUUCAAAACCAAAAUGAUUUUUUUUUUUAUUUAGAAACACUUGUGUUUAUUCAAUCAGAUUAAUGAUAGCAAUCAAAUAGAAGUAUAAGCAUUAUAUCCAGUCUAAAGCAACAUCACACCCACAUCAACCAUCCACAUGAAUCAGCCCAGUAGACUUUGUCACAGCUACUUCAAGAAUGACAUGUUAAACCUCAAAAUCUUACUGGAAAUAGUGACACUCUCACAAAGAAAUUAAACCCAAUAAAAAUAGUCACUCCAAUGAAUGGUAAUUAAGAGAGAAAAUAAUAAAGAAGUGACAUCACCUGCUCUCACCAAGAUGAAAGAAAUAUGCCCUCAGCUUAGAAUAAUACGAUCUCAAGUCAAACAAAAAUGCUAGUCAACCCAAUUUAUUUUUUUUUAAUUAUGCAUCACUACAUCUUUUUAGCCCAUAUAACUAGCUUCUACUUCAGACUAUAGUUCCCUAAAAUCAAGAAGCACUUUUAUUAGGACGUAACAUAGGUUAGGGACAUGGCUAACAAAGAAUGGAAAAAAGGAAAACAAAGUGUCUGUUUGAGAAAAAUGUAGAGAUUUUUUUAUUUUUUUAUUUUUUUUUUUGGAAGUUGUAAAGUGGAUUUCACCUGUUAUUGUUAUAUAAUUUUUUAACAACAAUUGUUUUUUUUUUCUUUUGUUUGGCACAACUUCACUGAACAAAAUAAUUAUUUAUAUUUUUCUCAAACAUAAAUAGGUGAUGGAACUUGUAAGAUAUCGGGUAAUACUCCAAAUCGGAGUGGGUCAAGAUGAUAAGUUUAACAAAAAAAAUGCUUUUUUUUUCUUUUUUUAAAGGCUCAAAAUGGUUAACUGGAUAUUUCACAAAAAUGAUGGCUAGAAAGGCUCAAACGGAUCAAAGAUGACCUUUCCAUCGUCUUUUAGGGUUCUAAAUAAUCUUCCAUAUCUACUAGUUAGAUGGGGCUCCAAAUGUAGCAACAUACAUUUUUUUUUUAAUUUUACAAUUUUUUUUAAGGGUUAACUCAAAAGAAAUCUAGAGAUCGUGUAUAAAAUAAUAAACUGCUAAGUUGUAUAAAGAAUGGGUAAAAGGAUUACUCUCCAAGAAAAAUGAUAGGCUCAAAAACUCACUUGGUACUUAUUAUGACAUGUUCAUUCCUUCAAGCAACUCAUAUUUGUCUCCGACAUCAACAUGUAGAGUAGCAAACAUAGGGUAACAUCACUUAAGACCAAAGAUAAUACAAAUACUAAAAUUUGAAAUUAAUCAUGUCACCCAAUGUUAAAACAAAUCACACAAAUUUUUUUUUUAAANNNNNNNNNNNNNNNNNNNNNNNNNNNNNNNNNNNNNNNNNNNNNNNNNNNNNNNNNNNNNNNNNNNNNNNNNNNNNNNNNNNNNNNNNNNNNNNNNNNNNNNNNNNNNNNNNNNNNNNNNNNNNNNNNNNNNNNNNNNNNNNNNNNNNNNNNNNNNNNNNNNNNNNNNNNNNNNNNNNNNNNNNNNNNNNNNNNNNNNNNNNNNNNNNNNNNNNNNNNNNNNNNNNNNNNNNNNNNNNNNNNNNNNNNNNNNNNNNNNNNNNNNNNNNNNNNNNNNNNNNNNNNNNNNNNNNNNNNNNNNNNNNNNNNNNNNNNNNNNNNNNNNNNNNNNNNNNNNNNNNNNNNNNNNNNNNNNNNNNNNNNNNNNNNNNNNNNNNNNNNNNNNNNNNNNNNNNNNNNNNNNNNNNNNNNNNNNNNNNNNNNNNNNNNNNNNNNNNNNNNNNNNNNNNNNNNNNNNNNNNNNNNNNNNNNNNNNNNNNNNNNNNNNNNNNNNNNNNNNNNNNNNNNNNNNNNNNNNNNNNNNNNNNNNNNNNNNNNNNNNNNNNNNNNNNNNNNNNNNNNNNNNNNNNNNNNNNNNNNNNNNNNNNNNNNNNNNNNNNNNNNNNNNNNNNNNNNNNNNNNNNNNNNNNNNNNNNNNNNNNNNNNNNNNNNNNNNNNNNNNNNNNNNNNNNNNNNNNNNNNNNNNNNNNNNNNNNNNNNNNNNNNNNNNNNNNNNNNNNNNNNNNNNNNNNNNNNNNNNNNNNNGUGAUAAGUGCCUCUAGUGUUGCAAGAUCUCCUGGAAGGAAAAUAAAAGCAUCAGCAUGAUUAAGCAUUUCAAUUAUUCUUUCUUGCAUACUUGAGACGACUAACUCUUCUCCAAUCAGUAAGUCAGUCAAACUGCCCAAAGGUUUUAGGGCUCUUGGGAUGAUGCCUAACACUUGGCUUUCUUUGAUCCAUUGGGAUGUUUUCAAAAACAAUUUGUGAAUGCAAAACAAAUCAUAUUUAAGAAUCUUGGUGAUAGUGGGUCACAGAUGUGUAUAAGGUAACAUGUUUGUGUCAAUUAACGCGUAAAACACAUGGCUCGAGAGUAAAAAAGGAAACAGUAAAAAGGAAAAGAAACAAUGAUAAAAUAAAAUUAUUAAAGACAAUAAUGCAAAUGAUAAAACAACAGUAAAAUAAAAUAAUAGUGAAGUAAAACGAUAUGUACAAGUAGUUGUAACUGUGGCUCACAUUUUCCUCUAGUUUUACGUUCAGAAACGGCUUAAACGCCCUCUAUGGGUCGAGAAUAGGCUUCUCAUCCAGUUUUCUUAUAAACUGGCAAACAUGGUCGUUUAUAGUCAGAUUCCCAAGACUAUAUCGUGCAUGCUCUUUCUGGAAUAAUGGUCAUAACUGGAGAAUCGCUCCUUGUACAUAUCCACUGAGAUGUGUUUCAAGAGACAAAAUGAUAUCAUCCAAUGACUCCUUAUUCAAGCCAUCCCUAAUGAAUUAAAUACAAGUAGAAAUAAAAGUUUGAAACUAUAUCAAAUAUGUAUAAAAUUGGAAACUAUGUCCAAUUUUAUAGAUAUAACAUAUAUGUCUAAUAAUAUAAUAAUAUCUUUUUUUUUCUUUUUGGCUUGAUCCAUAUCAAGAAAAAUAAUUUUUCUUAAUUAAUAUGUGCAGUAAACAAAUACUAUGAUAAAAAUUUUAAAAAAAAUUAUAAAUGCACUGGAUGAAUAUAGAAUUUAUGUUUAUACCAAUUUAAUAAAAUUUAUUCCAAUUAUUUUCAAUUCAAUUUUUUAUUUUCAAUGAUGAGAACUUUUUCUUUGCUUAAUAAAUUAAAUAAAUAAACUAUUUUUUUUAAUUAAAGUUUAAUGUUAAUUUACAAAUUUUAUGUUAUUUUUAUAAGAAUUUACAAAUUUUAUGUUAUUUUUAUAAGUGUUUGUUUUGUUUGUAAUUCUAAAACACCAAUUUAACACUCUUACAUUAAUUUAUUUAUUUAUUCUACUUUUUAACUAUUUAUAUAUAUAAUUUAUAAAAUUUAUAUUUAUCACGAUAUUAAUGUUGUAAUUUUAAUCAUGUUAUUAUAAAAUUUUCAUAUAAUCUUUAUAUACUAAAUAAAUUACUUAAUAUGGGGACCAUGUGGAUAUAGAAUUAUUAUCUGAACUGUGCUGAAUACGAAUAAUUCAUAUUUGGCAAGUACGUUGCUCUCAAUUAUUCGGAUAGAGACUGGAGAGUGACAUGUUCAUAAUUUUCUUCACAUCAAUCACAAAUGUCUCAAUAAUGGGAGGGCCUAACUUAGCGCCUACCCUCAAUAAUUUAUUCUAUAACAUUUCUCUUUGCGUUCAUUACGUCGGCUCCUCAUUACUCGUCAUUAUGGCUUGGAUUAACUUUUGAAUGGGCCUAGAUAUGUGUGUCUCAACUAAUCAACAAGUACUAUCACCAGUAACAUUAGUGCUGCCAAUUUUCCAAGUUUGAAAUAUGACGUUUUAGCUGCCAGUUUUGACAAUUUAGUAUAUAAGCUUACAACUAUUUUGUCUUUUUACACUUUCCAAUUGUAAUAGUAGUAUCAAAGGAAUUGUAACUGUAUUCUACUUAAAUUUAUCUGUUGACAUUUUUUUCUUUCACCUUGAAACAACUGAAAGCCUCCAAGUCUUGAUAGCUAAAGGUGGCCAAAGGGUUGUGUCGGCAUAAACAAAAACCGUGAGGGCGGUACGUUGGUGGGUGAUGCCGUGCCGUACCCAAUUAUUUUUUGUUAAGCUCAGCACGGCUCACGAGUCCACGCGUGUCAUGUUUGGGCCAUACCAAAAAAAGCCUGUCAAAUUUUUGUAUCCUUCAAGCCCACGUGCCACGUGUUUUUUUAAACCCACAUAUUUGGCAUGGUUUUUUAAGCACAUGUAUCUAGCAGGCUUUUUCAAGCUCAUCAGCCCAUUUAAUAAUAAUAACAAUAAUAAUAAUAAUAAUAAUAAUAAUUUUUAUUAACUAUUAAGAGAACAAUUAACAUUUUAUUAUCAGUUUAUCAUAAUUUUGUAACUAUAUAUUUAAAUAUUUAAUUUCACAAUUACCAAUUCAAUUAUAAUACAACAAUAUUAUUUGAACUGCACUGAAGUAAAUUACAGGAAACUGAAGUAACCGACUUGAUUGUCACGGAGUACCGUUAUCCGCCACUUCACCGGGGUAACAAACUAAAGCACAAAAACAGAAAAACAAAUUAAAACACACAAAGAAAAUUAAAAUCGUCCUCUUAUUGAAUUUACCUCAAGCACCAACUGGAUGUUGUAGACACUCCUCUCAAUGUCUCUGAGUUGGCUUUCUAAAUCCACAACAUAGGCUACUAACUCUGGUGGUUGUAGAGUCCAAAUACGAUGUGUCUUACAAAAUCAAAUCUGCAUUUUGAGAUGAGAUUUUACACGUUGAAGUAGUUUAAGAAUGUUCAGGAGGAACUGUUUAGCUAUGACACUCAUGAUUAACAAUGAUAAGAGAAAACUUAAUGGUUAAACAAACACACUUAUACAAAAAUAAUUUCAAUUAGCAAAAGAAUAAAAAGAAAGAAAAAUCAAAUCACCGAAAAGAAAGAAAAACUUAAUUCAAAUCUGGUGGGUCACUCAAAUUUAUUUCGGUGUCUUCUCCAUGUGGUUGGUACUCUAGAUAUGACUUUAAUCUUUGACCAUUAACUAUAAACAUAACACCAUUCUUUGGGUCCUUUAUUUCAAUUGCCCCAUGUGGAAAAACAGUAUGAACAAUAAAGGGGCCAGACCAUCGAGAGCGUAACUUACUUGGGAAUAGGUGCAAGCGAGAAUUGAAUAAAAGCACUUUCGGACCUGGAGUGAUUUUUUCUCAUAAUUUGCUUGUCAUUGAAGACUUUCAUUCUUUGCUUGUAAAUCUUGGCAUUUUCGUAUGCAUCAUUGCGAAUUUCUUCAAGUUCUGCCAGCUGUAAUCUUCUUUCUGAGCUAGCUUGCUGCAUGUCAAAGUUGAAUUUCUUGAUGGCCCAAUAUGCAUGAUGCUCGAGUUCCACAGGUAGGUGGCAAGCUUUUCCAUACACUAGUCUGUAGGGUGACAUCCCAAUCGGGGUCUUGAAAGCCGUUCUAUAUGCCCAUAAUGCAUCAUCAAGUCUUAAUGACCAAUCUUUUCUGUCCGGCUUCACCGUCUUUUCUAAUAUGUGCUUUAUUUCUCGAUUGGAGAUCUCAACUUGGCCACUGGUUUGCAAAUGAUAUGGGGUCGCCACUUUGUGAGUGAUUGAAUACUUUGUCAAAAGAGCUUUGAAUGCUUUGUUACAAAAGUAUACACUAGCCUGUAGGGUGACAUCCCAAUCGGGGUCUUGAAAGCCGUUCUAUAUGCCCAUAAUGCAUCAUCAAGUCUUAAUGACCAAUCUUUUCUGUCUGGCCUCACCGUCUUUUCUAAUAUGUGCUUUAUUUCUCGAUUGGAGAUCUCAACUUGGCCACUGGUUUGCGGAUGAUAUGGGGUCGCCACUUUGUGAGUGAUUGAAUACUUUGUCAAAAGAGCCUUGAAUGCUUUAUUACAAAAGUGGGCACCACCAUCACUGAUUAUUGCUCGAGGGAAUCCAAAGCGUGAAACAAUGUUGCUUUUUAAAAAUCCUAUCACCACCUUAUGAUCAUUGGUUCUACAUGGAAUUGCUUCUACCCAUUUCGAUACAUAGUCAACAGCAACCAAUAUGUAUUGAUGGCCAAAAGAAGGGGGAAAGGGUCCCAUGAAGUCGAUACCCCACACAUCAAAAAUCUCAACCACUAAAAUUAGAUUUAAUGGCAUCAUGUUCCUUCGUGUAAUGCUCCCCAUUCAUUGACACCUAUCACAUGAAGAACAUAAAGUGUAAGCAUCUCGAAAUAUAGUUGGCCAAUAGAACCACAUUGUAAAACUUUAGUAGCUGUUUUCUUAGCACUGAAAUGGCCUCCACAAGCUUGUUCAUGACAAAAUGAAAGGAUAUUCUGAAUUUCACUUUCUAGGACACAUCGCCUAACAAUUUGAUCUGCACAAUACUUGAACAGAUAAGGGUCAUCCCAAAAGAAAUUCUUUAUUUCUGCAAAGAAUUUAGCCUUGUCUUGCUUGGUCCAAUGCUCUGGAAGUUGACCUGUAACAAGAUAAUUCACGAUGUCAGCAUACCAUGGUAAUACUUCCAUACUCAUCAAUUGUUCAUCUGGGAAUGACUCAUUCAAUGGUAAUGAUUCUAUAAUUGUGUCAAAAUGGAGACGAGAGAGAUGGUCAGCUACAACAUUCUUUGUGCCUUUCUUAUCUUUAAAUUCCAAGUCUAACUCCUGUAAAAGUAACACCCAACGAAUUAGUCUAGCUUUUGCAUAUUUUUUUGUGAGAAGAUAUUUAAGACCAGCAUGAUCCGUGAUUAUAAUUAUUUUACAGCCAAUGAGAUAGGAUCGAAAUUUUUCUAAUGCAAACACUACUGCUAGCAUUUCUUUUUCAGUAGUUGAAUAGUUCAAUUGUGCAUCAUUCAAUGUCAUACUANNNNNNNNNNNNNNNNNNNNNNNNNNNNNNNNNNNNNNUCAUGGAAGACUUUCAUUUGUUGCUUGUAAAUCUUGGCAUUUUCGUAUGCGUCAUUGCGAAUUUCUUCAAGUUCUGCCAGUUGUAAUCUUCUUUCUGAGCUAGCUUGUUGCAUGUCAAAGUUGAAUUUCUUGAUGGCCCAGUAUGCACGAUGCUUGAGUUCCACAGGUAGGUGGUAAGCUUUUCCAUACACUAGCCUGUAGGGUGACAUCCCAAUCGGGGUCUUGAAAGCCGUUCUAUAUGCCCAUAAUGCAUCAUCAAGUCUUAAUGACCAAUCUUUUCUGUCUGGCCUCACCGUCUUUUCUAAUAUGUGCUUUAUUUCUCGAUUGGAGAUCUCAACUUGGCCACUGGUUUGCGGAUGAUAUGGGGUCGCCACUUUGUGAGUGAUUGAAUACUUUGUCAAAAGAGCCUUGAAUGCUUUAUUACAAAAGUGGGCACCACCAUCACUGAUUAUUGCUCGAGGGAAUCCAAAGCGUGAAACAAUGUUGCUUUUUAAAAAUCCUAUCACCACCUUAUGAUCAUUGGUUCUACAUGGAAUUGCUUCUACCCAUUUCGAUACAUAGUCAACAGCAACCAAUAUGUAUUGAUGGCCAAAAGAAGGGGGAAAGGGUCCCAUGAAGUCGAUACCCCACACAUCAAAAAUCUCAACCACUAAAAUUAGAUUUAAUGGCAUCAUGUUCCUUCGUGUAAUGCUCCCCAUUCAUUGACACCUAUCACAUGAAGAACAUAAAGUGUAAGCAUCUCGAAAUAUAGUUGGCCAAUAGAACCACAUUGUAAAACUUUAGUAGCUGUUUUCUUAGCACUGAAAUGGCCUCCACAAGCUUGUUCAUGACAAAAUGAAAGGAUAUUCUGAAUUUCACUUUCUAGGACACAUCGCCUAACAAUUUGAUCUGCACAAUACUUGAACAGAUAAGGGUCAUCCCAAAAGAAAUUCUUUAUUUCUGCAAAGAAUUUAGCCUUGUCUUGCUUGGUCCAAUGCUCUGGAAGUUGACCUGUAACAAGAUAAUUCACGAUGUCAGCAUACCAUGGUAAUACUUCCAUACUCAUCAAUUGUUCAUCUGGGAAUGACUCAUUCAAUGGUAAUGAUUCUAUAAUUGUGUCAAAAUGGAGACGAGAGAGAUGGUCAGCUACAACAUUCUUUGUGCCUUUCUUAUCUUUAAAUUCCAAGUCUAACUCCUGUAAAAGUAACACCCAACGAAUUAGUCUAGCUUUUGCAUCUUUUUUUGUGAGAAGAUAUUUAAGAGCAGCAUGAUCUGUGAAUAUAAUUAUUUUACAACCAAUGAGAUAAGAUCGAAAUUUUUCCAAUGCAAACAUUACUGCUAACAUUUCUUUUUCAGUAGUUGAAUAGUUCAACUGUGCAUCAUUCAAUGUCAUACUAGCGUAGUAAAUAACAUGGGGAAUUCGAUCAACUCUUUGUCCUAAUACUGCUCCUACUACAUAAUUAGAUGCAUCACACAUGAGUUCAAAUGGUAAGCUCCAGUUUGGGGGCUGAAUGAUGGGUGAUGAUGUCAACAACUGCUUUAAUUUUUCAAACGCCACAAGACAUGAAUCAUUGAAGAUAAAACGUACAUCCUUAGCAAGUAAAUUGCAUAAGGGUUUAGAAACUUUGCUAAAAUCUUUAAUGAAACGUCUAUAAAAACUAGAAUGCCCAAGGAAAGAUCUUACUUCUUUGACUGUUUUGGGUGGAGGAAGAUUAUAAAUGAGAUCCACUUUGGCUUUGUCAACCUCAAUACAUUUGCUUAAAAUGAUGUGACCGAGAACAAUACCUUGUUUUACCAUAAAAUGACACUUCUCCCAAUUUAAGACUAAGUUCUUCUCGAUACAUCUCUGUAGAACUAGUGUUAGAUGAUGUAAACAUUGAUCAAACGAGUCACCAAAGAAAGAAAAAUCAUCUAUAAAGAUUUCAAGGAAUCGUUCAACCAUAUCAGAAAAAAUACUCAACAUGCAUUGUUGAAAUGUAGCAGGUGCAUUACAUAAUCCAAAUGGCAUUUUCCUAUAUGUAAAUGUGCCAAAAGGGCAAGUGAAAGUGGUUUUCUCUUGAUCUUUUGGUGCUAUGGGAAUCUGAUUAUAUCCUUAGUAACCAUCUAGAAAGCAAUAAAAUUCAUGGCCUGCUAAUCUAUCAAGCAUUUGAUCGAUAAAUGGUAAAAGAAAAUGCUCUUUACGUGUGACAGAAACACAUAUUCCAAAGUGUUGGGUAAUGGUUUGAGCUCGAGUUUCGGUGGUGAUUCUGAUGAUGGGAUGAGUUUCUUCUCUGAUGGUGCUAAUUGUUCAACUCUUGACUUCCAUUUAUUGGUAUCCAUGGAUGGUGUUGAGUCAAGUAGGGCAUUGACCUCAUCAACUGAUCUGUCAAUAUUAAAAUCCAAACCAAAGUGAGUUAAGCAUGUUUGUAAAGGGUCAUCACUAAGGUUUGAAAGAAAAGUAUUAUCAACUAAUGUGUCAAUUAAAUCUACAUCAACAAUUCCAUCAUCUGCAUUGUGAGGUUGUUUGGCAAUGUUGAAGAUGUUCAGCUCUAUAGUCAUGUUGCCGAAGGACAACAUCAUAUUUCUAGUCCUACAUUGAAUGUGAGCAUCCGCAGUUGCCAAGAAAGGUCGGCCUAGAAUAAUGGGGAUGUGCUUCCUUGAAUCCUAUAUUGGUUGAGUGUCAAUUACAAUGAAAUCAACAGGAAAAUAAAACUUGUCUACCUGAAUAAGCACGUCCUCCACAAUACCACGAGGUAUUUUCGUGGACCGAUCUGCAAGUUGUAACACCACUGGAGUUGGGUGUAAUUCUCCAAGUCCAAGUUUCACAAACACUGAAUAAGGUAACAUAUUUACACUAGCUCCUAAAUCCAACAAAGCAUUCUCAAUUAUGUGGUUCCCUAUACUACAUGAGAUAGUGGGAGAGUCUGGGUCUUUGCAUUUUAAAGGAAUUUUAUGUUGGAGUAUAGAACUAACAUUUUCUGUUAAAAAUGCCUUCUUUUGAACAUGAAUGUUUCUUUUUUUAGUACAAAGGUCUUUAAGAAACUUGGCAUAAGAUGGAACUUGCUUAAUAGCAUCAAGUAAAGGGAUGUUAACACUUACCUGUUUGAAGAUUUCAAGAAUCUCACCUGUGGAUUUUCCCUUUUUUCCUUUAGCUAACCUCUGAGGAAAUGGAGCUUUGGGAACAUAUUCCCGUGGGUUGGUUUCUUCUUUUUCCUCCGGUGGUGAGUCCUCAACAUUCACAGGUACAAUUUGAUUUUCUUUUGUCACCGGCAUCUCCACUUUAUUGUCGACUUCNNNNNNNNNNNNNNNNNNNNNNNNNNNNNNNNNNNNNNNNNNNNNNNNNNNNNNNNNNNNNNNNNNNNNNNNNNNNNNNNNNNNNNNNNNNNNNNNNNNNNNNNNNNNAGCAUUUACAGGUACAAUUUGAUUUUCUUUUGUCACCGGCAUCUCUACUUUGUUGUCGACUUCCUUUCCUUUUCGCAAGGUCAUGACUGCUUUGACCUCUCCAUGCUGUUGUGGUGAACUGGUACUUGCUUCAUGUACUCCUUUAGGAUUAGGCACUGGUUGACUUGGAAAUUUUCCUUUCUCAACAGUCAUUGCCAAGGUCUGAACUGAAGAAGCGAGUUGUCCCACCAUCUUCUCGAGGCUUGAAACUGAUUGGGCUUGUGAGUUGAAGCCCGCUCUCAAUUCAUUUCGUAGUCCAUCAAUGGUGCGGUUCUGUUGCUCAAUCGUGGAGUGAGUAACAUUCUUGAAAUUUUGGAAUGCAUCCUCCCAUGGUCUGGGUUGAGAGUAGUUCUGGUUCUGAUUGUAUGGUCUAAAUGGGGGCUGAGAGGCUUGAGGAAUUUGCGGAAUUGGUUGCAUUUGUGGAGCUGGAGCUGCUGGUCCAUUCUGUUGGAAUCCUUGAGACCAUGAAAAAUUGGGGUGGUCUCUCCAUCCAGGGUUAUAUGUGUUGGAGUAUGGGUUGUAAUUUGAUGGCUUUCUCAUUACACCUAUGGCAUUGGCUUGAUCUGAGUAUGAGUCAUGGUCAUGUGGCUCUGUUGAUUUACCAGUCGAUAACGAUGCUAUUUGUCGAGAGAAACCUUCAAUUAUUGCUUUGACUUCUUUAAUUUCUGAACUUGACUCACCAAUGUGAACCUUAUUUACUCCCUUAAUUCUUCUAGUAUUCCUGAGUGAUCGACUUCGUUGUUGGGAAUUAUCCACUUGUCGCUGGAAGAAUUCCCAAAUCUUUGUUGCACUUUUUGACAUUAGCUCUCCUCCACUUGUUGCCAUUAGCCAUUCUUGCACAUUUGGUAGUAAUCCCUCCAAAAAGUAUUGGCACAUCAUCAUCUGAAAAAUUCUCAUAUUUAAAUGUUUGACAAAUAGCAUAAAAAUCAUUCAAAUGAUUAUAUGGGGCCUCAUUAUCUAGGCCAUAGAAUGUUGGGAGACAAUUUAGCACACUAGGUUUUAGUUCAAAACUCCUAGCAGCUACAUUUGGGUAUCUUAUGCAUGAUGUGCUCAAAUUAGUUAAGGGACUAAAAUAGUCCUUAAAUGGCCUCUCCUGUGGUGCUUGUAAAUCCAUUCCAAAUUUAUUUUUAACGUGCUUGUGUGUGCGAAGUGUUUUUUCUAGUUCAAGGUCUAUAGGUUCAAGAUUAGGUAAUAAUGACCUACGACCAUGCAUUCAAGAAACACAAAAAUAAAUGGGAACAAAACAAAUAAAAAUAAAAAAGGAGAAAUUACGGUACUAACCUUAUUAUGCUGUUAAAACCUUUCUAUAAAAACACAAAAAAAAAUCGUGAAAUAAAUUGACUAGAAAUUAAAUUAAUAAGAUAAACAAAAAUUACAAAGAAAAAUAACUUAAAAAUUAAAUUGCAGAAUUAUAAAGAAUAGAUAAAGAAAAGAAAUUAUUACCUCUAAAUGCAGAUUCACUUUUUUUCUUUUUUUUAAUUAAAAAAUACAUACAAGAAAACAAAUAAAAGAAAUUAUUCACAAAAAUUAAUUCUAUGAAUUAAAAUUACUUACCUCCCCGGCAACGGCGCCAAAAACUUGUUGUGCAAAUUUUAAUAUACUCGCAAGCGCACGAAUCUAUUGUAGUAUAGAUCAAUGGUGACGAGUGUCGAUCCCACGAGGAGGUGGAUUUGUAGAAUAGACUAAUGGUGACGAGUGUCGAUCCCACGAAGAGGUGGAUUUUAAUUAUAUAUAGAAUUAAUUUUGUAAAUGGGUAGUUGGAUUUAUGGUGGAAAUGAUUUUAAAUGGGUGGUUGGAUUUGUGGUGAAAGUGACUUAGAUUAUCCUAAAAUUAGAAUUUAAAUGACGAGAAUAAAUUGAAUAGAAAUAUAUUGAAAUGACGUACUUGGGUAUCUGGAUCCGUAUCAACAUGCACCAUGGGCUAAAUUUUCCUUAUUAAUGUCAAUUAAAUCAUGAGGGGGGAAUCCACACCUCAUGAACCACACUCUAAUCAAUAUGGUGCUAAGGGCUUAUUUUGUCAAAUAAUAAUAACCUUGUACUAGGGAGCCCGUGAAACCAGGGCGGUAUCUAGACAAGCUUAUUAUUAUUUGUCGAUGAGAAGUCAAAACAUCCACAAAAACUAGAGGGGAAGAGAAAAUAAAUUUACCAAAUAAAGCCCAUGACACAUGUUGAGACUUUACCUUCAACCCAAGCUUGAAAAAAAAUUAGCUACUCAUAAUUGAACUAGGGGCAAAAUGGAAAUUUAUUAAAAUACAUAGAAAAUACAAGAUGGAGAAGGAAUUACAGAAAAUGAAGUCCAAAAAUAGAUUCAGAGGUAUCAAAUUAGGGGGGGAGGCCCCCUUUUUAUAGAUACAUUGAGUAAAUCAUGGCCAUCGGAUUAAAAACAGUUUGGACGCUCAGGAUUGUGCCAGAUCAUCAGUCAACAGUACGCGAUUUGACCACGUGGGUGAACAGUAACAUGGUUUGACCCGGCUUGAACAGUGAAGCGAUUUGGUUGAAAAUAAUCUUGUGUAAUACAUGUACCGUACGCGAGAUUUUUGGUCCACUGAUAUGCUGCCACGUCAUCGAUCAACAGUGCAUAAGAAUUUUAGUCCAACAGGAUCGUGACACCUCAUCAGUCAAUGCCACAUCAUCGGUCAAUGUCACGUCAUCGGUCCGUCUAUAUGAAUAGUAUCGUGAACAGUAACGUAGACAGUACUGUGCAUGUGAAUAGUACCGUACAUGUGAACAGUGCCAUUUCAUUUUUAUAACUUAAUUUAUUUAUGUUGGUGAAUAUAACAGUGAUUAUAUUAUUAAAUGGUAUUUCCCGGAUAGCUUAUUACAACAGUUUUGCAAAAGAAUGUAGAAGAAAAUUGGUAGUAGAACUUCUCUCUUCACUCACUACCAAAUAGAAAACUACAAGAAAAAUAAAUAGAACCCAUUUGCUCAAUUAUCACAAACCCCACAACUUUGUUUCCCUCCACGCAUCCCAAAACCUCAAACUAAAUAAAUCUCCCCCAUCCCCUCAAACGACACUUUUGCUCAAACUACUGUUGCUGCUACAGCUUAGAACGAAGGAGACAGAUUUUUGUUUACAGAUGUAUUUUUCAAGCACCUCGGUUCUACAAAAUCCUAGUGUUUAAGUAAAUAACCUGUAGGCCUACAUAAUUUCUUCACCAUCAAAACACACUACAAACAUUAUGGUCUGUCCUGUUUUAGCUACAGCAGCACUGUUAAUUCGUCUCUUCACUUGAAAUUUUGAAACGCCCAGAAAUUUUAAAGCACACGAAGACCCAUACCCAAAAAAGACAAUUAAGUUGUUCACAGACUUCGUGGUGGUAUCCAGAGCUUGAAUGAGACAGUUAAUAAAUAAACAAAGAAAGAAAAGUAGAAAAGGAAAAAACAUUGCGGCAGGAGAACCAACAGGUGCGGCUGAGUGUUGGUUGGUGACGACGAACGGUGGCGGCUGACCAGCUGUUAGUGACGACAGCAGCUCACGAGCUGUUAGGGUUUCUUUUGGGGGAAAAAUUAGAUUUUUUUUUUUUGUUUUUAUUUUCAGGUCGGGUUAGAGGAUCCAGAAAAAUCCCCGAACCCGAACCUGAAACGUUUUGGGGUUUUAGACCCAUCCCCAAACAGACCCGAAUUUAUUUUCAGCGUUUUUCGGGGCCCCAUACCCACCCCAAAUUAAGCGGGGUGUUGCCAACUCUACUUGUACUUAAAAAUUGUUAUUCUUUCAUUAAAUCACACUUUGAGCUUUUAUUUGUCAACAUAUACAUUGUGUGAUGCGAAUCCCACAAUGAAACUUUGAAAUCCACACUUAAUUUGUAGUUUCAACUUCUUAAGAAAGUUCUAAACAGAUUUAUGACAAACAAAACCUUGACCCAAUGCUUAAGAAAACAUGAACCAAACCACACUAAAGAAAUAGAUGAGAAGGUGAGUGAUAAGUCUAAAUUUGGAACGCCACAAGAAUGCAAUUUCUUGAUAAGUUCACUAGUUCUCAAAAGAACUAAAGAAAGAAUAAUCUUUCAAAUUCAAAUAACAUUAAUCUCUAAUCUCUUACAUAGCAAGGUUGUUGAGUUUAAAUAGACCAAUAGAAACCCAAGAUCCUAAAAAUACAAAUGAAAACAUUGGAACAACCCUCCAAAUAUGUUUGUCAAAGGAUGCUUCAAAAGUCUUCACCAACCUAUCAUAAUUAAUGCUAUCAUUGACAAACUUAAUUCUAGCUACUAUAAUCAAUGCUAUCAUUGAAAAACUUAAUGUUAGCCUGAAUUGGAAAGCUAACGUAAUUAUCUUUCCAACGGUAUAUAUCUUGUACAUUAAUUCUGGCUCAAUCAAUACCAGUAUUAUUCCGAAUUUGACCUUUCUGCAUUUGAUCCAAAUUGUGUAUUUGGCUGCCCAAUAGCUUGAAUAGUGCCCACAAUGCCUUGUCUUCUGUUCAAGCCCAAUUCAUAAUGUCUUGCAUCUUGAAUUUACAUUUUCAAUCCAUAUUUUCUCAAUGAAUCCAUUUAAAACAGCUUGUAUCUUUUUUGCUCUAGCUCUUUUAAUUGGGCCUCCAUGAAUGUGUAAAGCAUCACUUGAAACUUUAAUGGUAUUCCCUUGAUGGUUCUUAUCAUUCCCCCUCUCCUCAAAAGGAUUCAUCCUCGAAUCUUCACCUACAUCGGAAGGAGAAAGAUUAGAAACAUUAAAAGUAGCACUCACAUUAUACUCACCCAGAAGAUCCAAUUUGUAGGCAUUGUCAUUGAUCCGUGCAUCCACUUGAAAUGGACCAUCUCCCCUUGGAGGCAACUUGGAACACCUUUGUGCUGGGAACCUCUCCUGUCUCAUAUGCACCCAAACCCAAUCUCCAGGAUGAAAAAUCGCUUGCUUACGUCCUUUGUUGGCAACCACUUGCUUACGUCCUUUGUUGGCUUGAGUAACAUAUUGUUCAGUUCUCUUUUCUCUGUGUUGUCAUGUUUUCUCAUGUAAUUGCUUGACAAAUUCAGUUUUCUUUUUACCAUCUGUACUAGCACGCUCAUCAAUAGGUAAAGAUAAUAAAUCCAAAGGAGCAUUAUUGCUAUUGAAUGCAACAAACUAACAGUGUACAUUUCUAAUGCUAGAUACCAUUGCCCUUUAAUAGUCCUAUUUUUUACUGUGUGUGCUAAUUUUAGCACUUUGUUGACAGUUCUAUUGUAAGCAAAUUCAACAUGUGACAAACAUUCUUCCCAAGUUUUCAAGUUCUUUUGAAUAAUGGCACGCAAUAAAAUAGACAGAGUUCUAUUUACAACCUCAGUUUGUCCAUCAGUUUGUGGAUGACAAGUAGUAGAAAAUAAAAGUUUAGUACCCAACUUACCCCACAAAGUUUUCCAAAAGUGGCUCAAGAACUUAGCAUCUCCAUCUGAAACUAUGAUCCGUAGUAGAAAACAAAAGUUUAGUACCCAACUUACCCCACAAAGUUUUCCAAAAGUGGCUCAAGAACUUAGCAUCUCGAUCUGAAACUAUGCUCCUUGGUACUCCAUGCAACCUGACUAUUUCCUUGAAAAACAAAUUAGCUAUGUUUGUUGCAUCAUCAGUUUUGUGUCAUGGAAUUAAAUGUGCCAUUUUUUAAAACCUAUCGACAACAACAAAAACAGAAUCAUUUCCCAUUUUUGACAUGGAAUGAAAUGUGCCAUCUUUGAAAACCUAUCAACAACAACAAAAACAGAGUCAUUUCCCCUUUUUGACUUAGGUAAACCCAAAACAAAGUCCAUAGAAAUAUCAACCCAAGGUUCACUAAGUAUGGGCAGAGGGUUAUACAAUCCAUGGGGUAAAACUCUAGACUUAGCAUGUUUACAAGUGAUACACUUCUCACAUAUUCUUUCAACAUCACGUUUCAUAUGUGGCCAAAAGAAGUGUUCUUUUAAAACAUCUAAAGUCUUUGCAAUGCCAAAAUGUCCCAUUAAACCACCCCCAUGAGCUUCACGCACAAGCAAUUCACGCAAAGAACUAUGAGGCACGCACAAUUUAUUUUCUCUAAAUAAAGACCCAUCAUGCCUAUAGAACUUACCAAAUGCAACUUUCUCACAAGCAAUAAACACAUUAGCAAAAUCAGGAUCAUUAACAUAUAAUUCUUUAAUGUACUCAAAUCCUAACAACUCUGCAUUUAAUGUAGAGAUAAGUGCAUACCUUCUAGAUAAUGCAUCAGCCACCACAUUCUCCUUACCUUGUUUGUAUUUGAUCACAUAAGAAAAUGGCUCAAUAAAUUCAACCCAUUUGGCAUGUCUCUUAUGCAACUUACCUUGCCCUUUCAAAUGCUUUAAGGACUCGUGAUCAGUGUGUAUAACAAACUCUUUAGGUAGAAGAUAAUGUUGCCAAGUUUCCAAUGCUCUCACCAAUGCAUACAUCUCCUUGUCAUAGGUAGGAUAGUUUAGGGCUGCUCCACUCAAAUUCUCACUAAAAUAAGCAAUUGGACACCCUUCUUGCAUCAAAACAACUCCAAUACCUAUACCUGAAGCAUCACACUCAAUUUCAAAAGUUUUCACAAAAUCAGGUAAAGCAAGUAAUGGUGCAGAAACCAAUUUCUCCUUGAUUAGAUUAAAUGCCCUUUCUUGUUCCCUACCCCACUUAAAUCCCACAUGUUUCUUCACAAUUUCAGUUAAUGGUGCAGUAAGGGUGCUAAAAUCUUUCACAAAUCUUCUAUAAAAACUAGUCAAACCAUUAAAAAUUCUUACCUCACAAACACUUUUAGGUGUAGGCCACUCUUUAAUAGCCUUUACCUUCUCUUCAUCAACCUCAAUUCCUUUAGCACUUACAACAUAACCAAGAAAAAUAAUCUGAUUUGUACAAAAGAAACACUUCUUCAAAUUAGCAUACAACUUUUUCUUCCUUAAAACAGUUAAUACAGUGUGCAAAUGUUCAAUGUGUUCAUCUAAGCCUUUACUGUAGAUCAAAAUAUCAUCAAAAUAGACAACUAUGAAUUUACAAAUAAAAGCACGCAAAACAUGGUUCAUUAACCUCAUAAAAGUGCCAGGUGCAUUAGAUAACUCAAAUGGCAUCACUAACCACUCAUAUAAACCAUAUUUUUUUUUAAAGGCAGUUUUCCACUCAUCUCCCUCUCUAAUCCUAAUUUGAUGACAUCCACUUUUAAGAUCAAUUUUACUAAACACACAAGAACCAUGCAAUUUAUCAAGCAUGUCAUCAAGUCUAGGAAUAGGAUGUCGAUACUUUACAGUGGUUUUAUUAAUUGCACGACAGUCAACGCACAUCCUCCAUGUUCCAUCCUUUUUGGGCACUAGUAUAACUGGUACCGCACAUGGACUUAUGCUCUCCCUCACAUAUCCUUUUGCUAAGAUUUCUUCAACUUACCUUUGAAGCUCCUUUGUCUCCUCGAGGUUACUUCUAUAUGUAGGUCUCUUAUGAAUGGUAGCUCCAGGAACGAAGUCUAUUUGAUGCUCAAAUCCCCUAAUAGGUGGCAAACCAUUAGGGACUUCAUUUGGAAAUACAUCAUCAAAGUCCUGCAAAAGAGUCACAAUAGCACUAGGCAAAGAAAUGUUAAGCUCAUUAGUGUGUAAACAAGCCUCUUUGCACAAAAAUACAAUCAUAGGUUGUUUUGAAAAGAAAGCCCUCUUAACCUCGCUCUCUUUUACAAACAAGUUCACUUGAUGCCUCUCUUUUCUCUCAACAAUUUUUUUUCUAUUUUUUCACUUGCUUUUCUCUCAAUCUCUCUUUCUUUUUGUACUCUCAUUUUCUUUUUUUGUAUCUCUCUUUUUUUAUUGACAUUUGAUCCUCAUACACUUGCCUAGGUGUUAAUGGUACAAGAGUAAUUUUCCUUUUAUUCAUUACAAAAGAAUAUCUAUUUAAGUAACCAUCAUGUGUCACACGCCUAUCAUAUUGCCAAGGUCGACCCAAAAGAAUGUGUUCAGCAUGCAUGGGUACUACAUCACAAAGAACCUCAUCCUUGUAUCUCCUAAUAGAGAAUGAAACCAGCACUUGUUUAUUUACUUUAACUUCCCCACAAUCAUUCAGCCAUUGUAGCUUAUAUGGCCUCGGAUGUCUCAAAGUUUUCAAAUUUAAUUUUUCAACUAAACUAGUGCUAGCUACAUUAGUACAACUUCCACCAUCAAUUAUCAUACUACAUACCUUAUCUUUGAUAUGGCAUCUAGUAUGAAAGAUGUUAUCACGUUGUACCUCUGCAUCCUCUUUUACUUGCAUGUUGAGAGCACGCCUAGCAACUAUCAAUUUACCAUCAACAUGAUAUUCUACACCAUCAUUAGCAUCCUCCAAAGGUGGCAUAGGAUCAUCAUCCAAUUCACUCUCGGUUUCCACAUCACCAUCAUCCCUUAAGAUCAUUGCUCUCUUAUUUAGGCAUUAAGAUGCAAUAUGACUUGUUCCCAAACAUUUAAAACACUUAAUAUCUCUAUUUCUAGAGUGUUGGGAAUCAGAUUUACCUUUGCUUUGGUUGCCUCCCUCUUUAUGAUCCUUGAUUGGCUCAAUCUUAGGUUUGAAACAACAUUUUCAUCUUUGCUCUAUUUUGACUUCCAUAAGGAAGAUGAACCCAAAUUGCUUCUAGUGGAACCUUUCUUUUUCAGUUGUCGUUCCACUUUCAUGGCCAUGUGAACCAUGUCUUCGAACUCAAUAUAGUGCUGCAAGUCAACCACAUUAGCAAUAUCUUGAUUUAAACCAUGUAAAAAUCUUGCCAUAGUGGCCUCUCGUUCUUCUUCAAUGUUGGUUCGAAUCAUGAUUAUUUCCAUCACCUUGUGGUAAUCUUCCAAACUUCUAGAACCUUGUAUAAGACUUUGAAGCCUUUGGUGCAACUCCCUAUAAUAAUGACUCGGAACAAAUCUCCUCCUCAUGAUGUCCUUCAUCUCAUCCCAAGUGUUUAUAGGCCUUUCACGAUUUCGUCUCCUACUCAAAAUAAGUUGAUCCCACAAAAUAAUAGCAUAAUCAGUACCUUCAUCUCCUCCCAAGUGUUUAUAGGCCUUUCACGAUUUCGUCUCCUACUCAAAACAAGUUGAUCCCACCAAAUAAUAGCAUAAUCAGUAAAUUCAACAGCAACUAGUUUUACCUUUUUCUCCUCAGAGUAGUUAUCGCAAUCAAAUACUAGCUCCACCUUUUUUCCCACUCUAAAUAAGCUUCCAGAUCAUUUUUACCUUGAAAAGAAGGAAUUUUUCAGUUUGAUACACCCCAAAUCACGAUCUAUCCGUCUUCCCUUUCUAUCAUCUCUUCCGCGCAUGUCACAGUGGCCUGGUCAUCAAAAUUAUCUAAGUCAUCACCAUCUUUUUCUCCCAUGGCAGCAUGCCCUUGAUUACCUCUUACAUUAGGAGAUAUUGGUUGUUGCCCCCUUUAUAGAUUGGCUAUGGCAGUGUCUUGCCUCUCCAAUUUAUCAAGGAUCUCUCCAAACAUCAGAUUCAUGCGCUCAAAUUGUUGUUGCAUGGCCUUGAGCAUGAUUGAUUGGUCUAUAGCUUCUUGAUCUUUUGCAAUAUUUGUGAUCUGAAAAGACCUCACAACACUCCCUUACAUCUUUCACUCAAUUUGAUGUCACUUAACUCUCGUGUUUAACACACAAAUUAUCUUUUUCCCUCUAACGAUCUCACAAACUUUUUCCUUUUACCACACUUAAUUCUCUCUUUCAGUUCUUUAUUGGACUAAAUAAAAAAAAUAAAAAAAACCCAAGUGGCACACCAAAUAUGACAAUCCAAUACACUAACAAAGAAAAGAAAUUAAGAGAACACAAAGAAUGAAAAGGAAAUUGAAGAAAGGAAAGCAAGCAAGCGAAGCAACACAAUUGAUAUUGUGUGUAAACAAUGUCAAGGAAAAUGAAUAACUAAAAUUCAAUUUGAUGAAAGUAGAAAUACUUGAAUCCUUUUGUAAUUUUUUUUUGUACGAUUUUCUCUUUUUUUCUUUUUUCUUUUUUUGAUAAUCAAAAUAAAUAAGACAUUCAAACCUAAUUAGAAACUAGCUCUGAUACCAAAUAAUGUGAAUCCCACAAUAAAACUUUGAAAUCCAAACUUAAUUUGUAGUUUCAACUUCCCAAGAAAGUUCUAAACAGAUUUAUGGCAAACAAAACCUUGACCCAAUGCUUAAGAAAACAUGAACCAAAGGUAUAGAGAAUGAUAUUGACGCCACACUCAAGAAAUAGAUGAGAAGGUGAGAGAUAAGUCUAAAUUUGGAACGCCACAUGAAUGCAAUUUCUUGAUAAGUUCAUUAGUUCUCAAAAGAACCAAAGAAAGAAUAAUAUUUCAAAUUAAAAUCACGUUAAUCUCUAAUCUCUUACAUAGCAAGGUUACUGAGUUUAAAUAGACCAAUAAAAACCCAAGAUCCUAAAAAUACAAAUGAAAACAUUGAAACAACCCUCCAAGUAGGUUUGUCAAAGGAUGCUUCAAAAGUCUUCACUAACCCAUCAUAAUUAAUGCUAUCAUUGACAAACUUAAUGCUAGCCUACUAUAAUCAAUGCUAUCAUUGACAAACUUAAUGUUAGUCCACCAUAAUUGAUGGUAGACUUACCUUACACAUUGAAAAACUUGAAACAAAACAAACAAAUGAAGUUGAAAAACAAAUGAGUCGUUGAAAAUCCCAAGUUUGAACAAGCUGUAAUGAAUUGGUCAUAACUCCUUCUAGAGAACUCCAAAUCUAGCUCUGUAAAAGGCAUUGGAAAGCUGACUUAAUUAUCUUUCCAAUGGUAAUUCUGGCUCAAUAAAUACCAAUUUUAUUCUGAAUUUGACCUUUCUGCAUUUGAUCCAAAUUGUGUAUUUGGCUGCCCAAUAGCUUGAAUAAUGCCCACAAUGCCUUAUCUUCUCUUCAAGCCCAAUUCAUGAUGUCUUGCAUCUUAAAUUCCAUUUUCAAUCCAUAUUUUCUCAGCUUGCAUCUUUUUGGCUCUAAAUCCUAUAAUUUGGCCUCCAUGAAUGUGCAAAAGAUCACUUGAAACUUUAAUGGUAUUUCCUUCACGGUUCUUAUCAUUGUGUGAGGGAAACUUUUUGUAAUAUUUAUUUUUGAGUUAUUAUAACUGUGAGAAAUACUUAGGAUAAAUGGUUUAAAAUAAUCUCAUAUUGUAAAGGUUGAUUGAUAGCUUGAAAGUUAAUUGUGAAGAUUUUGUAGCCUUAAGGUGUAAAGCUUAGAUAGUGAAAUCCUCAAGCCUUGUGAGCUUGGAGGCGUGGACAUAGGUGGAGUUUGCCGAAUUGCAUAAAAAUCCCGUGUUCGAUUCUUUUUCCCUUUUCUCUUUAUAUUUUAAUUGUUGAUAUUAAUUUGAUUAAUAUUUAUUUGAGUUUAUUGGAUAUUUGCAUUGAUUUUAGUUUAAUUAUUUCCUAAGCUUUUAGAAACCCAAUUUAUCACCCCUCUUGGGUUGCAUAACUAGUAUUUCAAUACUAUCAUUUUAUGAAAUUAUACAAUUAGCACUGAAACGAAAAAUCUUGUGGAAAACUGAUAAGAAUGACACUUCAUCCAGCAAAUAAUUUAAUACUACUAGAAUAUUGGUUUUUAGAAACGAAAAUAUUGUCAUCGCUGUAAGUACUAUUUAGUAAAAAAAACUUUUUUCCCUAAAUUCAUAGUAAAAAAAAGUGAUAUUUAAUUAUCAUUUUUAGCAAUGAAAAAUUCGUUGCUGCAGGGGACAUAAUGUGACCAAAAAUUUUGCUCGUUGCCAAAAAAUAAAGCGGCAAAAAAAAAAGUUGGUGCCAAAUCUAUUAGUGAUUAAAAUUUGAUAUAUUAUGACGAAUACUUUAGUCAUGGAAUGUACACAUUCAGCAUUGACAUUGCACUCGGUAGUGAUGAUUUUUUCAUUGCUAAAGCCAUCAAUAGCCACGAAAUCAGCUUUGUCACAAAAAGUAAUUUUAGUGACGAAUAGAUUUUGUUAGUAAAAUUGUUUAACAUAUUAAAAAAUAUGUAGCAACCAAAUCAGUUUUGUCGCAUAAAACACUUUUAGUGAUAUAUUUCAUUGCUAAAAGUCUUUGAAAUACCAAAAAAGUAUGUUUUUAGCGAUGAAAUUAGUUUUUUUCGUGAAGAAAAAAAAUUAGCAAUGAAUAGAUUUCAUCGAUAAAACUCUUUGAAAUGCUAAAAAAAAAUGUAUGUUUUAUGGAUGAAAUUAGUUUCAUCGAAAAAAAGUUUUAGUGGUGAAUAGAUUUCAUCCUUAAAACUCUCUGACAACUCGAAAAAGCCAUCUAUAGGAACGAAAUUAGUUUCAUCGCAAAAGAUAGUUUUAGCGAUGAAUGGAUUGCAUCGCUAAAAUUGAUUAGCAUGUCAAAAAAUAUGUUUUAGCAACAAAAUCAGUUUCACCACAAAAAAUAGUAACAAAUUUAAAUAUUUUUUCAACUAAAAAUUAUGUUUUAGUGAUGAAUUUUUUAUUUUAGUGCUAAAAAUUCUAAUUUUCUGUUUAAAUAUCAUUUACUUAAUUUUUUUUAGUCUUUCAUUCUUUAAUUCUCUCAUCAUUAAUAUGUAUUUCUCAUUCUCUAAUUCAAUCUCUAGUUCUUUUCUAUUUUAUUUUUAGCAUGGUAAUCUCUGCUUCAUUUCUCUUUUUUUUUUUUUUUUUGAUCAACUAGGGCUCAAUUCAGUGGCGGCUUUAAUACUAGGCGAACUAGGCAGUUGCCUAAGGCCCCGUAUUUAGGAAGGCCCCGAUUUUCGGUAUCUAUUUAUUAAUUAAUCAAUAAUGCUACACAUCCCAAAUUUUUUAUCCCAAAAAAUUAUCCCAAAUGAUGUGGCAUUUAUCAAUUAGUUGGUAAGAUAAUACAAUUAAUUCACUUGGAUAUUGUAAAUAAUUAUCAACCACUCAAUUAAUGACACAUCAUUUGGGAUAACUUUUUGGGAUAAAAAAUUUGGGAUGUGUAUCAUUACUGUUAAUUAAUAUAAUUAAUUUUUUUUCAAAUUUAAGAUUCAAAAAAAUUAAGUUACGUAUAUAUUUUUUGUACAGUAAAAAAAGCCUAAUUUUUAGGCUUUACCCUAUCAUUACUCUCAUUCAUAAUUAUCUCUCUUAUUUAAUAAUCUUUACCUUAAAUAUAAGAUAUAUUUUUAUGCUAUAAUAAUGAUUUUGAACAUUACUUCUUUACUUUCUUUUACUAUUUCCCAAAAAAAAUCAAUGCUUUCCCUUUCCAAAAAAAAACUCAUAUUAAGAUUAGUAACGUUAGAUUUUUAGAACUAUUUUCAGAUUUUUAUUUACUGCUGUACGGCCAAGGCGGAUGUACGGUACAGCAGCUCAUGCGCCAAUUAUAGAAUCUCAUCAUUAAUUGACUUGUUAAAUUAGAAAUCUAAUUAAAUUAGGAAAUAAAUAUUCCUAAUAAAUUGGAAUCUCACUAAAUUAGGGAAUUAAUAAAUUAAUCAUUAUUACAAGAUAUGUGAUAAAUAAAAUUCCAAUUUAACUAGACUUGCCAUAAGAUGCCAACUCUAUAAAUAAUGAACUUAACAGAACAACAAAUUUCAAAUGAAUUAAAAAAAUGAUGAAAUAGUGAAUGAAAUAAACAACAUUUAAGAUGAUAACAAUAAAAAUACAGACAAAGUUGAUGUAGGAAAUUUAUUUGUUUUAAAUAAUAUUUAUAAUCUAGGAAUAUGGGAAAAUGUUGAUACAAAGUUAAGAGAUCUUUUAGUAGAAAAAGGCCCAAUUAGAGAGAAUAACAUAACUUUCCCAAAAGAUGAAAAUUCUAGGCAUUUCUCUACUGCAUUUUAUGUUAAAAUGUUAACAAAUGGAGAAAAACAUGAUAGAAAAUGGUUAAUAUAUUCAAAAGAUUUUAACAAAGUAUAUUGUUUUUGUUGCAAAUUAUUCAAUACAAGUUGUAGCAAAAAUCAGCUUAGUGAUGAAGGAACAAGAGAUUGGAAAAAUCUUAAUUCUAAACUUAAAAGUCAUGGAACAACCAAUGAACAUAUAACUAAUAUGAAUGCAUGGGUUGAUUUAGAAGCAAGACUAUCGAAAAGAAAAACAAUUGAUAUGCUUUACUUGAAUUAGCAGAAGUUAGUGAAGAUCCUAAAAUAAAAAGUGAAGCUAAAUGUUUAGCAACAUAUGAAUUGGAAAACUUUGAAUUUUUGUUAGGCAUGAUUAUUUGGUAUGAUAUAUUAUUUGCUGUGAACACUGUUAGUAAAAGCUUACAAAAGGAAGAUAUGCAAAUUGAUGUUGCCAUAAAUCAACUAAAAUGUCUUACAUCCUUUUUUGAGAAUUACAGAGAAAAUUGUUUUGUGUUUGCUAUGAUUUCAGCUAAAGAGAUUGCAAAUGAAAUGGAAAUAGAACCAAAAUUUCAUGAAAAACGUAUAAUUCGUAGAAAAAAUAAAUUUGGCGAGAAUAAUAAUGAAGAGAAAAUUCUAUCUCCCGAAGAUUCUUUUAGAAUUGAUUACUUUGUAUAUCUAGUAGAUCAAGCUAUUUCUUCAAUCAUCAAUAGAUUUGAGCAGUUUCAAUUCUAUGAAAAUAUUUUUGGAUUUUUAUUUAAUUUUGAAAAAUUAAAAUCAUUAGAUGAUGAAAGCUUAAAAAGUUAUUGUAUUAAUCUUGAAAAUAUCUUGAAAUAUGAUAUGUUUUCUGAUAUUGAUGGAUUAUAUUUGUUUUCAGAGUUAAAAGUCUUAAAAGAAAUUUUACACAUGGAAAGAAAUAGUCUACUUGAUAUACUUAAUUAUUUUUAAAAAGUAUAUUCUUUUCCAAAUGCAUUUGUUGCUUAUAGAAUAUUAUUGACUGUACCUGUAACUGUUGCUUCUGCUGAGAGAAGUUUUUCUAAAUUGAAGUUAAUAAAAUCUUAUUUAAGAACUACAAUGUCACAAGAAAGAUUAAAUGGAUUAGCUAUAUUAGCUAUUGAAAAAAAUUUGUUAGCUAAAUUAGAAUAUAAGAUUUUAAUUAAUAAUUUUGCAUCUCAAAAAGCAAGAAGAAUAAAAUUUAAUUGAUUAGUAAUUUGCAUUAGUGAUGGCUUGCAGCAAGGAUCAUAGUAGGUAGGAUUAAUGAUUUAAAGUUCAUAGGAAGAUUAUGGUUGUGGCUUAUGAAGUUUUAAAGCAUCUUAAGGAGAUGGAAUUUGUGGAAGGCAAAGUUAGUUAAUGUUUGUGUGGAAAUAAAUAGAUAUCUUUCCGGCUAUUAUUUUUUUUUUUGGGAUCUUGUUAAUAAUUAUUGUAAUUCAAGAUAUUAUUGAAUAUAGUUAAAGUUUGAGCUAUUUGAUGUUGUUGUGAGAAUUUUUUGAGCUGUUUAAUGUUUUUGUGAGAUUUGAUAUUUUAACAUCAAAAGGCCUAAAAUAAAAUUUCGCCUAAGGCCCCCAAUUGGUUAAAGCCGGCCCUGGCUCAAUUAAGAGCUAAAAAACAACCGAACGAGGAGACGCAACCCCGUAAGAAUCAUACAGAAGAAUGGAUGAAACCCCCAGCAGGGGACUAGGGUACACCAUAAGCCCAAGAGGCAAAGACCAAGCAAGGUUCGCCAUAAAAUCAGCAGCCGAGUUUGCCUCUCUGUACACAUGAGAAAUAGAAACCUGCCAAUCCUUUCUCUGGAGAUACUCCUUGAUAGAAAAAAUGAGGGACGCAUAUUCAUUAGUAGUCACCACCUGGUUAGCCAACAUUUGAGUUGCACAUAAGCUAUCAGUUUCCACAUGCAGCCACCGAAUGCCAAAAUUCCAAGCCAGGAUAAGCCCCUGAUAAAUGCCUCUAAGCUCAGCCAUUGUAACAGAACAGGAACCAAGCAUCAACCCAAAACCAGUCAACCAACGACCCGAAUAAUCGCGAAUCAAACCACCAGCAGUAGAAACACCAUUGGCCUUAUGAGCCCCAUCAGUAUUCAAAGUACACCAAGGCCAAUCGGGAGGGUGCCACCGAAUCCACUUAUCAAUCUUUAACCUUCUCGUGACCAAACAAUGGUUGUGAAUCCUGCUCAUCUCCUCAGCACGCAGGGAAACAUCCACUAAUAAAGCCAUAGGAUCCAUAGAAGUCUUGUUAAAAACAAAUUUGUUCCGCCAGAACCAAAUCCUCCAAACUCCAAUACCAAAGAAAACCGACCAGUUGGAGAUAUUCUGACUUCUACUCACAUCCUCCACAUUCCCACAUAACCAAGUCAAGAGAUUGGAGUUAAAGAAAGAUUGCUGCUUCGCCAAAGGGACAAUUUUGAGCCAAAAAGUCCUGGCGGCCAUACAAUCACGGAGAACAUGGAUUACUUUUCUUAUUUAUUACAACUUAUAUUAUUGUUAUGUGUAGAAGUUAAAUAAUUAUUUUUUGUGCUUAUUUCUAGGAAAUAUUGAACAUCAGUUAGACCAAGAUGAAGAAAAUAAAGAAAUUUAUAUUGAUUUGUCAAUUUUUUCUUUCUAAAGAAUAGAUAAAUUUAGUAAUUAUUUUUGUAUUUUUCAUCAAUAAAAAUAGUUCUUUUAAAUUAAAUUAAUUCUCUUUUAAUCAUAAUCGUGUUAAUUAUAAUUGUAAUUUAGUGUUAAAAAUGAUAAUAUUAAAAUAUUCGUAAUAAUAAUAAAAUGUUAGAAGAAUGAUACCUUUCAGAGAUAAAAUAUUGUUCGCCGUGAAAAACACCUUUUAGCGAUGAAAUGUUAUUCAUAGAGGAAAAACACAUUUUAGUAAGGAAAUACCAUUCGUCGAAAAAAACACCUUUUAGCAACGAAAUAGUAUUCAUCGCUAAAACUCAUAUCAUAACACAUCAAUUAAUGAAUACAUUAUGCUUUUGGUGAUAAUUAUAUCAUUGCUGAAAAAGAGACAUUUAGUGACGAAAUUUGAAAAUUUGUCACUAAAAACCUAACGCGAUGCUUCUAUUGAGACAAAGUGACAACAAAAUUUUUUUCUUUUACUAUAGCCUUUAUCGAAAAAAAAUUAUAUGUUUUAAUGACGAUUAUUUUUGUCGCUAAAGACUUUUUUUGUCCGUCACCCUGGAGUUGAAACGUUGCAAAAUUGGUCUAAGCGUGCGAAAUUUGGAACAUUGCCGAGUGCUUGCAAAAUUGUUUAUUGUCCAUCUGUUUGCGAGUCUUACGUCAAAAUUGUUCAUUGUCCAUCUGGUUCGUGAUGAUGAGCCGGCUUUUUCUUUUGUGUUAAUUCCAGCUACAGAAAGAUCUAGCUAGCUGUAUUAUUAUUCCAAGUUAAGCUGCUCUUUCAUCUCUAGGAUUAGAGUUAUGAAUAAGAUAGCCUGUGAUCCUUUCAGGCUUAAUAAAUUCC
rnacentral:lncRNA from 1 species